GAUUCUAUGGCUAAAAGUGAUUCUUUUUUAUUCUUUUAUUCCGAAUUUGUAAUACCGUUAAAGAUUUCUUCGUGGAUAAACUUUUUAUCGAGAAUCACCUUAGUUUAAUCUCGGAUAAAAAAUAACCGAGAUUUUUACUGAGAGUGCAACCUUUGUUUCCUCUCUCUCUCUGCGCUAAUAAGCUCGUGCAAGCUAAGUUAGCGCGAGGCCCAUCAGCUAUCAAACUGGCCCAGCUUGGCCCACCUGCACCUCGCCCCUUAUCCCCGCCGCAGCUUUUGACCGCUAUCUCUUUCCUCCUUUCUUCUCCGCCAAUCGUUGGUUUGCGUCAACAGCAGGAGCUGAAUCCAAGCAAUCUCUUGCUUGCGAUACUUAAAUAUAAACACAAGGCUCCGACGCCGCGGGGAAGGAGGAGCAGCAAGCAAGCAACAAGGUACCCAUCCAAGAUCCGGGCUCCUCUUCCUCUUUCAAUUCGAUCCAAUACCUGAUCUCUCGUUUAUGCAAGCUGCAGGGAGAGCCGUCAACUCAAGAGGAUCGACAAGAACAAGAAGAUGGGCGGCACACUGCAGCAGCAGCUGCUGCUCUUCUUCUUCCUAUCUGCUGUCGCCCCGCAGGUCCGAGCCUAUUCUUUCUUCCCUUCCUCGGCUCUCUCCCCAUCGUCUGUUUGGCAACCAGCUGUUAAAGUUUAACACCCGUCACAUCGGAUGUUUGGAUGCUAAUUAGAAGUAUUAAACAUAAGCUAAUUACAAAACUAAUUGUACAGAUGGAGUAUAAUUCGCGAGACGAAUCUAUUAAGCCUAAUUAGUCCAUGAUUAGACAAUGUAGUGCUACAGUAACCAUUUGCUAAUGAUGGAUUAAUUAGGCUUAAUAGAUUCGUCUCGCGAAUUAACAUAGGGUUCUGCAAUUAGUUUUAUAAUUAGCUCAUGUUUAGUUCUCCUAAUUAGCAUCCGAACAUCCGAUGUGACACUGUUAAAGUUUAACACCUCGUAUGCAAACACCUCAAGCUGAAAUAUAUAUUCUACUGCACAACACCAAUAAAGGCAAUAACCAAACGCUAAAAGUACCCAGUCGACUCCAUCCUUUGUUUCUGGCACAGAUCUGCUUCACACAUAGAAUAAUUUAGUUGCUCGAGUACUGAAAUACCACACCGUACUUGUAAGACCUGAACGCACUGCAGCCAGCAAGACAGACAGUUCUAUCUACUUCUGCAAUUUCAUCAACUCAUGGAUGUGCAGGUAGUCAGAGCAGUAAAACCAAUCCCAAAUUCCAAUCUCGGGGUUGAGGAGGGAGACAAUUCCAUAGGAAUCAUCCAGGUCAUUCUGUUAAUCUUCUUUUCCUUUCUCCCACUGAACCCACAUCAUCUCUUGUAGUUGCUCAUGGUGUUGCAUGUCGCAGAAGGACAUCAUACAGACGGUCAACAAGCAUCCUGAUGCUGGGUGGACGGCUGCACACAAUCCUUACUUUGCAAACUAUACUGUAAGUGAAAUAGCAUGCAUAAAGCAUUCAUCAUUUUAUCUUUUCCCCGCUUGUUGACCAUGAAACCAUCACUGUUCCUGCAGAUUGCACAAUUUAAGCAUAUCCUUGGAGUGAAGCCCACACCACGGGAUGCGCUGACUGAUGUUCCUGCCAAAACUUAUUCUAGAUCACUGAAACUUCCAAAGGAGUUCGACGCCAGAUCUAAGUGGUCUCAUUGUAGCACAAUUGGGAACAUACUUGGUAAGUUUAUUUGAUCAACUCAAUGCUAACUCCCUUUCAGCCUGAAAUCUAUUUUAGUUCCCUGAUGAAUGUACUGACACACCUCAUUUCAUCUUUAUUAAUUUACCAAUCCUGUAUGACACUGGUCUUCGUGAGCAGAUCAAGUAAGUUUAUCACAAUAACUUAAAUUGUUAAACGCCGUACGGAACGAUGCAAGAUGCUCAUCGUAUUCUUUUAUCUUUGGUGGACAAUGAUAGGGUCAUUGUGGCUCCUGUUGGGCAUUUGGUGCUGUAGAGUGCCUCCAGGAUCGGUUUUGCAUUCAUAUGAACGUGGUGAGCAAAUAUAACUGAGAUGGGUAUUCUCAUACUGUUGAUAUUAAACUAGCAUUAUUGGUCCUUUUCUUGCAUGAAUAAGCUAUUGUUUCUUUUUCUUGCAGAACAUUUCACUGUCAGUUAAUGACCUACUGGCAUGCUGCGGUUUUAUGUGCGGUGAUGGUUGUGAUGGAGGCUAUCCUAUCAUGGCAUGGCGCUACUUUGUUCAAAAUGGUGUUGUCACUGACGAGGUAUUAGCCUACUCUCUACAACUUAACUGCCUGUGUAUGCUCCAUCAGUAAUCCUAGUUCUUUGAAGAAAUUUAUGUGGAUGGUACAUCAAUUACUAAUGCAAGCUUUGACUAAACCAUGCUAAAAUAUUAUAGCGUAAAUUUGAACUAGGAUAACCUUUUUCCUCCCAGGACAGCAAGGCAGUAGUAUAAGCAGAUUGUAAUCAUCCAUUGUCAUGCUUAAUUCUAAAAAUUUCCCAACAUGGUAAAGACACAGCAUAUUUAUUUGUUGAGUCCAGGACAGUUACUCUGUUUGAGUUAAAAAAUGUAAUGAUUUCAUUUUGUAUUGAUAGCAUAGAACACAGUAUGAAAUGGAUGAAUGAUCAGGAAACUUUCAACCUGUUAUACACAGAGAAGACCAACAGUUACACUCUUUUGCAGUGCGAUCCAUAUUUUGAUCAGGUCGGUUGCAAUCAUCCUGGAUGCGAACCUGCUUAUCCUACACCAGUGUGUGAAAAGAAAUGCAAGGUGCGGAACCAAGUUUGGGAGGAAAAGAAGCAUUUCAGUGUCAAUGCGUACAGAAUAAAAUCUGAUCCACAUGACAUAAUGUCAGAGGUCUACAUAAAUGGCCCUGUAGAAGUUGCUUUCACUGUUUAUGAGGUAAUGUCCAGUUUCUUGUCUCAAGUUUUCCAUGCAUUGUACCAAUGUUGUCAACAAAUUUUUAGUAGUAGCUAUCAAGGACUAUGGGGUGUAUUACUUUGAAAGGAAAAAUACAAAAUACAAAAUCUUAGAAAGGCUAUCUAAAUAAAAGCUCAGGAAGAACAGGACAAAACCAGAACAAGGGAAAGAGUACCAACCAAACAAACGGAUCAAGUAUAGACAGUACUGUGGUUUGAGAACAUUUUUAAGUCUUUGAAAAUAUAUUAUCUGAGUGAAAAGUGGCUCAGAUUCACUUUUAUUUUUCUGAUUUGACAAUGCAAAAAUCUCUCAGGACUUCGCCCACUACAAAUCUGGAGUAUACAAGCACAUUACCGGUGGCAUGAUGGGUGGCCAUGCCGUCAAGUUGAUUGGAUGGGGAACCAGUGACGCCGGAGAAGAUUACUGGGUAUGCUGUUGGAUCACCAUAUUAUUAUGUGCAUUGUCAAACGAUGAGGCCAGUCCCUAAGUUGUUUUGUUUCAUCCUCUCUGCUUUUCAGCUUCUUGCAAAUCAGUGGAACAGAGGCUGGGGUGAUGUAAGUUUCUGGCGAAUACCUAGCUUACCCAAAUGACUAUUUGAAAUGCAGUAUCAUGUGUUGAGCAAUCGGUAAUGCUUUGCAGGACGGGUACUUCAAGAUCAUUCGAGGCAGAAACGAAUGUGGCAUCGAAGAGGACGUUGUUGCUGGAAUGCCAUCGGGAAAGAAUAUGGUUGGAAACUACGGCGGCUCCUUUGGAACAGCUGUAAUUUGAUUUGGUUGCUGCCCUAAUCUGAAGUAUCAUCGGAUACAAUAGCUAUGCAUUUUUAUAGCUGAUGAAAUUGGAGUAUUGUGUACAUGAGCACGUUGGCAAGGCUGGCAGGUUGCUGAGAUGGCAACUCCUGUUCUGAAUCGAAGUGAUCAAUUGAUAUGUAGCACAUACUGGAUAAGAAGCCUGUGUAAUUGAUCGACAGACAGACAUAAUAAGAAGCCUGCUGAAUAACUGAUGGAGUGCAAACUAAUACUACAAUACAUGACAUUACUGUGGAUGGUUUCUCAGCAAGCAGGCGAGGAGGCUCCGACCUCAGUCUCCAUAACAGCAGUCUCUGCUGCGACCUCUGGCUCCAUAAGGUUAAGGUUAGGGACGAAGCUAGCUUCAAAAUUACAGUGGUGCACCGCUUAAGGACUUAAGCGUACAAAAAUAUAUGGCAGUAUAUGGUAAAUAUGAGUGUGACUAGUGGUAAAAAAAAAUUUCCCGGGUGCAUGUGCAUCAGGCAAACUCAACGUUGCUUCGCCCCUGCAUAAGGUCAAAUUGGUCUAUUUGCCAUCUGAAACUAAAAUUUGCCCACUAGCUUAAAUUAGCGAUAACCUGGGCCGACCGAUCACACAGAUUCAAAUCGGCCACCGUGGGCUGACAACACAAGCCUUUUCUCUUUUUGUUCACAAUAAACUCUCAAAACUUUGCUUUUCAUUUCCUAUUUUGAAAAAAUAAUACCGGUUAAAUUUUAAAAUAAAUUUAGAAAAAUACGAACAGCCGCGUUGAAAAUUUAAAACCGGGUGAGCAAGUUCCAUCGUAAAAAAUCUUACAACUCACCUACGUCCCUUCUUUUUUCCUGUAUAAUCCACCCUGACCCUAUACUUUUGUGAAAAGAGAGAACAUCCGCCGCAGCAUAUGUAUCCAUCCGCUGUUAACUCAAACUGUACAUUGUUGGACAUAUAUUAGUAUAUUACUGACCUUUUUUUUAUUUUUUGGGUUAUCUCGGUUUCUGUGACAUGAUAUCUCCGAAAUGUGAUGCUCUGCACCAGCACAGGAGGCCAACUUGUUCUUUGUUUAUACUGCGCGUGACCUGCAAGUUGGAGAGUGGCACAUUUACAGUUAUUGCUGAUUCCUCUGGUACAAAUGGCAGCCGGUUGUUUUAGUACAAAUUGCAGCCGGGUCCUAGAGCUGCGCGCACAUGUUUGCUCUGAAGGCUGCAGCAGGCGAGAGCAAGGCAAACGAAUCCAAGUUUGAUCAUCGGCUGCCGGUGGUUGCUGCAUUUUGGUGCAGCAGCAUAUGGUUACCAGAUCAUGUAUGGUAGUUAUAGUGGCAGUUAAGGAGGCCUAGCUCGGUAGCACUAUGAUAGAUCCAGCAAGUUCUGGAACGAUCUUCUCAAACGAAGUACAAACCAUCCUUCUGUGCUACUCUUCCGUUCCAAAUUGCAAGUUAUGUUAACUUUUCUAAAUUUAUAAAUUGAAAAGAUAAUCAGGAGUAUUUGGGACGAAGUUUAGUGAAAUUUAAAGACUUUGCAGUUGAUUUCGGAGGUGUUAGAGCUUGGAACUUCAUUAGAACGAAGUAUAAGCUUCAGGCUUCAGCUAUUCAACCAAGGCUCAAACAGGUAUAUGAUGGAAUCUUAACCCCACUAACUAUAAUAUAGCAAGGUCUUCUCCAAUGGUUAGAAUCAACCACUAGCUCAUAGCAAUAAAAAAUGGUAUAAGAGACAAUUUGUCCAAUAAUUAACUCUUAGUACAUAGCUUAAAAUAUAAAUGAAUCCACGUACCAGCCCUACUUAGUCUUGAAAUAUGUGUAUGAGAUUAUUCUCUUGAUCCUCUCUUUCUCCAUCUUCCACCUAGAUAAAAUAUUGUAUUUUAAUUAUAUGAUAUCAUUGGAGGAGGCCUAACUACUCUUCGUUGGAGGUAGUAUAUGUGUAAUAUAGUAACAUUCAUGCACUGUCACAGACACAGAGUAACCGUUUCAACCGGUUCCUCGAAUAGGCUGCGAAGAUACUGUCACAUAGACGCAUCGGUAUACAUACAGUUUGCCGGAUCAUCCCCACAGAGACCAAUUUCAAAAAUUUAGGCACAUGAUCGAGCACCCAUUCUCAGCAUCCAGCCUCGACAGUGCAGACCACUUGACGCUUGACGGUCCCAUGCAUGCACGAGCAACUCGGCACCAUUGAUCGAUCCAUCCGCCCGUUAUUUUUCCCGUGCCCUUUAAUUUCGUUCGCUUAGCCCAGCAGCAGCUAGCUCUAGCACAUGAUAUCGGAGAGCGUAGCCGCCUGCCGUCCAGCGACACCGAGCGAUCCUGAAAUCAUCGGAUCGGCCGCGAACCACCGGCCCAAUGCAAAGCCAAAGCCACCUCGGUACCACUACCACCUGCACGCAUGCAACGGCCACCACCACCGUGGCACCGUACCCGCCGGUCCAUCCACCUGAUCAUCCCCCACCCCAACCGCCGGUCACGCCGCGCCUUGUUAUGGCCGGUCCAAGAUGCCGUAGCCCGGCAGCGGCACCCGUCGCUAGCUCCUAUCCAGCGGGUCAAACAAGCGGCGCCCAACCGGCCGGGGCACAUGCCCAGCGCGCGUACGUACUUACCUGUGCCGUGCGCGCCGCGCCCGGCCGGCCUCGCGCGGCGCCAAACACCACGCCCCACAACACCACAUGCCGAGGCGAUCCGCGAGCCGAUCCUACUCAGCAGUUGGGUAUCCCACGCGCGGGGGACCCCCCGCGGCCGAGGCGGUCGGGGCGGGGCGGCGUACGCAUGAGCGGCGAGCUGCUGACCGGACAGGCGUAUCCCCGCUGCGGAUCUCGGCGCCCGCCUGCUACGCGAUCCCCUCGUGCACGAGCCGCACGGCCGCCGCGCCGUGCCCCACGUACUACUACUACCGUUCGGUGCAUGCGACUGCACCGUGAAACUCGCGAUGCCGCGCGGCCUGGCGUGGUGCGCGUCGAAGCGCCCGCGGUGACUCACCCCGGUCGCGUGCGUGUCGGUUGGCCGGCCGUUAAAACCGUUGCAACUUGCGAUUUGCCUGCAAAAAUACUGCUCCCAGCUCUGCUUUCGCGGUAUCGGAUUCUGGUGUCGUUCCAGUUUCACCUGCCUCUAGGAUUCUAUCCAUGUCGCUAUCUGUCUUCCCUUCCGGUGUCGAUUUGACCUUGAUCUAGUGCCACACAGUAGCUGGGCAGCGGCGGAUGAUGCAACACGCCGUGUGCAUUAUUGUAGGCAAGCGUUUUUUCCCCUACUAAACCAGUUUGGCUAACCUCGCGUAGUCUGAUUAUAUAUAGGCAGCUCGAUUAUACAACUGUUUUGGUGAUACUGCGACUGUAGUAGGGUCACAUCAGUCCAGGACCUGCCAGAUAGGCUGUGUCCGCAUCCAAGGAGGCCUGCUUUAAGACCGGACAAGGACAGAGAUCAGAUUAGGUUCUCCACGGAGAUACUGCCAUGUGAGCGCCAUCUCGCGCUGUCACUUCAUCCCGCAGCACUAUCACGACGUAAGUUGCCUGAUGAAGAACACAUAUCCUUUUAGCUACUGCUCCAGCUACCUAGCUAGAGAGAAGAAAAGAAAGACACAACAUGGCUAGAGAAAAAGGGUUAUAGGAUAGGCCAAGAAAUUGGUUGCGGUCGUCAGACUAUCAUCGACCCGGUAACAUGACAACUCACACAAGGCACCCCAAAUGGAGCUAGCUGCUGUUGGUACUAACAGGUAACGGGAAAACUAAAGCUACUAUGAUCCACGUCACGCAUGUGUUGCAUAUAUUCCUGGAGAGAUCGAGAGCACGCAGUGUUAUUCGGGCUGAUCUAAACAAGAAGCAGCAACGCGAUCCUCAAACUCAGAUCGGCACACAACGCUCUCAUCACUACAGGCCAUGCCCAUACGUAACGAACUCAUCAUGAUUCUUGAGGCUAUAGUCUCAUCUCAGCAACCGGAGAUGGAACUGACUGACUACAGGAUGCCGAUGAGCUGAUCCGGCGUCUUGCAAAUUAUUAAAUGCGAAACCCGCAGCGGCACACACACUGAUUGAGCCCACGUAGGAGGUCCCCCGGCUCCCGUAAAUACCGAUCGAUCGGUCGGGCGAUGGGUGAGACGUUGCGUCACAUGCAUGCGUCCGCACGAAAAAGAGGCCGCGUCCCGGUCCGCGCGCGGGGCCAUGCAACGCAUGGAGAGAUGGAGCCGGAUCGGAGCCCGUCGGCGCCGAUGCGCGUGGGGGCACCCGGCCCGCGGCGCGCGGGCGGGACGUACUCGCGUACGCGCGUGUCGGAGCAGUGCACCUCGCCGUGCCGACCGGCGCCGACGUACGGUACGAAGCUGCUGUCUGCCGGCCGCUUGGCCAAACGCAGCGCGGUGCGUCGCGCCGCUGCGCCUCCGGCCAUUACUUCGUCCCAGCUCGGUUGAUGAAGCUUAGCUGAAGCUUGGGACGUGACAUGCCGUGGAUGCAGCAUGUGAACGUGUUUAAUACACGGUCGCCGAUCGAGUUUUAUUUGGAUGGAUGUACGGGUGGACACCGUGCGCGUACCGCCGGGCGAGCUGCUGGUGAGAAGAUGAGAUCGAUCAAUGAACUGCAACGCUCCCCUGCAUGUGUUCAAUAAUUCCAAUAAUUCAGUAGUGCGCUGCGUGGUUCCCAUUAGGAUUGUACAUUGCAUGUACGCGCCGGGCCAGCCACCAGCAUCCGUUUGGCUGUAGGUACGUACUACUGUACGUACAGUGCUAGUCAUCACGCAUUAAGUGCAAUAGCGCAUGCAUGCUUGCUGUUAUUCGUACUGGCUUUGCAUGCAGUUAAAAUUCUGGUACUUCUGAUCGACUUGCCUGAUCUGGACCGUCAUCUUCCGGCAGGAGUACCCAAUGCAAAGUACUUUCGCAGUAUAUAUCUUGGCUUAAAAUCCUACAUCGUCGACGAUGCACUACUCAUUUCAGGUGUCCCCAGCUAGCUUAGGUAUCCAGGAAUGUGAUUAUCUCGCCAACCAAAUCCAGAAAGACAUCCAUACAGGCAUAUAGCUGAUCCUGAUUGAGUACCACCAGCAAACUGCAAUUCCGCGAUUAAUGGAGACGCAAAUAUCCAACCACCUCACGCCAGUCUUGCACAAGGUAUCGUCGCAGCUAGCUAGCUAGCUCCUGCAGUACAUGUAUGAUCAGGUCUUGUUAACAGCUGAUUCGAUCGUGCUGUGACAGUAUCAGAAUUGAAGCCGGGCCAAUCCUGGAGCUCGAUCGUUUCUCCAGCCGAUCGACGGAGAGCGACCGAACUGGCGAUGACGGAUAAAGCUACAGCCAGUCCAAGUAGUAGCGAUCCUACAUUUAUCCGAGUAGCAAUCACGUCCGGUGGCGCAUGCAUGCGUACAGGUACAGAAGAGCCAUCGCGCUAGCGUACUCGCUUGCAUGUGAGUACAGCUCGGCACCAGAGGAGUGCCCUGGCCCGCGACAGGUCACGCCGGCUCUAUCAUACAUGCCAUGCAUCAUGCAUCGCCGUCGUCAUCAUCAUCUCCUAAAUCUGAUUGUUAGGGCCCGUAAUCUCGUCCCAACUGUCGUAUCGUUGUUGGUAUGAUCGGCCGCUAAACUUUUUUCUCGAAUAUUCUGAAGAGCUGCGCAUCAUUGUAUUAAGAACAAGUAAAUUGCGAGUCGAUCAGGCAGUUUAGGGUUGGGGACGAGAUACAGCAGAGAUGAACUAUCAAGCCAAUUGUCCGUCCAGAAUUUGAUCCUGAGGCCGUUCCCAAGCUCAGCACGGACCGACGCUUGAAAGAAAGCCUGAACAUCUGAACUGACUUUGAUUUCCAAGGCGGACCAUGCCCGAUCGUCGUCCGUCUCCUGUAACCACAUCCAUCUAGUCUGUAGGGCAAUGCCUGCAAGCUUCAGAUCUAACACCCCAAGUCCCCCUGCAGUUGUCGGACGGCGGAUUGUUCUCCUCCUGCCCAGAAGAAAUUCCUUCUCAAGGCGUCAAUUUCUUCAAUUGCCCAUGAGCGGAGGUUGUCUGCCAUGAUUGUGUAAAUUGGAACCGCCGAUGCAACCGAUUUGACCACUAUCAGUCGCCCACUCUUGUUCGUGAGCGUGCCAUGCCAUGGUGUAAGCUUUGCGGCUACCUUCUCGAUGAUUGGCCUGAUUUCAGCUUUGGGCAGUGGCCUGGUCGAGAGUGGGACGCCAAGGUACCUGAUGGGGAAUUGCUGAGUUUGACAGGGCAGCUCACGCUGGAAUUCCAAGAGAUCGCUGUGCUCCCCAAAGAUAGGCGUGAUUGAGCAUUUGAGGAGAUUGGUUCGUAGUCCUGACGCAGAGCCGAAGAUGUCCAGCAGCCUCGCAAUGGCGCGUCCCUCUCGCUGCGAUGGCGUGGCAAACAGGAUUGCGUCACCCCCGUAGAAGCUGCAGUGAUGCUCCACCUUCGUGAUCCCGGGCUGCAGAAUGCCUCAUGCAGCUGCCUGACGGAAUAUGAGAUCAAGCACAUCCAUAACGAUGACAAACAACAUUGGCGACAGAGGAUCCCCUUGGCGUACGCCGCGUUGGUGCUGGAUCGGCUGACCCGGACAGCCAUUCAGUAGAACCUUGGAGCUGGCCGUGGACAUUAACGCAGAGAUCCAUUCGCACCAUUUUCUACUGAAGCCUCUUGCGUGCAGAACUUCAAGAAGAAAUGGCCAAGAGACCGUAUCAAACGCUUUCGAGAUAUCCAACUAAAAACUAAAAACCGCAUUUCAUUCUCUUCCUUAAUCUAGCUCGGUUUGGCGCUGUCUCUUUGAUUAAACUUUCGUUUUGCACAUAAAACGACGAGAUCGAUGGUUCAUUGUGGAAGCUGAUUUUGACCCUUUUGAUGUGGACACGUACUGCAGGCUCGACAAGGGGUACGAACACAGCCACACUGCAAACACUCAUUGACAGACCCGUACAGAGUUACGCGGAAAGGGCAAACGACGAUCACGGAAUACUUUGGAGAAUACUGGAGAUUAGUUAGUCUACAUUAAUCUUGGUAAAAACAUCAAGGUCCAGACAAAGCGCGCCGCGCGGGAUCAGUACCAUCUUGACUCUUGUGGGCUUUAGGCACGAGCGGAAUAGUACUAGUAGGCUAAUCCACGCAAGCACAUGCAUGUCCUACUAGGCUCCAAUUUUGUCCACCAAAUCAAAUCCCCCCUCACCCAAACGACCAACCAAUUUGACGCUUUGCCCCCUCCGACGCCACCGAUCCGCGCAACCCAACCCCCAAAGCCCCAACCCGGACGCCAGGCCCCGGCGGCUACAUAUAGCCCGCGCGCCGGGACGGAGCACAAGCACCUGCUGCCCAUUCAUCGGCUGCAACCGCAAGCGCGGCUGUUUGAGCGAGCGAGCGAGCCGAGCUCGCGAUCGCCGCCUGCGCCGCCAUGGACCCCUGCGCGUUCGUGCGCCUCACCGUGGACCAGCUCCUCCUCAAGCUCCCCGCCGUGCAGCGGCCCAGCUCCGGCGCGGGGGUGCACCCCUCCACCUCGCCCUGCUUCUGCACGCUCAGCCUCCAGGACCACCCGGCCUCGCUCUCCCGCACCGCGCUGCUGCCGCUCGCGUCCGCCGCCGGCGCCGCGGCGGCGGCGGCGCACGCCGACCCCGUCGUGCUCAGCCUCGACGCCGAGGCCGUGCGGAGGCUCUCGGCGCGCCCCGCCGAGCUCGUCGUGUCCGUGCACGCGGGCCAGACGGGCACCAACUGCGGCAUCAGCGCCGCCCGCGCGCUGGGCCGGGUGCGGGUGUCCGUCGACGUGGCGCGCGCCGCGGCCGGGGAGACCGUCGUCGCCCGCGACGGGUGGGUGGACGUGGGGAAGCCGGGGUCCGCGUCGUCGGCGUCCUCCGCCGCCGCCGCCUCCGCGCGCGCGCAGAUCCACAUGGUCGUGCGGGCAGAGCCCGACCCGCGGUACGUGUUCCAGUUCGGCGGCGAGCCGGAGUGCGGGCCCGUCGUGUACCAGGUGCCCGGGGGAGCCGCUGGCGGCGGGCAGCGGCAGCCGGUCUUCACCUGCCGGUUCAGCGCCGGACGGAGGGCAACCAGGAGCAGGUUGGUAUAGCUUACCUAGCUUGGCGUGCAGUUCACAUAACACAUAUUUUUCUGCGUGCCACUUGCAUUGCAUCAUCUUCGUCGAUUUGCUUGCACGUUCAGUUAUCCUUGUUCGUGUGUUUCGUUUGAUCACUCAUCGAUAGAAUUUGAUUUUGGAGCUAGUAAGUCCUUGUGUAGUUCAUAGUUUCAGACUUGCAGAGACCAAGAAUGCUAGCUAGACAUUAGCAGGCAAGGGUGAUCCUGUUCUUAUGGAGCAUUAACUGUUGGUCCAAAUGAACAGAUGGAUACAAAGUGGCUUAAGAGAGACAGAUAUACAAAUCCAGUGGUCAAAAGUUUAAAACUCGAGGAUAAACAGACGCUCUAAAUUAGCAAAUCUGCUCAAACAAAAUAAGUUUAAAGUAAUGGGGUUUGGUCAUCAGAUAGCUGGUGGAGAUUUUUAAACAAGUCAGUGUCAGUUGCCAUAAGCUAAUUAAUUAUAACCGUGUAUCUUCAUGCAACCAUCAGUUCGAACAAAUUUUUUUUGGGGAAAACAGCAGGAAGUAAGCACAGCUAGAUAGCUCAAUACUUCUCUUCAUUUUUUUAGAGAAAAAGUCAAAAGCAUUUCCCCUCUUUCCGUUUUUCUUUUGAUUUUUCUGCGUACCUUUCAUAUUAUUGGAUGCCAGCUCUUAGAUACUUUGUUGUUUAUCAUUGUACUACCGGCAUUAUAUUGGCAAAGACACUUGAUAAAAAUAAUAUCGUAACCUCCACUUGCAACUGAGAAUAACUAUUUUUUUCGCCAUAGAAGUUAGCAUUUUCGUUGGAAUCAAAAUGAAUUGGCGAACACAGGAGAAUCCAUGUCGCUGUCUACAGAAUUGUAGAGAGCAAAAAUAAACCAGACCAAUAUUUUUUUCCAUCAAAUUCCAGGAUACAAAUACAUUAGUCCUGCAAUCGGAGCUGUCAAGUUGGUUCUCUAGAGAAACCUUCGGUGUCAGUGCUGCUCAGAUCCCCAUUAAUCCAGCUUGCUUAAGGUAUCAGAAUAAUUUUACUUAAAACUAGGACUGAUCUCUUAAACCUGAAAACACAUCCAUCAUGCUCAGAUACAGAGACGACACACCAACCGUGCAUGUGAUGGACUUACCAACCCAGCUCCUUAUUAAUCUGCUCUGCGAAGAUCGCAUAGCUGGCUCAGAAUCUUCCAUAUAUCAGGUCCAGCUAACCCUGCACGAGGUCGGAUUACCAUCGCCUUUACCUGCUAAUCUUGUCGCAUACACAGUUGGCGCCACGCCAACGCUAUGAAUAUAUGAUAUUGUGUGCAAUGCAACACUUUACUAGAUUUACUAGGGGAAAAAAUUGCAAGCAUGCGCCUGCACGUUACGUUCAUGUAUAAACUAGCUAAUCUCGCAUGUGCUCUGCAAAAUUUUGACCAGAUCGCUGACGCCGCAGUCGUCCAUGACCCGGAGCACCAGCCGGAGGCUGAGGUCCUGGCUCAGCGGCACCCUCCACGGCGACGGCCGCGACGGCUCGCGCGCGUCGCGCGAGCAGCGCAAGGGGUGGACGGUGACCAUCCACGACCUGUCGGGCUCCCCCGUGGCGGCGGCGUCGAUGGUGACCCCGUUCGUGCCGUCCCCGGGCUCCGGCCGCGUCUCCCGCGCCAACCCGGGCUCCUGGCUCAUCCUCCAGGCCACGGGCGCCGGGCCGUCAAGCUGGAAGCCCUGGGCGCGCCUCGAGGCGUGGCGCGAGCGCGGGCCCGUCGACGCGCUCGGGUACCGCCUCGAGUUGGUCUUCGACUCGGGCCCCCACGAGUGCGCCGUCCCCAUCGCCGAGUCCUCCAUCAGCACCAAGCGCGGCGGGCAGUUCGUCAUCGACCCGGCCACAUUCCCGGAGGCCACCGCCGGCGCCGCGUGGCCGUUCGCCGGCGGCUUCGUCAUGGGCUCCACGGUGGAGGGCGAGGGGCGGGCGAGCCGGCCCACCGUGCAGGUCGGCGUGCAGCGCGUGACGUGCAUGGGCGACGUUGCGGUGUUCGUCGCGCUGUCCGCGGCCGUCGAUCUCUGCAUGGACGCCUGCAAGCUCUUCUCGCAGCGGCUCAGGAAGGAGCUGUGCCAGGACCAGGACGACUGAAAAGAGACCGACCCGACAGGACCCGAGGGGGAAGUGUAGUAGUCCUCUUGGGUUUUGGGUUUCAUGCUGUGGAUUGUAUGGUGCUCGUGGCUAAUGUAGUAGGCCAUUAUUAGCUGUGGUUUCUUGUGGAGCUGAAGGCCCUAUGGCUGUUUUUAGUGUAGGCUGGGUCGGAUCACAAGAACAGAGCGGGGUUGGUUCAGUCCCUUAUUCUUUCAUUACAGCAUUCAAUUCUUUCGAUUCUUUCAUUACAUAUCUCUUCUUGUUCAGUUCGAAAGAUACAUUGCAUGGCUUCAGAUAUAUUAUAGUCGAAAUCGACAAUUUCGGCAAAGAAGCCGGAGAACGUAUCCAGCCAAGCGAUUGCUCUGUUUACGCUUUCAGCUCCGCGUUGCUCUUCCUUCUUUCUAGAGGCCUUUCAGGAACUCGUCGAAUGCCACGUCAGACGAUCCGCCUUCCUUGAGAGCGUCGACGGCCAUCUCCUUGGCCGUCACGAGCCUCUCCCUGAGCUUCUUCCCUUCCUCGGACUCCAUCACCAGCUUCACCUUCGUCCCCAGCUCCUCUGCCCUCACCAGCUCCUCCUCGUAGCCCUCGACCGCCACUCCGACCUUCAUCUCCUCGACCAUGUGCACCUUGUUCAUCCUCUGCUCCGAGUACAGAGGCCAGCAGAUCGUCGGGACGCCGGACACGAUCCCCUGCAGUGCCGAGUUCCACCCGCAGUGCGUCACGAAUGCGCCGACGGCGUCAUGCUGCAGAACCUCCAUCUGCGGCGCCCAGUUCAUCACCACCAAGCCCCUCUCCCUGGUCCGGUCCAAGAAACCCUCAUGAAGCAACGCCUCCAUGUCCGGCUCGAGGGAUUCCUACGGGUGCUCAGGCGGGUUGCGCACAACCCACAAGAAUCUGUGCCCAGAGUUCUCUAGCCCGCACGCAAUCUCUCUCAGCUGCGCCGCCGAGAAGAUGCCCAUGCUGCCGAAGCUGAGGAACACCACGCUCCGCGGCUCCGGUUCGGCUGCGUGUCCAGCCACGCGAGGCACGCGUGCCUCUCGCUGCCUCCACCACCCGUUGUGCUCCCAGGGAGGACCAAUGGCCCAAUGCAGUAGACCGGGGGAGUUGAGAGGCCUGGCGUGCAAAGCCCACACCUGAGGGUUUUCAGGGCCCGUGCCUCCAGCCAGUCGAAGCUGUUCACGAGGAAGCCUCUCGCUCCGGGCAUGCGCGCGCACUGGCGCAGCCGUGCCCUGGCGAUGUCGCUCUCCCUGUCCUGCAUCGUGGUCGCCAUGUCCAUCGCGCGGAUCGGCGGCACGCCGGGGAAGUGCAGCGCGGUCUCGGGCAUGUCCCUCAACGGACGCGCGGGGAAGUUGUACGGGAGGUGGAGCAUGACGGCGAGGUCGCCGAGCGCGGAGGUGAAGAAGAAGUAGUCGGGGACGCCGAGCUCGGCGGCGACGUCGAGCGCGUCGGUGCAGAACAUGUCGACCACGAGGACGUCGACGGCCGGGAGCGCGCGCAGGAAGGCCCGGAGCGCGGGUUUGGCGACGCGGAGCACGUCGAUGGUGCGCAUGAUGGGGUGUGACUAGCGUUCCCUGACGGUGGGAGGGACGGGGAGGUGCCGGAACGUGAUGCCCGGGAUGGCGGCGGCGAGGCGGCCCGUCGCGUCGGGCGAGUCGACGGCGGCGAUGACGACGGCCACGCCGCGGCGCAGGAACACCUUGGCCAGCUCUGGCCCACGCCCAGCGAGGGGUAGAGGACCACGGUCUUCUGCUUCCCGAUGGCCAUCGCUCCGUGGCGAGCGAGGGAGAUGGCACCAGAGACUACAAAUGCAUUGCGAGUGCCUAGAGGCUUGGAAGGCAUGCAUCUAUAUAGCAUGGGUUGCGAGCAUGGCCUGCGUGUAUCUUGACUGAUGCGGGUGAUCAAGACGUAUCAAUAUGGUAUGGGAGAAACGACAGCUGAAAGCCGAUCUUGUCAGUGGCCAUCACGGCACAAGUGACUACGGCACCAAUUUCAGAAGAGACUAAGGGGGUGUUUGGAGAGGGGUGCUAAACUUUAGCACCCCACUUUUUAGCACCUUUUAGCACUUGGGCUCCCAAACAGGGGUGCUAAAAGGGGUGUGCUAAAGUUUAGCACCCUCAUUUCCUUUAGCACAUCCAAGGGGUGCUAAAAGGUGCUAACGGGUGCUAAAAGUGGUCCCAAGCCUAUUUUUUCCCCUGCUACCCCCCUCUCUCUCCUCUCCACUUUUCCCCAAGCCAGUCAUAAAUGAGGGCAAUGUAGUCAUUUCUCAUCUAAUGUGCUAAACUUUAGCACUGUAUCCAAACAACCCCAAGUGCUAAACUUUAGCACUCCAUUUGAGGGUGCUAAACUUUAGGGCCUGUUUGGCUACCACCUCAUAAACUUUAGGAGACUCAUAAAGUUUAGGAGGCCAUAAUUACUAGUCCUAAAAUUUAGGAGUGGGGUGUUUGGAUGGUCUCAUAAUUUUUAUGAUGUUAAAGGGAAAUUGACCAUUGUACCCCUAAUUAAAGAUCAACUGCCAGCUCAAGCUUUCUGUUUUUGUGGCGCGAGGGAGGAGUUCUGGCGCCAGGUUUCUGUUUUUGUGGCGCGAGGGAGGAGUUCUGGCGCCAGGAGGUCUGUUUUUUUGGCGCGAGGGAGUUCUUCUGGCGCCAGGGAACUUGCCUUCUGCCUCUGCCGCAGAGUUGCUUUGCUGCCGGCUCUAUUUUUUCGCCACUUUUUUUUUGCCGGCCCUUUGCUGCCGCCUAUGUUUAAAAAAACGUAGUGCAAUGUCAAAAACAGUAAGCACAGUCCAUCGUCAUUGUCAUUACAACCCAAAAAUACAAAACCUCUACAAUCUAUUGAACAAACCAUUAGCUAUACUAUCACGAAAUUCGUUCAUAUUUUGAUCUCCGUCUGCCUCUUCGGUAUUUCCCUCAUGACCACCAAUGCUUGAUUCUUCGGUGAAAGGAACAAAAUUUUCAUCACGAUCACACAUACCAAAGGCCCUAUCCGCAUGAUCGUUCUCCCUAAUGAAAUUGUGAAGUGCCAUACAUGCUACUAUUAUUUUGCUUUGCUUUUCCAUUGGAAAACUUGGUAUUCCCAAUAAAAUCCUCCAUUUCAUCUUCAAAACUCCGAAUGACCUCUCAAUAACAUUUCUAAGUGAUGAAUGCGCGUAGUUAAAAGUUUCCUUCAUACCUCUCGGAUUUGGGCCACUCCGGAACUCAGGAAGGUGGUACUUCGUACCUUUGUAUGGUGCAAGAUACCCCGGGCGGUUCGGAUAUCCAGAGUCCACUAGAUAAAACUUCCCUAAAAAUACAAAAGAGAAUAUGGUAAGCAAUUUUGGGUAUAUAAUUUAUUUUUAAAUUAUUAAUGACAACAAAUUUACCUGGAGGAGGGUGUGGAAACUUGUCACCAUAUUUAUUUACGGCAUCAGUGAAUACUCUCAUAUUAUGAACUGAUCCAGGCCAUCCACUAACAACAAAUGUGAAUCUCAUGUCGAAAUCACAAAUGGCAAGCACGUUCUGUGUAGGGUAUCCAUGCCUGCCCGUAUGCUGCACCACCUUAUUACUUGGCACCACAACCGGUACAUGAGUCCCAUCUAUAGCUCCUAUGCAAUUGUUGAAAUAUGGAGCAUACCUAGGGUUUCUCAACCUCUGGUGAAUUGUUGUAAACCCGGGGUCCUUUGGCCUAACUAUGUCUACAGCUAGCCUAAUAACACAUGACAAAACCAAAUCAAAUGUGCGGCUUAUUGUUUCCAAUGACCUUACAAACCGAUCCGCAACUUGUCUUAGUGACUGGGGUGCACCAUUUAUCCAUAAGAACAUAGCUAAAGCCUCCAUCGUUGACAUUCUUCUAGUUCCCCUCAAACCAUAAGACUCUACCAACAGGUCAUGAAGUUGGUGAAAUAAAGUGCAAGACAUCCUAAACAUGUUGUAGCAUGAGGUUGGAUUUGAUAGUGUCUCUUGCACCCAUUUUAUGCCCGGUACAGUAGGUACUCUAGGUGGCCCUUUGUGGUAGUAAGUGUCAUAGUACAUACCAAGCAUAACUGAGGACUCCAUAAUCUCUCGAUUCCUCUUUCGACGUAUGAUUUCCAGCUCCAUGAACUUGCAUGCCAUGUUAAUGAAUUCAUCGUCAGAAUCUCCUUCACCAUCAUCCUAAUUCACCAUUAAAAAAACAGUCAUACAUUAGUCUCUGCAUCAUCAAGGUCACAAUUCUACUGUAGCCGAGCCAUGUUCACAAAUUCAAAUAACAGUGGUCAGAAAUUCCAGUACUCAAACAGCCACAUUCUCAAUCAGCCACACAUUGUAACAGCCACAUAUACAAACAACCACAUAUAGAACAACCACAUAUAGAACAACCACAUAUAGAAACAAAGAUCAAAUUUAAACAUGUCACAACUUCAAACAGGAACUUAUUCAAGUUCUAGCAGCCGAAAUAACAAUAGUACUUUAACCAACAGUUCAAGGUUCAAACAACCACAAAUGUCUACUACUACAUUCUAAUCUAAGUUCAUUUUCUUGCACCAUCUUUUCAAGAAAGCCAUCCUAGCCUCUGCAUCAUCAAGGUUGAUCCAGUAUUCUCUGUUGAAUUUAUCCUUGCAUAUGUCCCAACAAGCAAACAUCUCUGCACUAUCCUUUCUUGCACCACACUCUAGUGCUAAUUGUUGGCAUCUCUUAACUUCAUCUGCCACUGGAUUGGAGUUCAUCUUCUGCCUCUUAUCUUCAGUGAAUUUGGCAAUUGAAGCACUAACAUUCCUGAAAAUACUAUGGGUCACAUCAUCCUUCUCUGCUUGCUUGUUGAAGUAAUUUGUCACAGCAGUGAUCAUUGGGCUUCUACUUUUUUUUGGAGGGCUAGUACCUGUUGAUUUGGUGCUUGCACUGGACCUCUUUUUGGUGUUUGAGCUGAUAGGGCUGUCAUAGCAAGCGGCAGGUUCAGCAUCACACUCCUCUCCACCAACUGAAGGGUCUCCACCGUCAUCAUCCUCACCAUCUUCUUCUUGUUCCUCCUCCUCCUCCACUUCUGGAAUGUAUGCUGUGGUUCCAUCUACUGCAGUUUCAUGGAACAUUUCUUCCAACUAAUCUAAGUACUCUGGAGCACCAUGUUGCAACUUCCUCAAUUCUGGCCGUUUCUGCAAGUGACAGGUCAUUCUAAUGAGAAGCACUACAUUUCCUGGAAAUUAAAGGGUUAGUUCAAAAAUUAUGUCUCACCUCUGUGUUUUGUUCCCACCACCAAUUUGGAGCAUGCACUGUCCCAUCAUCAUGUCUACCUAGACCUGACUGGCUCUGUAGGGCUCUCCAAAAGGUAUACAACCUUUUCAACUGAUCUCUUCUGUUCCUAAACUGCCCAAAAUCAUGCCUCAAACCAGUAGCCAUGUAGUACUUGUCCUGAAUUAUCUUCAACCCUCUAGUGGUCAUGUUGCCUUUGGGACAGUUUCCUUCUCUAAUUUGCUCAACUGACAAAUCACAGAAUAUUCCAGUGUUCCUUUCUGUCCACUGUGCUUUGUCAUUUUUAAUCUAUUGGAUAAAGAACAGUGAAUUCAACAACCAACAUUUUCAGGAACACACAAAGUACAUGAAUUUAUCUAGACGUAAUACAGAAGGCACUAAUUCAACAAGCAACAUUUUCAGGAACAUCUAACACUUUCAGCAUGUCACAAUGUGAAUAAGUCACAUAUUCAUAAAGGCACUAAUUCAUGUAGCCACUAAUUCAUCUAGCCACUAAUGCAUAAACCUCUGUCAGGCAUCUAGUCACAAUUCAAUCCAUUCCUGAAAAUUUCAGAACAACUUGCACACCUAAUUCAUACUAUCAAGUUCCACAGCUAAUUUCAUUCCUACUUUCAGAACAACUAAUUCUAAAUGGACCACAAAUUCAUACUAUAAAGUCACAGAUUUUACCUUUGAGGCAGGGAACACAACUUCAACAGCUGCAUCAUCAACAACAUUUUGUUCAUAUGCAUCAAAAGCAUCUUCUGCAGGGACUGAACUUCGUCCACCACGACCACCACCUCGACGGCCUCUUCCACGACUUGCACUUCCAGAACCACCACCGCGAAACAAAGAUCUUGCACGGCCUACUCCACCUCUGCUACCAGGCCCCCUGCUGCCGCUCGGCAUCCUGCUGCCGCCUGCACCUUGACUGCAGCCGGCCGCCUGGCUUCUGCCAGGUCCUAAUGUGUCGCCGGCACCUUUGCUGCCGCCGGCCCCUCUGCUCCCGCCGGCCGCUCUGCUCCUGCCGGCCCCUUUGCUGCCCCCAGCACCACGUCGAGGCAGGGGUAAGCCAAGAGUACAGCUAACGCAGCCCCGGGGAACCUCAUCUCCCCUAAGGUACUCUGAGUAUAUGCUCAGAUCUGCGUACUCCUCAGCCUGGGAGUUGAGGUCCAAGUUCUCCAAGCCGUGACGGGGGGCACUGGAAGACUCGGACUGAGAGAAAAAAUCGAUUUGGCAGGGGGGAAUUUGUGGAUCGGGCUGGGGGAACAAUUCCUCCAAUCCGUCAUCGCCGUUGCCCGCCAUUAGGAAAUGGGGAGGACGAGGCGGGGAACUGGGGAGGAGGCGUCGGGCAAAUGGGGACGACGCGCCGAGGGAAGGAGGCAGCGGCGAAAUCUGGAGGAGGUGGGCUCAAUGGAGAUGACACGGCGGCCAAAUGGGGAGGACGCGCCGGCCAAAUGGGAAGGAGGCGGCGAGGGAAGGAGGCGGCGGCGACUGGAGGAGGCGACGGCCGGCUGAGAUGGCGGCGGGAAAAGGUGGAAGAGGCGGCGAGUGUAGGAGGCGGCGGCCAAGGGAGGAGAGGGCGGCAGCGUAGAUCCAGCCCCGGAAGGGGACGGCGGCGGCGGAAGAAGUACGGGGACGGCGGAGGGAUGAGGAGGCAGCGGCGGAGGGAGGAAGAGGCGGCGGCGGAGGAAGGAGGAGGCGGCGGAGGGAGGAUAGGGCGGCACCGUAGAUCCGGUCCCGGAAGGGGAUGGCGGCGGCGGAAGAAGUACGGGGACGGCGGAGGGAGGAGGAGGCAGCGGCGGAGGGAGGAAGAGGCGGCGGCGGAGGAAGGAGGAGGCGGCGGAGGGAGGAGGAGGCGGCGCAGAUGUGUUGUGCGGGAGGAGGAGGAGAAGCAGAUGGGCAGUGCGCGGGGGAGGAUAGGGGUAAAGGUGGAGAGAGAAGGGGAGGGGUAGGAGGGGUAAAGGUUGGGUUGGGGACCACUUUUAUGAGAGAAAUGGAAGUUUAUGAUGGUUUCUCCUCCUAAUGAAAACAGCACCCCUAAAGUUUAUGAAUACACUUUUAUGACACCAGUUUGGAUGCACAACUCCUAAAAAUGACCUAAAAGUGAACUCCUAAAGUUUAUGAGGUGGUAUCCAAACAGGCCCUUAGCACUGUGCUAAAGUUUAGCAUUGUGUAUCCAAACGGGGCCUAAACCUCGUGUGCGCAGCGUUCCGGGAAGGGCACUCGCACAAUCACACGUGUCUGUAGUCGGCCAGUUGAACCGUCGAAGAAAGUAUGUAGCCGUGGCAGUUUCCAGGCCAUAGGCGGCAAUGUAGCACGUAAUCAUGGGCAUGCUACGGGUAUCAUGUGACCCGCUCAUGCAUUUCCUCAUUCAAGACAAAACACUCAACACUCGAUACAAGAGCUCGUUUGAUAUCAGCAACGAGAACUCGUGGAAGAUCGAUCUUUAUCAAGAGCGUUCACCUUUUGACCAGAGAAAAGUAAUCGGAUUGCCAUCAAAAAGGAAAAGUAAUCGGAUUGGAAAAUCACUUUGUGCAAGCCAGAGUCACAGCACAUCGGAGAGCUAGUGCUUCUACAACUUAUGAUAUAGUAAUGCCAUGGAAAAACUGACAUCAUCUCAUCACACAUCUAUCCAAAUGGUUCCGCACCACCACACCAAUAGUCGAACUUGAUGAAGAAGGGAAAAUUGUUGCAUCAGCAUUCAGGGAAACCAAACCAACUCGCGAUGGAGUCAAUUUCUUAAUUUCCUUCGGAACUCCACACCUUAAAGGCUGAAUUGGCUUCGUACAAUUCAACAUAAUCAUAUUCACAUAAGCUUGAAUCUUCUUGACUAUCACCUAAGGACACACUAGUUUCAGCGUUAGUAAUUUCAUUAUGAGCAUCCCGGGUGUACCAACAUGUGGGAACUACUUCUACACACAGUAUCUUGGUGCAAUGACUGAACAAGUCAAUAUAACUAUGGUUUAGCAUUUCGUAGAUGUAGCAAAAGGGUACAUUAAAAAACAAUGCUCAAUCUCUUCAUCUCGGCCACAGAAACAACAUGUAGGAUUAUCUGGAAUAUGACGUCUUUGUAGCUGAUGUCCCACGGUCAAGCAAUCAUGAACAAGGCAUCACAAAAAAUAUUUUCAUUUUAUUCGAGGCUUUGAUGAACCAUAAUUUCUUCCAAAUUUUCUGCUCACUAAAAGUAUCAGACAUAAUAGCAGCUUUUGGCCUACUUCGAAAAGAUGCAAAGGAAAACGUACAAAGAGGUACACGUCAAAUUAUAAGUUGACUUUACUGUAUAUAAUCACCAAAAUCAGACCGGUUCAGAAAUUGAAACCGAGGAAAAACUCAAAACAUUUUGGGCUGAAAAAUUGAGCCCAUACGGCCAUACAUACCCAAAAAAGCAUUAGACCGGAAUUUUCGGGAUGUUAUAAGGCUGGACCGAGCCUGCCUAAUUUUUUCACGCAGCCAAAAUCAUCACUACAGCCAAAAAAAAAAACCAUUGAGCUAUGGUCCGGGCUUAGCCCAGCAGGCUCGGGGGACCAACCAACCAAAAAGUCUCAGUCCUUGCUUGCAAACAGCACAACCAAGUAAUGGUCGUCUAGGGUCACCACUCUCAUCUAGGCUGGCUUGGUGCACCGUGUACAGGGGCGACGCCACUGGAAAAAGAACUACAUGCAUCCUUCCCACUGUCCUACAGACCUAACCCCAAUGAAGUUCCACCUCGAUGGUGCCACGUGCUGUGCUAUCUCAACAAUCUCAAUAUUCCUUUACUUUCUCAUUCAGCAACCAUAUAUAUGGUAGGAUUGAGAAAUCAUAGGGAUGCUUGGGAUUAGCGAAAUGAUCAUGUCAUAUCCAUCAGGAUUAGUUACAUGGGGUUGGAUUUGGAGCAAGAACGUACAACUUUUCCCCGCCAGUGGAGGGAGGGGGGCAAAAGCUAGCCCCCCAUGCAAUAAUCUAAAUUUUGAUUUUGAAACACCUCUCAUGUUAAUUUUUCUAGCUUCGUGGAUGACCAAUCAUGCAUUUAGUACAUCUCCAAUUGUAUACGUGUUAUUUCUCAAAUCCUUAAUAGAUUAGCUAUAAUUCAAAAUACAAUGUGGGGUUUAACAUGGUUCUUCCUUUGCUCAUAGUAAACCCCGAAAUAUACGUGCAAACGCUCAAGAGUGCAUCACCGGCACGAAACAUCCUACUUACAUGUGAAUAUCAAUAAGGUUCAAGAAUCAUUUAAUUUGUUGUAAAUACGUCGCAUAUCCUUUUCAUAUCUAUCUGGAACCAAAUUAGCCGGACGAUCGAUGCUCUUCAACAGGGGAGGAGGGCAUUGACCCCUUAUGGAUUGUGAUUAGGUAUUGCUUCAACAAUAAAUCUUGUUUUAUCGCCUGAGAAACCCCACGCUGAGUCUGGUUAUCAUAUUAGACCACUUAUGGCUGUUUUGUUUUCUUUUGCGGCCCAUAAUGCAUGUAGCAAUUGAUCAAGUGCGCACAUGCAACAAAAAGCAAACCAGUGACAUCAUCCCACCCCACCCCACAUGCGAAGAAAAUUUGAAACUAAAAAAAGGCCAUAAUAUCAAAUCAAGCAUCCAAAUUAAGUUACAAAUCGUAUCAAGCAUUCAAGCUACAACAAGAUCUUUAUGUUUGGAUACUAUUUUUAAAAAUAUUUUUACCAAGUUGGAAUUUUUAUAAAUUAUUCUAGGUUUAGGAGAAAACUGUUCUAGCUUCAAAAUAAAUAUUCCGUAAAAAAAUAUAAAUAUAAAAAGGUAAUUAGUUUUAUUACUGCUAACAAAUACUACGUACGUUCUCAUGUUUAGGACAACUAACUAAUUCCUUUUGAACUAAUUAGACAAGCUAACUCGUUCAUUUUUAAAUUAAUUAGUUUAUCCGUCAUAUAUUUAAGACAUUUAAGACCGGAAGGAGGAUCGUUCGAAUUCAAAAAGAUUAAACACGACACACAAAUACACAAAUGAUAAUAUAUUGUAAACAAAUAUUGAACAUUAUGAAUAGAUAAUUGUACAUUACGAACAAGACAUUGAACAUCUCGAACAAUUGCUUAGGUUGUGAACAAAAGAAUAUAAACAUACCACUUAAUUCCUUAUAAAUCUGCUGCAGUCGAUUACAAAAAUAUAUCCUUUUCGUAUCCGUCCGGAACAAACUAGCCGAACGAUCAGUAGUCGUCGGCACGAGAUUAUCCUGGGCCUGUAUACUGUAACUGUUGAAGCAAUAACUUUUUUAAGAGAUGAUUAAAGUUCUGUCAUGUUAGACGGCCGCUCAGUACAGCAGAUGCCUGUGUCACGGCCCUGGCCACCCUGUAAAUCUCAUGUUGUACAGACUUCCAGGACUCUGAAGUGUUGCUGCUCCGAGCGCUGCCUAUGGCGUUGGCUAUACCGGGAUAAACUGCAGUAUCCCAGUCAUUCUGGUCUGAAGGUCCAUACACCUGAGUGGUAACACUCGCAGUUAGUAUAGGCCUUCCAGAGAGGAAAGCGAGUGAUUUGUGCAUGAGUAUCUGCUCACCAGAUGCUUAUACCAUUCUUGUUUGAAGAUGCCCUCCCUGCUAGUGAAUGCUCGCUCGGCCUGCAUGAGCCGGUCAUUGAGCUGUCGGAUUUUCAGUGAAUCCUUGUUCAGCUGAUUGCUCAACAGUUGUUUUUGAAGUUCCUGAAUGUGGCCACAGUGCACAAAAACAAGUACGGUAGAUUUUAAGUUUUGCAUAAUCUGAGCAGCAAUUCUUAAGUGGGUACCUUUUGUUCAUUGUUCACUGUGGUAGCUGCUGUUUUGAGAGCUCUGAUUGAGUUGUACAGUGGGGAACAAGUAACAUCUGUUCCCUUAACUUUAUUCUCCAAUACCUUUGUGUAUGCCUGCCAUCAGAAACAAAAUUUAGUUCUGUCAUGUCUUCCCAGUGUCUGAUACUCUGAGUGGCUCUACUGGCCUACAGAUACAGUUGCAUUUAGUGGACACAGGGCCCGUCUUACCUCAAGCUCGAUUGCGUAGGACAUGUAAUUGAAGGGUAUGAUCUCAUCAUCGGCCAGCCUCAGAGCCAUCAUUCCCCAUAUGCUAGCAGCUGCAAACAUCUUGGUUACCACAUGGUGGCGCAGAUAGUGCCUCAACUAAUAUAACGGAGCAAUACAACGGAGCACAAAAGCAGGGGCAAUACAACGGAGCAGACCUGCAACAUGCCUACGGAACCCAGGAUCUCCGAAUUUUGCCAUCCACACGUAGUCAUCAUAUAAGGAGUGGUAAACCGGAUAUCCUGGUCCUGCAAACGCCAAAACACCCAGAAAGAUACAUGAAAAGACGAAAAUCGCCAGAAUAAACGAAUUCAUGAAGAGCAGGGGCCUUACCUUCUCCGAAAACUAUAUUCAUUGAAGGAAUACCAGCAUGUUGGACAAAGGCUAAGUAGUCUGAUCCUCCAUCGCCUAGUCUUAGAACCUUAAUGCAAGCGACCAGCAGUGCGAAGAGUAAGUGAUGUUAAAUAACUUGCCAAAAAGCCAGAAAGUUAUAACACUUGCAGUGCUUAAAAAACUCAAAGGUCUAUUUUGUGUUCAAGGAACUAGUAACCAGACAGUAAUACUUGGUGAUAACACACUAACCAGGUCCUCAGAAGAAUGUAUACUGUAGACUAUUGCAUAAGCAAGUUAUUGCAACUCACCCGGGGAGAACCAUUCGAUUUGAUCCAUGAAUCAUAUACAGUCUGAGAUGAAUUGUCAGGAUCUUGAACCUUCACAAAUUGAUAAAAAAACAGUUUUACCUUUUGGACAUUGUAAUAAGGAAAAUCCUAUAAACAUCAGAUUACCUCACAAGAAAAGACUACUGUUAAUUAAAAAAUGGUGAUCAAAAUAAAACAAAGUUCAAUAUGACUAUCAUAUUUUUCCUUUAUUUCUCCGGGGUAUUUUACUAUCUCUAGUUGCCUGUAUGAUGCACACACCACUUUAGUUAUUUCCUGAAGCAACUCGUCAAGUUGGGGAGUUGUAGACGGCAGGAAUCCUGGACCAACGACUGAAACGUCGAUAUUUAGAUAAGCAACAGCUCUUGAAGAUAGCAUCUCCCGGUUUUCUUCAACCCAUUCAGUCGACCCUGUCUGAGUAAAUGCAAUUUUUUUUAUCAAUAUUGCCGUUUUAUUGUAAAUAUAUAAAAUGGACAAGAGCGGCUCAAACAAAGAAACAGACCAAUCCGUACUCUUCUGCAUCCCAACUACAGAAGAUAAUGGUUCUUCGAGGUCUCCAUCCUUGCUUUUGCAGCAUCGAGAACCUUUGAGCUAACUAGAGGGACAGAAGGUGGAAUAACAUGUCAAGAACCAGACAAGCAGCAGAUCUUGCUUCUUGUACAAUAGGUCAGGCACAGAAAACAUGAAAUGGGACUUUCAGCCACUUGCCCACUUGAGCUUACAGAGGACAUGGUUGGUACCCAUUCUAAGCCAAUCAGUAUUCUGACCCAGCAGGUCAACAAAUACAGAGCCUACUCAACUACAGCGAGGACAUCCUGUAAGCGAAAACUACCUCAAUCAUUGCUGCAGUUCCGCUGUUGGGGUCAGAUGCUCCGAACGUCCAAGCAUCACGAUGGUUACCCAGAAUGACAUACCUGUACCACAAAAUGCAGUACUUUCUUCAGUAGCAUGCUUAGCAGAAAAGGACAUACGAUUCUGUGUGGUUUAACUUGUGACUACGCCAAUAUGCAGAUUGACACGUCUCUAAUCUCCACUUAAACUGUGAGGAUCCAUAGCUGAGUCUAAUUGUUUGCUUUCAAGAAGAGGGCUUCCAGUAAACAAAACGACGAGAAAAUUGUGCUUGGCUUUUUUUUAGUUAGUGGUUGUAAGCUAUUUCCCCGCCUGAAGGAAACAUUUCCAUAGCUAGUACAUUGCACCCAAGACCCAAAACCAAAAGUAAGCACUCCAAGUCCAAGCCACUUCAAACUUCUAUGAAGUUGGAAUGGUUAAUAAACUAGACAUUUGUCUUUUCCAACUUUUCCUAAGAAUGAUAUGGUUGCAGAUCCUUCCGAUCUUCAAAGUUGAGCUCGAUAGGAUAUUAUAGGUUCAGAAAAUUACCAAGCACAUCGUUAUGCAAUAAAAGCACAAGAAUCAAAUCCAUUGGUACUGUGCGCAACUUGUCAUGAUAUCAUACUUUUUUUAACUAAAAAAUUUCUUAUCUGACUCUCUAUCAUUGAACAUGGGCGUCCUCUACAGAGCUACCACUACCGCACUAAGUCCUAGACUAAGUGUUUGGAUGCUAGUGACUAAAGUCCAGUCCCGUCACAUCGGAUGUUUGGCUACUAAUUAGAAGUAUUAAAUAUAGGCCAAUGAUAAAACUAAUUGCAUAAACGAGGACUAAUUCGCGAGACGAAUCUAUUAAGCCUAAUUAAUCCAUAAUUAGCACAUGUUUACUGUAGUAUCGCAUGGACUAAUUAGGCUUAAUCAUUAAUUAAUUAGCACAUCUCGUGAAUUAGCCCUCAUUUAUGCAAUUAGUUUUAUCAUUAAACUAUAUUUAAUACUCCUAAUUAGUGUGCAAACAUCCAAUGUGACAGGGACUAAAGUUUAGCCAGGAUAUCCUCUUAUUACCCUGAAAAGGAAACUUCUUGCGGAAUGAUAGAUCCGUUUGUCUUGCUCUACCUCGCAAGGACUUAUCCAAACACCCCCUAAGGGGGUUAGUCAGGAACACCAAACACCCCCUAAGUCAGUUAGUCAGGAUAUCCAAACACCUCCUUAGGUGAAAAUAAAAUAUAUAGCUCUCCUCUCAUCAUCUUUAUCAUCUAGAAGGUCAAUGGAUGGUCCAAAAGUAGUGCAUUGAAAUGCACAAGGCAGAAAGUUAUGUGCAAUGCGAUGUCAAAUUUCACAAGGAGUAUGGCAGAAGCAUCAUGACAAAGAAGGAUCACUAAAGAAACAGAAUGAUGCAGCAUCACAUUCCAUGAAGAAUUUGUUACCUAUCCGGCUCUUCAGCGCCUUCGAUGAUGGCAAAGACAUUCUCGAUCGUUGCCAUUGUAUCAUUCCCCUGCAAAGUUUCACAACAAAAGCGUCACCGAAAGGCAACCAGCCGUAAAGCGAGACAACGCCGCCUCGAAAUGUCCAUACAAGAUACGUCAGGUUCAGAACCGCCGGCCCGGGGCCGAGGCGGUACACGGGGCCGUCCUCCCGGCCCUGCCACCCCGCCGGCGCCACGGCCCCGCCCAUCCCGGAGUGUAUCUCCAUCGCGUCACGCGCCGACACCGGCAGCGCCGGGAUGAGCGGCAUGUCGUCGGUGCCCAUGGCCUCCUCCACGCUGAGGCGCUCGCAGCCGUCGGACGACGGCCACAUCGGCGUCGUCGGGUCGCCGGCGCCGAGGAACAGGCUGCCCACCUGCACGCCGCUGGGCGGCAGCCACCGGGACUCCGGGAACGCCGCCUCCCCGGGGGCGCCGCCGUAGUGCAGCGGGUCCGUGUACACCACCGCGGCCGCGGCGCCCGCGGCGCGCGCGUUGUGCACGACGCCCUCGCAGUGGAUCCUCCCGUACCGCGCGAGCGCCACCUUGCCCGCGACGUCUACGCCGCGGGAGGCGAGGUAGGCGAAGUCCUCCUCGCGGCCGUAGUUGGCGUACACGGCCUCCGCGGAGACGGACCCGGACGCCGCGUACGCGUAGAACGUCGGGAUGGCCUCCGCCGACGCGGCCGCGUAGGGGUCGCCACGGUAGGUCUCCUGCUUCAGGGCGAAGGAGGUGGAGGCGCCGGCGCCGCGCCCCGGCGCUGAGAGGGAGAGGGAGCGGUGGACGGGGUAGGAGAGGAGGACGGAGUAGGGCGCGAUGUGGGCGGGGAAGGGGAGCGCGUCGCGCACGUAGCGGGCGGUGCGGGAGUUGGCCCUGGUCCCCGCGACGUGCGGGUGGAGGGUGAGCGAGCGGAGGUGCGCGGCGGCGGUGUCGUUGGAGCCGAGGGAGAGGAAGAGCGCGCCGUAGUUGGGGGACGGGUUGUGCGCGGGGGCGCGGCGGAGCGCGAGGAAGAGGAGCAGCGCGAGGGAGGCGCCGAGGACGGCGAGCGUGGAGGACAGGAGGUAGAGGAAGCGGCCGUGAUGGUGGGGCUUGCCCCGCGGCGGCGAGGGGGCUAGGAGCGACGCUGCGUCGAGGCGGGACAGCAUGGCGCGGCGCGGGAGGUCGAGGGAGUGCGGGUGCACGGCCUCUGGUGGCGGCUUGGCGGGGAGAGCAAAAGGCAGAGCGGGGGUUUAAGCGGCGGGUGCGGGUCCCUCUCCCCAUCCUCGGACGACGCCACGACGGACAUGGACCGUUUGAUGGGAGGCGGUCUUGUAGCUCCUGAUAAGGCCACGCCACACUGGGGUUGGAUGGAUCAAGAAUUCAAGAUCAAUGUGUGGAUGGAGCGCUCUCUCCGGCGAGGCGGGCCUCGGCGUUGUCACAAGAGGCGAUGUUGGCAGAGUGAUUCUUUUCGUGCUAGUGCUCAGGAGUUGGAGGCCCUAGCAUGCACGAACUUCAAGAGAAAAGAGAGAACCUCAUCGAUCACUCAACAUGAUCGUUACUAUCUUGAGCAACCAAUAGCUCAAUGCAACGGGAACUUUGCUAAUGCCAGCGGCUAGUUUGGUAGUGUGGUUUUGUUGCCAGUUGAGCGAGCUCUCGCGGGGCAGCACUAUUUUGUUCUCUUCCGGCAAACAACUACAUAGACUUCUAAUUUCUUUCUCCGACGGCGAAGCACAAAGGUUUUUUUUUUGUUGAGUAACGGCGAAGCACAAAGUUAGCGCUCAUGCUUCAGACAGCUUGUGUCACAGUGGGCACGGACGGAUUCAACAAUGGCCUUGUCUCGUUUCCUCCCUGCUAAGUUCCUUCUCAGGCAUAUCAGAAAAGUUUUGUGCUCCAAAUUUCGGGAGAAAGGUUUGUCCAAAAUUUUCUUAGUUGCUCAAGUUAGAAAUAUAAGUUCAUCAAGGUUUAAUAUGAGUCAAAUAUUUUUAAUAAUCCUUUGUAUCUGAAUUUUAUAUACUCCUAGGCUGGUAACCCAAAAUUGACAUUACUAGAUUUGUUUUGACCACUGCUUUCUAAUAAUAUAGGCCUCUUUUCAUCUAAGCUAGGACUAAGAUGAUUUAUCCUUAUAGAUACUGAUAACCAAAUUUUUUUAAAAAAAAUUGACUUAGCAGAAAACUAGUAAAAAAUCUAUUUUCCAUAAUUUGCAACUCCAGAUUGAAUGAUUGGUAUCGCUGCUUGGAUGAUCACUCGUUAUAAAUAAAUCAGAUUGUUAAGCACAUAGAUGUAAUACAGUUAUACGUAAUUGAUUGUAUGUAAAGCAUCUUCUUGAAAUAUCAACAUACACGCUGACCAAGGCCGUCAUCGCCAUCUAUAUGCUGUCGUUUUUCUUAGGGAAAAAAAAGCAUGUAAUAUGAUAGCGGUUGCAUUGGACACGCCGAUGGCCAUCAAAAUUAGUCAGAGUAUGUUUGUUUCUUGAGCUAAAGUUUAGUUCGUGUCACAUCGAAUAUUCGGAGGCUAAUUAGAAGAAUUAAAUAUAAGUUAAUUAUAAAACUAAUUGUACAGGAGGCUAAACGGCGAGACGAAUCUAUUAAGCCUAAUUAAUCCAUCAUUAAUAAAUGGUUACCGUAGAAGCACAUUGUCAAAUUAUGGACUAAUUAGGCUUAAUAGAUUCAUCUCGCCGUUUAGCCUCCAUCUGUGUAAUGGAUUUUGUAAAUAGUCUACAUUUAAUACUCAUAAUUAGUAUCUAAAUAUUUGAUGUGACGGAUGCUAAAAAUAAUGCCCGAAACAGACACAGAGUCGAAUAGUCGAUCCCCCUUUCUCUUCAUGGCGAAAUGUGCCUCUCUUCUCUUUAUCACGUCAUUCCGUUCCGUACGAUAGCGGUUGGGCGUACGUGCCCACAUGGUUUUGUUUUCAUAGAAAAAAUCUUCUAUACGAAUCAGAAGAUUUAACCAAAUGUUUGGAAUCAAUCUUGGGUGUGCACUAUGCAGCUCUCGUCCAAACUCCGGGCCCAUCUUUUAAUAGUGUCGUGUCGACACUAUGUGAUCAUCUGUCUCUGUGUUUGAGCGUGUUAGAUUAGGAUUCCGAAAGGGAUGAGUACCCGAAACUUUUGGAUGUGACACCGAAAGGGACAUUCGACACUCGUGGUCCGUGGAAUAAACAAUCUGGAGUUCCAGGUCUCAUGCAGAUGCAGAGCAGUUACCCAUAUCAGUACACGCAAAAACUGUACGGUGCGAGUAAAAACAUUGACAUCCUGAGCCCUGAUGGCCUGAUGUAACGCAAGGCUUCGGCGGCCGGCCGGCCGGCAACGGAUGACCAGCGCGAUGCUGACGUCCUGCGGUUCAUCAUGCCGUCCAUGCGUCCACACGUGACCUGGAAAAUCGUGUUGAGCAUGGAAGUACAGGACCCCGGUUUGUUUGAUGUCUUCGGCCUGGUUUGGUUAGUUUUUAAGCAUAUAUCACAUCGAAUGUUUAGAUACUAAUUAGGAGUAUUAAACGUAGAUUAUUUACAAAAUCCAUUACAUAAGUGGAGGCUAAACGACGAGACGAAUUUAUUAAGCCUAAUUAGUCCAUGAUUUGACAAUGUGUUGCUACAGUAAAUAUUUGCUAAUGAUGGAUUAAUUAGGCUUAAUAGGUUCGUCUCGCUGUUUAGCCUCCACUUAUGUAAUGUGUUUUGUAAAUAGCCUACAUUUAAUACUUCUAAUUAGUAUCUAAACAUUGAUGUGACACUUCUUUCGCGGUGGAAAACGAUGCUCUUUUUUAAGCCAGGCGUGCGGUCACGUGCUACGUAAAAUACAGAUCGGCAAGCUGCAACAGACAGCGAUAACGAAAAAAUGAAACAGAAACAAGGACAGAUCGGCGAGCUAGGCGUGUUUGAUAGCAGUACUAAACUUUAAACGUGUCACAUCGGAAAUUCGUUUCGUAAAUUAGCCUCCAUCUGUACAAUUGAUUUUGUAAUUAAUUAUAUUUAAUACUUCUGAUUACUAUCAAAAUAUUCGAUAUGAUUUAAUUUUUAGGAGCUCCUAAAGAACCAAACGGGGUCUAACUGCAGAAUAUUCUGUAAUACCUGUUCAGCCAACCAGCGACCCAGUUCAGAUAUACAGGGUGCAGGACACACGAGUGACGCUCUCCAAAAUUAGGCCAUGUUUAAUUACUCCUAACUCCCAACUUUGACACUAUGCAAAAAGAAGAUUCUCCAUCACAUCAAAAUUGCGGUACAUGCAUGGAGUACUAAAUGUAGACGAAAUUAAAAACUAAUUGCACAGUUUUGUUGUACUUUGCGAGACGAAUCUUUUGAGCCUAAUUAGUCAAUAUUUGGACAAUAAUUUACAAAUACAAACGAAACGCUACAGUGUGCUACAGUGCUGGCACAGUAAUUUUGCAUCUUCAAAGUUGCGCAACUAAACAAGGCCUUAUUGGUUCAGUGCCAGCAGGUGUGUUGCCUUCACGGAAUCUUUUGCGUGCACUCCUGCAGCUUCAAGAAUUCUAAACGGACGGCGACCCUCCAUCAACCCUGUCCUGUGUUGCCGUUCCUGCCAAUGAGCCCUGAGAUCCCAGAACUUGUGAACAUGUUCUCGUUGGUCCCAUGCCGCUGACAUGGUCUAAACCGGUCCGACACAAUGCCAAUCAGCUCACCUCCAUCAAGAUAUUUACAGGUGGAUUCUUUCGCACUGCUUAAUUUGGUGCGGCUGCAGUACACCAUGAUAGCGAAAGCAAAGGACAAUCACACAACUCCAAAGAAGCUGAUUGGUGUUGCUUUCAGGAGAAUCACCAUGAGAGAUGAAUCACUAUUCUUAUUCAGUGUGACUGUGAAUCCAGCAUAUUUCUUCUGUAUCUAAACAUAAUUACCCAAUUAUACAUCUGACUCGCUUCCAAGCCUUUUUUUCCAAAAAAAAAGUAAAAUAAAAGCUGAAGCUACCCAGUACUUUGAUCUAUAUAGAAUGGAAGCUGCAGCACAUAUCAUGUUAGUCCACCAUCCAGGACUGCAGAAGCCUUGGACACGGCCCUUGCAACCCUGUAAAUCUCAUGCUGCAGCGACCGCCAGGAUUCGGUCGUGUUGGACUUCUUGGCCUUGUCCAUGGCCGAGACGAUAUCAGGGAACGCUUUGGUGCCCCAGUCAUCCUGAUCCGAUGACGCAUAGAUCUGUCGAAUGUAAAAGAUGAAAUGUUUUGUCACUGUGUCAACUUCAGAUUUCACAUUGCGAGCCUGGAGCUCUGAUAGGCUGAUGCUCUGUGACUCACCAUAUGCUUGUACCAUGGUCUGCCCGCGAGUCCCUCUCGGUUGGUGAAGGCUCGCUCGGCCAUCAUCAACCGGUCAUUGAUCUCCCUGACUUUCAGUGUGUACUGUCUCGUCUUUAGGCUCCAGUUUUCUGCUUGUAGCAACUACAUAGUACAAAGAGAUGAGGUGUUUUAAUUGAAAGUGUUUCAGUGGAAGUUACACAUCCGUGUACCAUACACCGUUAGGUGAGGUCUUACCAUCUUCUCUUUGUGAAUUUUGGUGGCUGCCCUCUCAAGCUGCUUGAUGGACUUCUGCAAAGGAGAGAAACUGACAGGAAAUCCUUUACAUUUAUCUACGAUGUCUUUUGUGCAUUCCUGCAGUUAAAAAGAUGACAGAAAAUUGUUUCAUGCCUCAAGCAUCCAUAAGCACAAGUUUACCGAUAAAAAGGAAGCGAAUUGUGUGUCCCAAAUGUGAAUAAGUGGUACCUCCAGUUCGGAUGCAUAAGAGACAUAAUUGAAGGGUAUGAUCUCAUCGUCAGCAAGUUUCAGAGCAAUCAGACCCCAAACGCUGGCCACUGCAUGAUUGAUGCAAGGAAAAAUGGUUUGCCGGUGCUUGGGGGAUAAACUAGAAAGCUUUUGAAAAGAAAAGAUGGCUCAGUACCUGCGACAUGCCUGUGGAACAAGGGAUCUCCGAACCUCUCCACCCAAACAUAAUCAUCAUACAACGAGUGGUAAACAGGGUAUUCUUUGACUGCAAGAGCAAUAAUGUUACAUCAAAUGCUAGAUGAGCAAUGAUAGCUAUUAAUAAUGCAAAGCCUUUAUUUUGCAAUUACGCAGAGCCAUGCUUCAGAUACAGUUUCACUUACUCGUUCCAUAAGACAUGUCAAGUGAUGGGACCCCAAUAUGUUGGAGAAAUGCUGCAAAAUCAGUUCCAGCACCAGCCACUCUAGUUAUCUGAAAAAAAAGGGGGGUGGGGGGAACCUACCAGUUCAGCACAUGGCAAAAGGAGGCCUUGUCCAGUGGAAUUUUGCUCUUUUCAUCACUCAUUUGGACCAUAACAGAGUCGUAGGACAUUUUAACGCCGAACUUACCGGUGGAUGAUGGCUCAUCAUGGUGUCAUACAAGGUUUGAGAUGGCUCAUCAGGAUCAGGUACCUUCAAACAAAGAAAUAAUGAAAAGGUAUAUCCGGUAGCUCCGUAGCAUAGUGAUGUGUACAAAGUAGGACAGCCUGAAUACCAUUUUACUCGCUUCUUUGAUCAACUCAUCAAGUUGAGGGGUUGCGCGGGGACGAAGACCCCCAGGACCAAACACUGAUAUGUCCACGUUCAGGUAAGCAAUAGCUCUGGAAGCUAGAGUGUCCAUGUUCUCCUCGGCCCAUUCAGUAGAGCCGAUCUGAGACAGUGUACAGAUCGCAUGAAUGAUUGUUCAUCUGGGCAUGUGAGCAGAAAAGGAUAUGUGAAUUAGUGAGCAAAAAGGUACCAGAGCAAACUCCUCAGCGUCCCAACUGCACAGGAUUAUUGUUCGUCGAGGCCUCCACCCUUUCGCUUGUAGCUUGGACAGCCUCCCUGCGAUCUAUACACAGUGGGAGGGAACCGGAUGCCUUCAGAAUUUGUUCUUUGAAGAACGAGAUAAUGGCUCACUAGUUUUGCAAAUGCACAGUGGAGAAUUUCCCCAAAUUGUCUAGGAUGUCAUCAAAAUUGCCCCGGAUGCUUGAUAACAUACUAUGCACGAACAAUUACCUCAAGCAUGGCUGCUGUUCCACUGUUAGGAUCAACUGCUCCAAAUGUCCAUGCAUCACGAUGGUUGCCUAUGAUCACAUAUCUGCACACACGUCAAGCAAUAGUUAAUUGUCAAGUUUCAAGAUGCCCAUGCGCCACGAUGGCUGGGAUAUAAAACUGUGGCAAAUAUAUAAAAAAAAACCAAGGAACCAUGAACUUGGUCAAACAAAUAUGCAGAGUACAAAAUACUACUCUGCCUGGAGUACAAGAGCUCAUAAAUGUCCUUUCUAGAAUACUGAUAAGCCUGCAUCCGGCAUGCGCCUAGCGCAGCACUGGGAACUCCCAAUUGUAGCCUGCUGCAGUUGCCCAAAAUUUUGCAAAAUGUGUACAAUUUAGGAGGGAUUAGUUACCUGUCAGGCUCUUCUUUCCCUUGGAUCACCGCAAACACAUUCUCGAUUGUUGCUAAGGUUUCGUUUCCCUGCAAAUAGUAGUCAAAAAAAUGGUCAGCAAAUUCCACUUGAAUUCAGAGGACAGUGCCCAGCAGAUAAUGGUUGCGCUGGGCUCCACUGAUCCACUCACAAUGUAGGUGAGAUUCAACACGGCCGGACCGGGACCGAGCCGGUACACAGGAGCGCCCUCGCCGCCCUGCCACUUCGGCGGCGCCACGUCGCCGCCCAUCGCCUUCAGGAUCGUCUCCCCGUCCCUGGCCGACACCGGCAGCGCCGGGAUGCCGGGCAUCGCCGCGCUCCCGGCCAGGUCCUCCGCGCUCAGCCGCUCGCAGUCUUCCCCCGCCGCGCACGACGGCCACAGCGGCGUGGUCGGGUCGCCGUUCAUGUAGUACAGGGUCCCCACCUGCACGCCGGUCGGCGGAAGCCACCGCGCGUCGGGGAACCACCUCCGCUUCUCUCCCUUGCCGGCGCCGCCGCCGUAGUCCUUGGCGUCGGUGUACACGAUCGCAGCGGCGGCGCCCGCGGCGCGCGCGUUCCGCACCAUGUCCUCGCAGUGGAUGUCGCCGUAGCGCGCGAGCGCGACCUUGCCCGCGACGUCGACGCCGCGGGAGGCGAGGUAGGCGUAGUCCUCGCUGUGGCCGUAGUUGGCGUAGACGACCUCGGCGGCGACCGAGCCGGACGCCGAGUAGGCGAAGUAUGUCGAGAUGACCUCCGCCGCGGCCUCGGCGUACGGGUCGCCCUUGUAGGUCUCCUGCACCAGGGAGAACGGCUUGGCGGCGAGGCCCCGCGACGGGGCGAGGGUGAGGGAGCGGUGGACGGGGUACGAGAGGAGCACCGAGUAAGGGGUGAUGUGCGCGGGGAAGGAGAGGGAGGAGAACGCGUGGAGCACGUAGCGGGCCGCGGCCGCGUUGGCCUCGGUGCCCGCGACGUGGGGGCGGAGGGUGAGCGCGCGGAGGUGGGCGGCAGCGGUGGCGUUGGAACCGAGGGAGAGGAAGAGCGCGUGGUAGCGCGACGGAUUGGUCGGCGCGAGGAGGUGGUAGGACGCCACCAGAGCUGCCGUGACGGCGAGAAACGCGACGAACCUGCGCCUCCCGGCUGCGCCACCGCCGCCGUCGGCGGCGGGUGUGGGAGAGUGGAGGAGUGGCUGGCUCUGUUUGCCGCCGCGAGACGUGGCCAUGGCGCGCGACACCGGGGAGGUGGGAACUGGCCGGUGAGCGGCCAGUCACUGGGAAGUGAUAGCUAUAAAACGGGGCUCUGAAGUCUGAACUUCCGAAGUGGAUCUUCUGUUCUGUUCGUCGAUGUGCAGAGAGCACCUCCAGUCGGAACUUCCGAAUUGUAGCCCCACGCUCACGUGCACAGUUUUUUGUUUUUGUUUUUGCGAAUACGCGUGCAGGUUUAUAAUCACACGCAUAAAAGAUAAAAGCUACUCAUCCAUCCCAAAUUAUAAGUCAUUCCAAAAAUCUUAGAGAGUCAAAGUAUCUCAAGUUUGACCAAAUUUAUAUGAUAAUAUAAUAACAUUUAUGAUGUCAUCUAAGUAUCAUUAGGUUCUUCAUCUAUAUUUUCAUAGUAUACCUAUUUGAUGUCACAAAUCUUUAUAAUUUUCUUUAUAAUUUUAGUCAAACUUGAGAUGCUUUGACUCUCCAAGACUCUUGAAAUGACUUAUAAUUUGGGAUGGAGGGAGUAUUUGUUUAUAAGCAGAAAUUAUUUCAACUUCGUACAGUUGGAUUCACUCGAAGGUCGAUUCUUUUUGUGCUCCCUUUUCUCCGAUGAGGUUAGGAUUUUUUUUUCCUUCAAAACAAAUGAGGUUAGGAUUUGGGUGGGAGCUCCUAGUUCUUGAGGAAAACAAUUAAUCCAAUUUUGAAGGUGGACACGGGGACAUGGUGAUAAGACCAUGAAGAUACUGCCGGCAACAUAAGACGGUUGGGAUUGUGACAAGGUGUUAGUUGUAGUGGUGGCUAUUGGAGCCAACUCUGGUGCAAACGGGAGCAAAAGGCAAAAGAAAUAAAUCAACGAAGUUGUGCAAAUGGUGAGGAUUUCGGGUAGGAUGGAGGAAUUUGGAUGGAUAAAAGAGGGAUGGAUUGAAUUUGGAAGGAUAAAGAGCAGCAAGGAAAGCAUCGACGCGGAUGAUCACACUAGCAAGAUUAAAGAGGACAGAUGAUUACAAAUGCCAUAAGAAAUCGAGAAUAAAGCUGCUCACUUUUAGAAACCAGAUUCAUUUGGACGACGUGACACAUUUAGAAACCCAUUUAGUCCUUGUUUGGUUGGAAGGCUUCAAUCCUUUGGGAAGAGGAUUAACCAAACAAUAUCAAGAAACAAGCUUAAAAGUUAAAACGUGCUCCCUGCACUAAUAAUUGAACGCCGGAGUAGAAUCAACGAGAGCGACCUUUGACGGUUGACAGCAGACAGCAGUACGUUUUUUUCCUUGAUGCUGACGAGGCAGCACCACUGCUCGUUUUUCUUCGUUUUGCCAUAAAUAUCGACUCGUACACGCCGUUCUAUCUCCAUCAAUUUCUCCACCUUGCCGAGCCGGCCCCGGUACCUGCUUCGACUUUCAAUUUGGUGCAGGACGCAUCAUCGAGGCUGACCCAGGUUCCGGCCUUGUUCCUCCGUUCACCAAAGCGGCGAGCAACACGUCACCGUCAUCUGUCCGCCGCCGAUCUGAUCGGGUCGGAUGCGGGGUCCCGAUGAGGCAGCUGCGUGAGUCCGGUGAUCCGGGCCCCAUGCAUAUUGUAAUCGACGUUUGGGGCCCGAAUUCAGGAUGACGAUAAUUGACGAACAAUCCUCAGACGUAAGAAAAAUAUCGGGAGAACAACAAGAGGCUUCGCCAUCCGAGCUCGCUGCUGUCGUGCAAGUAGACGAACCGAGAUACCGGGAGUAGAAAAUUCGUGAUCGAAAGCGCCAGGAUUCGGGACCUAUGUCGCAGGAAUCAGGUCGCCGCACGGCACCUCUUUAAAAUGUCAUAUUUUCAUAAUUUAUUGAUAAAAGCAUCUAAUUUUCAAUAUCCUAAACAAUAUGUAUUUUUUUAAACGAAAACAAUAUGUAUUUUGAAUUGAUAGGAAAAUAGUAACACGGAUCUUAUAUUGUAGACUUAAUUGUGAGGAACACAUUGGUUUGAACAAUAUUGUAAAAUAGCCAAGGGUUUGAGAGAGAUUUGGAUUUCAAUUUCAGAAUGCAAUUCCGAAAUAGCUUUUUGUGAUCUUGCCUCUAUUUUUUAAGUGCAAUUGUAUUUUUACCCUUGUUUUUUUAACUUUAUGAUUUUACCCUCAACUAUUCACAAGUCAAUGCAUUUUUACCCUUAAUCUUUACGUAUUUACCCCUAUUUUUAUCGUUGACUAGGGCAAAAUCACAUUAACUUAUGAAUAGUUAAGAACAAAAUAACAAAGUUGAGAAAAGAAGAGCAUAAUCACACUUACAUAACACAAAUGCCCUUCCAAAAUUCUACCCACAACCACCUGUGGCCCUGUGGGCCUACGGUGCACAGCUGAGCCUAACGGCAAAUAAUGAUGGACGGAUGACGACCUUCAGGCCCAAAGAAUCCCAAAAGCAAGAUCUGCUGAUAUAUCUUUGCAUCCGAUUGCCCUGAGGCUGUGUGAACUAAUGGCGGUGGUUGCAGUUAGAUUUCUUUAACAGGAACUGGAUUUCGUGACUUAUGAUGAUUUGUCUGGCAGUCCAGUUCAGUAUGGUAAAAAAAAUGGAAGACCUCAACUCUGUCCUGCCUUAAUCUGAACUCUGUUUUGCUUUGCUUCAUGUGAUUCUGUUGCAUUGCUAGCUGCGAAAAAACGAACCCGGCAUGCUCCAUCAAAACACUGAUGAGCGUUUCGUUGUUUGAGAUGCCUGCGUGGCAUCCUUGCUUCAGAUUCCUGCGCUGCCUCGCACGUUCUGCACUCGCAGCUCGUGAUUCGAGAAUGGGUCUCGCUGAGUCAUCGUAUGGUCUGGUUUGGUUCCGGAUGUUUAUUUUUAGCACCCAUUACAUCGAAUGUUUAGAUACUAAUUAGAAGUAUUAAACGUAGACUAUUUACAAAACCCAUUAUAUAAGUGGAGCCCAAACGGCGAGACGAAUCUAUUAAGUCUAAUUAGUCCAUGAUUUGACAAUGUGUUGCUACAGUAAACAUUUGGUAAUGAUGGAUUAAUUAGGCUUAAUAGAUUCGUCUCGCCGUUUAACAUCUACUUAUGUAAUGGGUUUUGUAAAUAGUCUACGUUUAAUACUUCUAAUUAGUAUCUAAACAUUUGAUGUGACACGUGCUAAAAAUAAGCAAAGGGAACCAAACACACCCAAAUAUCUGAAAACGACGUGAACUUAAUCUAGGUUUUCUUUACAGCCCGUCGAUCACGAAUUUUAAUAAAACGCUAGCUACUGCAAAGUCUUGGCCACCUCGCAUUGAUCGCCAUUAGAAUAUAUGAACAGAUGGAAGGAAGCAGGCAAUUGUCUCAUAGAGGGUGCGAGCAAGGAAUCAGGCAUCGUACGGGGACAUGGGCGACGAUGCGAGGGCGCUGCGGCUGGCCGCCAUCGCGAGGAAGUGGCUGGAGGACCCCCGCGUCGGAUACUCCGGCGAUCUCAACCCCGCCGCCAGCGACAGCGAGCGGCAAGCGCUCAGCUCCAUGGCGAUGGCCGGCGCGCGCGUCUCCCUCGCCGAGCCCGGCCGCGUGGUCUGCUCGCUCCGCGUGCGCGCCCCGCUCACCGUACGUGUGUCCACCUGCCCAAAGUCUUGCACGCCCGCGCCGAGCAUUUGAGCCUUUGGUCUGGUCUGAUUUGUGCUGCUUCCUGUGCGCGCGCAGGACGCGGAGGGGAGGUGGCACGCCGGGGCGAUCGCGGCGGCGGUGGACAACGUGUGCUCGGCGGCGGUGUUCACGGUGGAGGGCGCGCCCACGGCCACCGUCCACUACAGCCUGUCCUACUUCUCGCCCGCCCAUCCCAACGUACGCGCUGCGUAAUCGACACUCACGCCACAUCAGAACUUCCAUUUUCUAUCCGAUCCACUGAUUCGGCAUCGCUGCUCCGGCCUCGAUCGCAGGAGGAGGUCGAGAUGGAGGGGCGAGUGGUGAGCCGGAAGGGGAAGCUGACGGCCGCGGCGGUGGAGGUGCGCAAGAAAGAGUCCGGCGAGCUGGUAGCAAUCGGGAGGCAGUGGAUGACACCUGCCUGGCCAACCAAGAGCAACAAAAGCAGCAAGCUCUGAACCAAUGUGAGCAUCUUUUUACAACUAGUAGGGACUUAGGGUAUGCAAUUCACAAGCAGCAAUCCUUAUCUUGGUGAUUCGAUCUUUCGAAACUUGGUAGCCAUUCUCGUUUCAAAAAAAAAAAAUCGUAAGAAACUUGGUAGCCAUUUGCUUUCAACGCGUUUUCGAUCGAAGAAGCUGCUGCUUGCUUGGUAUGGCAGCCAGACCUUGACCUGAAUCAUGCCGUCAGAUUUCCUCAGUCCGCUCCGCAAAGCAAGAGAAAACGACGGCAGGAGACAGACGUCCGCGUGCGGGCGCCCGCUUCGCCUCGCCGUAUGCCCCUCACCGCAAUUCCGUCGCGCUGCCGCGGCAGCAUCCGUGGAGGAGCUGGGACCGAGGGCGGCGCGCGCAGGGAUCCGCGACUCCGGCUAGGCGGUGAAUCUCGAAUCUGGAUCGCCGGGAUGCAUGGAGAUGGGGUCAGAAGAAGUCACCGGCGGCAACGCAAGCACGACGACUGCUCCGGCUCCGCCCCCGAGUUGUUUGCAAAACACCCCCGGUUUAGAUCGCGAUUAUUAACCGCAAUCCAAAUCAGAGGCUCUAAUGUAAAAUUCCAAAUCGAAUUUUUAUAAAAGACCUCCUAAAUUGGAUCGCGAACUAUUAAUCGCGAGUCAUACUGUAAAUGUUAGAUAGCCCCUCAAUUGGAUCGCAACCAGAAUUAUGCAAAACGACCCUCAGGUUCGGACGGCUCCGGCCUCUCGCCAGUACCGAUGGCCGCCGCCGCCGGCGGCAUCCCCACCCCAGGUUCAGUUCCUGCCGCCGGCAUCCCCACCUGAGGCCCUCCAUUCCUCUGCUCUGCUCUGCUCCGGCGGCAACACGCGCGAUAUGCCGCUGGCAUCAGAGCCGAGUCAGAAGCUGCGCGCUCACAAGCAGGUGAGCGCGGCGGCGUCUUCUCCUCCCGAAACAGGGCAUGGCAGCAGGAUACGCGGCCGUCGUCUUCAUUUAUCGGAGUCUGUAUCGCAAUCGCGCGCGUGUCCGGUGAUGCGAUGCAACGGUGGCUGCUAGCUCCGCCACGGCUGCUGCCGCCAUGAGAGGUGAAGCAGCGCUUUCCCCACGAGUUGUGUCCUUUUCGCUGUCCGGCCCCCUGAUCAAGUAAGGCAGAUGUACAUGACUUGUGACCAAUCAAACAAUCACACGCAGAUCUCCGUUCUUCCUCUUUACAGGCUCCGGCAACGGCAUGCAUUGCACAGUAGGACCGUGAUGAAUGAAGCAAUCAGUAGGUCAAUACUAUGAACUCAGUCAAUAUUUACACGCUGCAGAUCGUGCCAGGAAAAAGAAAGUGCCGAUCGUAUUUCCACAAUUUAUUCUCCAUCCUAUGAUCAGUUCUAUGCCUCUGCAUCCAAUAACCUGCAGAAAACAACCAUCAGCCACCUGAAGACUGAGUUCGUGCAGUUGUUCAGUUCGUUCCAGUUGUUCUACCUUGAUUGGCGCAUCGUCCAUAGGAGUGUAGAGCAGGCUGAGCAGCCGGUCAUGAACUUGCAGGGAGGAAAUCGGAUUCCUUCCGGCUCUGUUCGCUUCAGCUUAUCAGCCGGCUUAUCAGUCACGGAACAGUAUUUUUUCCUCACAACAAAUCAGCUGUUUCAACUUUUCAGCUAGCUUAUAAAUUCAGCCGAACAGCCCCGCACUGCCCACUUGCCAGAUCGAUUUCCUGUCACCGACAACAGUGAGUGCUCUUUCGUUCGGUUCAUCCAUGCUAGUAGAUUUUUCUUGAAAUUGACGCAGUGCUUCUGAGCAUUUGAACAGCAAAUACAAGAAUACUGCUGUCGUUGCAGCCGCAGAAAAGCUUUGCCGUGCACGAGCGGCAUGGACCUCACGUACUUGUUGGGGUUCAGGAGCUUGCAACUGCAGGCACAGAACAAAGCAAACGGCGUGUUGAGUUUUCUGAAGCUCUGAACAUACACAGCCAGCAUCUAUACUACCGAAGGAUCUUGUCGAUCACCACCUUAACGCAGUUACAAACAUGAUAACAGUUAAGAGGGCCAAGAGCGCACAAUUCACAAGCGCGUUGCAGCUGUUGCUGCUAAACUUGGCUCUUCUAUUCAGGCCGAGAAACACACGCCACUGCACAGCAGAAUUGAACAAACGAAAUGACACAUGGUGACAUUGCAUUGCAAGGUAGAUUUUUGUAUACAUACGUAGCUACAUACUGUACCACCCACCAAGAAAUAUAUUUCACUAUGGUAGAUAUUCUCUCAAAAGAAACCUAAAAACUGAUCAACUGGACAAUGGACCAGUAGGAUAUAUAGGGUAGGGCUAUAUGCGAAUACGCCCCCAGUGAGCCAGGUGAGUGGAUCACCGAUCGAAGAGCACGUAGAGCAGCAUCACAGGCCAGUGUGUCCGGCCGGAUCACCUCCCCGCCACGAGACCACUGAACACCUGGCUGUUCCCAGCCUGCGUUGACUCCCACUCGAUGGACGACAGCAGUAUUUGAGACAGCGUGAUCACCACCUGCUUCAUGUCCGGCCGUAGAACAGGGUCUUCGUCCACACACUGUUUCGCUAGCAUGGCCAUCUUUGGAGAAGCAUUUGCAUUUCAGAACAUUCAGAACGAUGAAUAAAGGUGCCACAAGAUGAGCUCAAGUUAACUAGGAAAAGACUAGAUCUAAUUGCAAGAAGUUCAUGAGUUUUAAAAUUCAUACCUUGAACACACAGUCAUGAGGAUAAAGGUCCCUUAGAUUACGGUCAAUGCAGUCUUUCAGGUUCCCCAUAUACAUUGAGCUAGGACAUUUCCUUAGAGCAUUCAACAUCUGUGGAGUGCAAAACAAAAGUUGCUUAAGCCUUUGGAGUAAAAACAAGUAAAUUAGAAACAUUGAACAAAAUUAAAUGGAAAAUCUAUGCUACUUGAAUGGUAAGAUAACUGUAAAGACAUAAGCUACAAUAUUAGAAAGUCAACUGAUAAUGAAAAACUUACAACUGAUGCCAGCGAGCGCCUUUCAGAGUUUGAGCUUGCACCCAUUCCUUCAGCUCUUGUAAUAGCCUCCUUUCCAGAUAUUAGCUCAAAAAGUACUACGCCAAAAGCAUAGACAUCGCUCUUCGUAGUUGCCAGGCCAUCUCGCAGGUAUCUAAAAGAUCAAAGAAAGAUUGUUACAAUACCAUUGGUAGAGCCAAAGGUUGCUUUCAAUUAAAAGUAUGACAUAAAAAUGCACUUACUCAGGGGCCAGAUAACCAAAAGUACCAACAACCUUAGUGACAGAAGCCUCUGCAUCACUGGAUUUCACUACUAGUUUUGCAAGGCCAAAAUCUGAAAUCUGUAAAGGCAAAAGAUGCGAUACACAAGGUAUGAGUUGAUGCAAGAAAAAGGGAACCAAAUAAUUCAAAUCACCUCACCUUCGCUCUGAAGGAACCAUCAAGCAAGAUAUUACUUGAUUUAAUGUCUCUAUGAACAUAAUGAUCUUUUGUGUGCUCAUGAAUGUAUUCGAGUCCUCUGGCAGCAUCAAGUGCAAUUUGGACCCUAAAGAUCCAUGAAAGUGAUGAAUACCCUGAAAGAAAUAAUAAAUAAGAAUAAAUCAACCAGCAAUGAUGAAUCCAGUGGAGAGAGCAUAAUGAGGCGUUCAAACAGAUGGUAACAUAGUACCAGGUCAGGCAAAAAAUAUGAUUCCAUAACUACUGAGGAAAAAUGGAUCCAAGCAGUAAACUUCAAGAACCAGUCAAUAAACUAAUUUGUCCACUAAAGAUUUUUUUUUACUUUAUUAUAAAUACCAGUAUUUAAAAGCCAACCUAGGCCACUGCCUAGUGCUAGGCAGUGCCUUGAUGCCCCUGCUACGGGUAAUCGGUGUGUCUAGAUAUCAGAGUGCUUAGAUGGACUUAGGUGGCGCCUAGGCAAGGUGGUGCUACUAGUUUUAACAUGCCAUUAUGAGAACUGAGUGAUAGCUCAUUUGAUAAGAGUCUAACAUCUAGGAGGUCACCCACCAAGGCUUGAAUACGGGUGCUAGCAAAAAUGUGGCCACCUCCAUAAGAAUUGUUUUCAACAAGUUUCAACGUUAGGCAGAAGCCUAAUGCUAGCCUAGCACCUGGUGAUUUUGAAACACUUAUAGCAUAAUGUUCUGGAGCUAGUACAUGAGAAAGUUAUCAGACAUUAUAUGACACUGGGGGUUCCAUAGUCCAAUAAAUGAACUACUUAUGAAAAUGUUAAUACUUUAUAAAGCUGAAAGUCAUAUCUAAGAACAAGAGAAUCUUUCAGAAAUCAAGUGCCAGAUGAGGGUAUACCCUUGCUUUCAGGAUCGUGCAGAUGAUUUUUGAGUGAACCAUUUUGAGAAUACUCAUAAACCAGGAAAAGCUCAUCCUUACUUGCUGCAUAGCCGAUCAACUCUACCUUUGACAAAACAUGUCACACAAAUGAAAGUUCAGUAAACUUGGAACAGAAGAGAAUGAAUUUAGAUUAGGAUUUUGUGAUAAGCUGAUAGCAAUAAAAUACCGUACCAGACUAGCAUGAUGAACCUUACAAAGAACUUUCAUCUCCACUAAAAAUUCUUUAGUUUUAGUGGCCAUCAUUCUCUUUAUUGCAACCUCCUGUGGACAACAUUUUUACAGUGAUAAGGCAAUAACAAGGAAUAUUAUGCAUAGAAAUGGGCAACUUCGAUGUCGGACCUGAUCUCGGAGAACACCAUAAUAGACAGAUCCAUAUGUACCAUGACCAAGAAGAUUUGCAUCAGCAAAUGAGUCAGUUGAUGUCAGUAUUUCUUCAUAUGUAAACACAACAGGCUUCUCCCUAUCAAAUACGUCUGCUGCCACACCUGUUUUGGAGGGUUCGAUCAGUUACUAAAUGAAAUGAGAAAAAGAGAAAUAACAGUAGUUAAUUUGUGCAGGUAAUAAUUUAGUACUAAUAGUGAGUUUGUUACUAUGUAUCUUAAUUGAAGUUUUCAUUGGAUCCCAUUUCAAGAAAACUACUUGAUCCAUCUCCAGAACAAAAAAAAUGUAGGGUUUGGGAGCAGCUACUUGUGCUCCUGUUUAUAGGAAUGGUUAACAAUUGGUGCACUGACCUUUGGGGACACUGGUGUUAUGAUCACCACCAUCCGCUCUUGUUGGUUUUGUAUUUCCAAAUUGGCAACACAAGUAUCUUCCAGAACCAUAACAGAAACUACCACUCUUAAGGAGCUGAAACUUAUGUUGGUCUGGGCUCUUUCCCUGGUUACUAGGAUCUUGGAGAUUGUGCCUGAAGGAUUUCCAUAGGACAAGUGCAAGGAGAGCAACAGCGAUUAAAGCAAGUGCAACUCCCAUGCUGCCAAUAACCCAUCCAAAAGGAAAUUUGGUUGAAUGGUGAUCCGGUGUCUCUGCAGUUGUAUGCCAGAGGAUACUUUGUUAGAUUAUCAUAACAGAAAUAUUGUUGAUUGCAGUUAGUCCUUGAUACCAAAACUGACAUUUUUCAACACUGAUACUUGGAGCAGAAAUACAGGAUCAGGACCAUGAAAUAAGUGACUAACAGAAAGAAAAUAUUAAAAAUAAACAAAAAAAAGUGGAAUAUGCAUAUUGUAAUAUUAUAAACAACUCUGCACCGAUUGUUCACAAAAUUCAUCUAUGUAGCUCAAAACAUUAACCAAUCAGUUAUAAAUUGUAAUGACUACCUGAUAAUGUGUUGCCAGUCAGUAUUAAAAUACUCAACAAUGAAUACUUAUAAAUUGUAAUGACUACCUGACAAUGUGUUGCCAGACAGUAUUAAAAUCAUCACUCAACAAUGAAUACCCACUCAAAACAGUAUGAAAUGAGUUGCAGAUCAUAAUAGCAACCUGGCAAUGUGUUAUCUGUUGGUGCUGGGGCAGGAGCAGGAGGAGGGGGUAGUGCAACAUACGCCUGUCCAGGAACUGCAAAUUGGUAUGGGUGAACGAGGUUGGAAUAGUCAAUGAGGAUAUCUUACAAACUAAGGCAAUUACAGACUUUAGAGGAAAAUUACAAGAUGUUAUGCAGAAAAGGAUGGCAGAAAGUAAGGUUAAUUUUAAACACCGCAAGAAGAAAAAUAUUGCAUAGAUGAAAAUAGCAACGGUAGAAAAGAAAAGUUAGCACCCUAAAGUAGGAAAAAUAUAUCGAAGACCAUAGCUGACCAAGAAGCCUGACAUUUGAUAAUAUAUUUUUUUAUGAAAGACAUUGGAUAAUAUUGGGAAGCUCAGCAUUCAAAUGCAGAACUGAGGACACAACAGUCCAGGGUGAGAAACUUAACGUAUCACUGAUAUUACAUAGCUCAACUUACUGAUACUAAUAAUACUUUUGACAGUAUUUGGGUUCAGUUCUUAAUGGAGAUUAGAUGCAGGGUAUGUGUUAAGUGCAAUCAGUCGAUGUCACAUGUACCUCCUUGUGCCAACCUAGAACUACAUAGCAGCACACUAAGAGAUGCUGCUACCAGACCAGUAAGACUAGUUUACUCCAUUUUGUAAGUAACCACAAAGCAAUCAAGUCAAUUAUAUACUAGUCAAUGGUUCAGGAACUUGUUUAGACACACUGAUGUUUCACAAGCCCAGUUGCAGCUGAUUAUUGGGCAAGGAGUACCUGCCACCUCACUAAUGAACACAUCUAUCUGUACAAUUUUGACACAAUCAUUCACCGUGUCCACAGCAUGGUCCUGGGACAAUUGGUAAUUUCCAGGGCAGCCACAAGAAGUAAAACGUGAAUUCCGUGGUACGCCUCGCAAGCCCAGACCAAUAAAUUCAGAGAACCCGUACUUCAUAACGUGUGGUAAUUAUUUAGAGAUCCGUGCUUGCAAAGUUGCAACAACCCAGCAAACUGAGGCGAAAGGAACAAACCGAGUAUCAAACUUUUCACAGCGAAUUCUACAAAGAGAGAAAUGUUUGAUCGAUUCGUCGGAAAUGAUCGCUGACAUUGGGAUCGCUCACCUGAGUUGAGUGGGAUGUAGUACACCUUCCCGGCGGUGAUGGGGUCGGGGCCGGCCAUGGCAUUGGCAGCCUCGAUGGCAUCCAUGCUCGCCCCGAACCUGCUCGACAGCGACUCCACCGUGUCCCCCUCGACGCCGACGUAGCUGAGGAGGUAGUUCCAGGUGCCGGACGAGCAGCCGCAGAGCAGGUGGAGUGCCACCACGGCACCGGGGCGCGGCGGCCGCUGCGCCGCCCCGCCUGGAGGCGGCACGGCGAGGCCCGCGUACGCCGCGGCGGCGACGUCGGCCGCGGUGGCGUUGGGGGCCCCCGAGGCCGCCGCGGAGGAGGGGAUGGUGUAGGUGGUGUUGGCGAGGUAGGUGCGUGACGGGAGGCAGGAGCAGUUCUUGCGCACGAAGGCGUACCCCGGGCUGGCCGCGGCGUCUGCGGUGAGGUCCCCCGGCGCGGCGUCGAACAUGGACUCGAGCAGGGUGGCAUUGGCGGCGCCCGCACCGGCGGCCGGGAAGGCGAGGAAGGCCGUGCAGACGCGCGAGAGCUCAGAGCAGCCGAGCGGCGCCGACGACGUGGCGUUCCCCCCGGCUGCGGCGGCGCCGGAGACGGCGGCGAGGGGUAGGACGAGGAGGAGGAGCGGGAGGAGGCGGUGGGGCGGCAUUGGGGGCUGGCCUGCUACUCUGCUAGGGUUCUGGCCUCGAGGCGGCGAGGUGGUGGUGGGGCAUGGAGGGUGGCAGUGCCGAGCAGAGUUGGAGCAAGGCUGGAUGCUUCGCGUGGUCGGAGCACCAAAACGCACGCUGGGGGAACGGGACGCCGCUUUUAGUAACAGAACGCUGUUAUUUAGCGCGCACGGCCACGGGGGAGAAGCGGGGCGGGUGGCGCGGUUAGGUUUGCCCAUAAUGCCCCUGCCUGUCUUUUCCUUAUCGUUUACUAUGUUCUGUGGAUUAACAGUUGACUCUAGUUCUCUUUAAUAAUGCAAUGUAUUAAACGAAAAGGAUAAAGUCCACUCUGAAUGUUUUGAGAAGCAUGGGAACUUAAUUUCUAUAUUAAAGGUUUGCGAAAUAAGCAAAAUGGUACGGCAGCAUGAAACACAAAAACUCGAUGGCUCAGGCUCACCACACACCCAUACUUAAACCUCUAUAGUGUUUGACUCCAUGUGGUUGAAGGGGGCAGAGGGUUAAUACGGGAAAGAAGCCCCAUCACGCACGCACACACACAAACUCUCUCUCUCUCUCUCUGUCUCCGGGGGCAGUACGGGGACAAGAAAUCAUGCGCAUCUAGGUAUGUACUAUGGUCCAAAAACAGUGAAGAGCUUUGCUAUAAUAAGUGCCCAGUCGGGUACCGCACAAUUGACGAGCCUCUGCCUGCUUUCCUGCACAGUAUUUAUAAGGUUUAGCAAUCCAAAAGCACCCGAUGAUGCUAAGCCCCUCACGAUACUGUGGCUGUGUUAUCGAUGGAACUACAGGAAAAGACCAUGGCUCCGCGCUGUUGCCUCCUGCUCGCUGGCAGUUUUCACCACGGCCCACCACGUCGGCAACCAACGCCCGGGUCCAUUUUUAUGGCAGGAUGCAAAGGCUCGUCUCGUACUGCUACUUCUCCUAUGGGGGUGCUUGCAGGGGCUGAACUUUAGCCCUAUCACAUUGGAUGUUCGGAUGUUAAUUAGGAGGACUAAAUAUGAGUUAAUUACAAAAGUAAUUGCAAAAUCCCUAGGCUAAAUCGCGAGAUGAAUCUAUUAAGUCUAAUUAAUCCAUCAUUAGCAAAUGGUUACUGUAGCAACACAUUAUCAAAUCAUGGACUAAUUAGGCUUAAUAGAUUCGUCUCGCAAUUUAGUCUAGCGGUUGUGCAAUUAGUUUUGUAAUUAGUCUAUAUUUAAUACUCCUAAUUAGUGUUCAAACAUCCGAUGUGACAGGAGCUAAAAUUUAGCCUAGGGGAGCCAAACACCCCUAUGUUUUUUUUUCCUUGUCGCAUCGCGGUUUCUUUGCUCGGCAACGUUUAAUCUGCCAUCAUCCCAUCAACCAUCGGAACUGUUUGGAACAUCUAUGACCAACAUAAGCUGCAACUAAUAGCCAAACAUCACGUUUUUUUUCCGCUUCUCCUUUUCGCGCUUCUCCCUGUAGCUCCCAUUUGUACUAACACAUAGAAACUGGACUGAACCCGCUUCUCAGAGAAGCGCUUUUACCAUAUUAGUGCAACUUAUCCGAGGGCCAGUUUGGCAGGGUUCCGGUUCCUCUGAAAACGGCUCCGGCUACUCUAAUGGAAUGGCUUCUCCGGCUCUGGCUCCUCCUUUUGGAAACCGUUUGGCAAAACAGCUCUUCCGUGUAGUUUAAAAUGGUUAGAUAAAAUGAAAUACCCAUAAUACCCUUUUAAUUUUCUUUUCUUUUUUUUCUUUUCUUCCAUUUAUUUAUUUAUUUUCUUUCUUUCUUUUCUCCUCCUUCUUCUUUCUUUUCUCUUCCUUUGUUAUCCUCCUCCAACCGUCGGCCUCCCAUUCCAUCGUAACUAGGCCGUCGCCUCCCCCCACCUCCCCGCUCGUUCCUCCUCUCCUUCCCGCUCUGCCGCCACCGCCCAUGCCACUCCAGCCGCCUGCUGCACUCGUCGUUGGCCGGCCGCCGCCGUCCGGGAAGGGUCGCAUCCAGCCUAAAUACGGCGCUUCCGCUGCAUUCAACCCUCGGAUCGAGGUCAGCCAUGGUUGAUCCGCUCAUUUCCCUGCCCGGAGCCCCUUCCCUGCGCGCCACCGUGGGCCGCCAGAGCUGGUUCAUGACGAGCGGUGUUCUUGCGCGAGGCGAGGCGAGGUGAUGUGUUUCUGAUGAUUCCGGUGGCAAUUUGGGCGUAAUAUUGGUCAACUGAGGGCCACUUUCCUAGCCGCUGGACUGGGUGUGCGGGAGGAAGCCGCCGGAGAAAAAAAAGGACAAGCUCCGCCCCCCACGUGUAAAAACAUCUCCGACUCCGGUAAGCUUCCCCUAGGAGCCAUUUCAAAUUUCUUCCUUUGGCUCGGCUCCAACAAAAAACCAGCUUCAGAAGCCGUUUUCGAGCUCUACCAAAGGGGCCGUGAGAAUCGGUUUUUCCCACCGCAGUUACCUUCACCUGCUCCCCACCUCCGACUGUUCCUCUGCUCAGUCUCUGUGUAUGUGUCGUGUGUGUGGAACGGGGCAGGGGCGUGACUGCGUAAGAAAAACGCUGAAAUCACUUGAUCUUAUCACUACUCCGGAAGAUCAUUUUCACGGUUCCAGCAGCAUUAACUACGCGAGCACGGCGGGAGCCAGGAGGUAGCUGGCGUCGCCGUUACGGCCGGACUGGCUGGGGUGCGGCCAAACCAAAAGGCCCCGCCCCCGCACGUGGGGUGGCCGACACGGCGGCCGGUUUCACUCCACGGCAGCGGCGAGGUGGAGCCGCGGCGUUGCCACGCCCACUCCCGCCGGUGACGAAUCGGCCCGCUGCAGGCCGGGGCCCACCAAAAAGCUCGAUAUUUUUCAGAGUUUCCUGUGCGAUCCGUACGGUCGAUCAGAUGAGAUCUGCUUGCUGCUACUCUAGUCGCUUUGUUAACGUCUCCCUGCUGCCGAGCAGGUAAAGCGGCAGCAGCUCGCGUGCGUGCGCUGCUGGCUUUGGGCCUUUGGCUGGUGGUUUUAUACGGCGGGUCGGGCUGCUAGCUAGCGUGUACUUGCUGUCCGAACCACGGAUCAGGUGGAUUGGGAUUAUACUACCACUAUACCAGUAGGUGUGCCUAGCCGGGCACUGGCUGCGGAUGUGGAUCAUGUGGCACGUGGGGCGGGGGGAUUUCGGUGGAUAACAACGUAUCCAAGUGAGAGGUACGCACGCCGCCGGAGCAUGUGUGUGUGGGCGCCGUAAAAGCUCAGUAGCUUAAUGGGUACGAGCAUGAUUACAACCUGUGGCGCACUCCGCUGAUUGAUGAGCUACAGGCUCAGGCUGCGGCCCGCCCCGGCGGCGUCAACGAUUGGGCAGCAGCAUAUCGGUUGGUAAGACGCUAGCGAACAAGGACGAGUAGUUCCUUUCUACGCUGUGUACAGUGUCAUGGACCCCUGGGGCCGGGGCGGCUGCAUUCCUCCAAUCCUCCUCGCGUGCUCCUUGGUCCUGGUCGUCGCCGCCUUCUUUUCCGGCGCCCGCACGUCGUCCCCGGGGCUACUGAGUACUGAGGUACACCCUGUGUCCGCAUGUCCGCUAUGGACCUAUGGUCGUGCGUGCCUUCUGCUCUGGCUCAAAUUACUACGAGCCUACGAGGCCCGGACUAGCUAGCUGCCGGCUUCCUGGAUCACCGGGUGUCCGGGUGGCGUGGGUGACGCGCCGCGCGCGCACGCCCCCGCUUCCCCGGCGCGGACCACGCCGACAGCCAACUGUGCUCCCCGUCCGCCGCGCGCCAGUGCGCUACGCUUUCGCGGGCGGGUUGCCCGCCGCUCGACCAGCCGCUGUGCCCGCGCACUCGUUUCUACCAGCGUAGAGGAUCAGCCUCUCUCCGCCGUGGAGGACGGAGACAGCGAGGCUCGCACGAGAGGACAGGUGCAGCGCGUGAUCGAAUGGGCGACGACGCGCGUCUGUACAGCGUACCGCUCGCCUCGCCGUUCACGUUACGCGAUCCAAGGGCACGGCCGGAUACAGUCGCCGUUAAUUCCACACCCGACUGUGCACGUACGUGUACGCGUCCCGACCGGCAAGCGGUGACGAAGAAGAUGGCGACUUACCACGGGCCAAUGGAUCGAUUUCAUCUCCCAUUCUACUAACCCACCGCGCACAUGUAACCAUAUUUGGCGAACAUGGCAUGCUUCACACUGUGUACGUGCGAGUGCGAUGUGUCGUGCAAUAAUGCGGAUGGGCCAGGCACGUACGGGUCAGGAGACCCACCACUUACCCGAGUCCUUCCUGACCCCAACAAGUAUAAGUGGCGUGGGAUACAAUACAAGACACAACCAAGACCGGCACUGUGCCUGUGUGAACCGAGCGAGAUGCUACGGCGCGCCCGCGCGUCAACCCGGCACGGCUCGAUCACCGAUCGGCGGCAAGACGGGCAGUCGGGCACCGCCGCCGCCGCUUCAAGAGGAGGAGGGGAGGGAGCCCAAUCGACCGAACCCGUCGCUGGGUGGGGGCGUUCUGGGACGGGGACCGUCGGAGUUGUGCGGACCGCACUCACGCGUGUAUAUCCGGAUUGGACGACCUUGUCGUGGUCCAGCCUGCGUCAGGGGCUCCAUCUUUUUUUUUUUUGAAACGUAUGGGGGCUCCAUCUUUUUUUUUUUGAAACGUAUGGGGGCUCCAUCUUUGGGCUCGCAUCCAUGGCUUCGUCGGAAGAAAAGAAUUUUAGGCAGCAAAGAGGGCUACAGCCAAAUUAGUUCAUGAUAUACGAUCUCGUGUAGUUUUUUUUUUUUCGUUUUGGUUUGUGCAGACCCUGAACUCUUUGCUCGAUCACAGCACUGGGCAAAAGUGCAACCUGAAUAUAGGGCUGUAACUUAAACCACUUUGACUGGCUGAGCUUUUCAUGCUUUCUAUACAGUUCAUUAAAAAUCGGUGGCAUGAGAUAUGGGAGUAUUGUUUUUGCCUGUUUCUUUGGAACGGACAGUGCGCGUCUCCAGCCGGUACACACCACCUAAAGAAGGGGGGCAUUGAUUCGUGGUGGGGGGGUACAGCCAGGUAGUGCUGCCUGCCGCUGUCCAUCGUGUCCAGCUUGGUUAAGGGGCCCUGCUCAUGUGUUAGGUCACCAAAACGGACCCCUUUUCACCCCUCUUUUGUCUCGUCUUCCGUUUGUUAAGCCUCUGUUACUUCUUUUCGCGGAAAAGUAACUACCAGGACAGUAAUAAGAAGGAUAUCCAACCUCGAAAAGAAAUUACUAACAACAGCAUACGUUACUAUCCGGUAACAGUUUAGAAAGUUUUCAUAGCAGAAAAGCGAUGAAAAUAUCAGGAUUAUUCUUCAGCAACUGACACCAGGUUAGGUUUCGAUAUCCUUUGCCUUGAAAGACAAGGAAUAAUCACAUUAUUAUGUCAUAAUGUCGCAUCACGAAUCCAUUGCGACAAAGAAGUGAAGAACUGUUGCUGUGGUCCGCUACGGCCCAGAGAGACAGUACACCCCGGCCCAACCAGUACUCAUGGGCUCAUGGCCUCGCAAGUGCUGAGUAUCACGGGACACGGGAUUUACUGUUUUUUAACCGUUCUGCCACUCAAAUCCUGAUUUCGUAUCGACCAAGGAUUUGAGGCUGUUACUGUUUCCAUGGGGGUGAACGGAAGCCCAAUACCCCGUGUGUUUCCUUCCCCUUUUAACCGUGGCACUCUUUUCUUGGAGGACAAACCCGUGCGUGAGCGUAACCAUCCCCUCCUUUCCGUACGUAGGGAACAAGGAUACACAUUUAAACUGCCUCGAUGUUACAGAUACAGAUAAGAGAUAUGGCGAUUUGAAGUGCCCACUUCAGAAUCAAACUCUCUAGAUACACGCGGGCGUACGUGGUAUAUGUCGUACCUGGAGCAGAUUUUCCUAAACCAAAUCUCCUCAGAAAAGCUUCGUCGUCGUGCCGCAGCGAUUCUGCCGUCGUCAAAGGCAAUCCAAAUGGAGGUUGCAUCUACAACAACGAAGACGGCCAGUUCGCGAGAUGCUGAUCAUGAACGUCGCUUUGGCUGCGCGGCCGAUGGGCCGCACGACGCGGAGGUCACCGCGGUCCAGGGGUGGCGCGCGGAAAACCUCGGGUCCAGGAAGAACGAUGACGCGUCCCUCGGCACCGAUGCCCUGUGCAAUGCGGCGGCGGCGUCGCCUUAUGAUGGUGUUGAUCGCAGCGGCAACAGGGGCAGCCCGGACCGAAUGGAAGAAGACGGAAUCUCGUCGAAAGGGAAUGGAGAACCGAAAGAGCGGAGCCCUGCUAGGCGCAGGGAUGGAGGAUCGCGCCUGCCGCCGGCGAAAAAGCUCAUGCAUGAUGCGAUUAGAGGGAGGGAGAACGAGGGGCGGCGAUGGUCUGGUCACGACGAAGCAUGGGGAAGCGGUCACGCCAAGGACAAUGAGGGUAUGGGCGACACGUGUUCCCUGAUGGUGACGACGGCCGACGGAAAGAAGGCGACGGUGGCGGCGGCACGCCAUGACUUCAAGUUCGGGGACAACCAAGUCAGCGACGCGCUUCUAGCCCGCCUGUCCGAGCUCGGCGCGUCGGCCCCGCGCCUCGUCGCCACGAAGCGGCUGCAAUCCACCGACGCCAGAGCCAACCAGAACCGGUUGCAGCUCUCCGGCCGGAGCCCGCUCUCCCGGGCCUUCACGGACGCUGAGAGGGCCCUCCUCAGGACCUCCACUGGGAUGUCGGUGACGGCAUUCGACCACCGUGGCUGCGAGUACAAGAUGACGUGCAAGUUAUGGAAGAACGACAAGCACUACAGGUUCAUGAGGGAGGGGUGGAAGCGUUUCCGGGAGGCUCACCAUCUGACGAUAGCCAACGAAGCCCGCUUGACGCGGCGCGUCACGGUUGAGCUGUGGGCGUUUCGCUCGCGCGCGCUGCCGCCGCCGCCCGCCGAGGAGGAUUGCGGCCAUCCCUACCCGGAUGGCGUGCUCGGGCUGGUCAUGCUGCUUCGUGAAGACGGUGGCGAGCAGGAAGAAGCCGUGGACGAGGAGGUGGCGCCCGCGGAGAGCUACGCGAGCAGGUUCCUGCAGAUGGCUGCAGUUGGGCUCUUGACAUUGCGGACGAGCGAAACGAAACGCAAACGCGACGACGAUUGAAAAAACGGGUAUGGUUGCCUCAUGUCCUAGUUAAUUUUACAGAGUAUUUGAACCCAAUCGCCAAAGAAAAAAAAAACUUGAUGCAGAAAUUAAGCGUAUUGUCAUCAGAUAUUGGUCUAUUAAACUGCUUGGUGCUUGCACAUUCGUUUCGAUGUCCUAUAACAGGUAUUGUUUGCGUGUGUCAAUUUCGGUUUGUAGUUUGUUCGUCAGUUGAUGAUAUAGUUCUGUUAUGCACCUGUAACUUCUGCUGCUUUGAACCUUUGAGGUUUUACAACUAAAAAGAAACCACUCUAUAAAAAAAACUAAAAAGAAACCAUUGAGGCUUACCACAAUUCAAAAGGUUUAAGGAGAACAUAUUAGGAAGGAGAAAGACACAGCAGGUCGUCUCCUACUAGCACAUUCAAUUUUUCAGCAAUGUAUUAAACUGUAAACUUGCCGCCGUCAACGCUGCUCCCUGCACAGCGGCAGUCAUGCCACGGUCAGGCUCAGGCAGGCGGACUCCACCGCAGAAAGCGCCAAAACCCCGCACGGACCACGACGAAAACGGUGGCGCAAACGUGCGCGUUGCCCCAGAGGCCUAGCGGAAAAGCUGCAUGCAUGCCUUGCUGCCGACUGCCGAGCCAGCAGCGGCGGCCAGGGCCAGGGGGCGGCAGGUUGCAGGGCGCCGUGCGGUCAAGGGCUCGCGGCAGGGCCUCGCCGGCGGCAUCAGGGAGCGUGCAUGCACGGCGCGGCGUGCAUGCACGGGCAGCACGGCACGACUGCAUGCCAGCGUGCAUGCGCUCCUGACCGGCAGGCCAGUGCAGCGUGCUAGAGCCUCAGACGGACCGGACCCUCUGAUGAGUGAUGAGACCCUGACCGUGCGGAGGGCCGGAGGCAGAUAGGAAUUGGCGAAUUUCGAUGCGAGGGGGCCGUCGCCAGCGCUAGUCUCACCUCUCAAUCCAGGGCUCCUCCGGCUUGUCCCGUGCCCAUCAAUCCGGCCCCUGGCUCUGUCUGUCUAGCUGGCUGGCUGGCCGGCCGUGUCCGGCCGCCUGCCGCCCUGAGCCGCCUGCCCUGCGCUCAUCAUCAUUUCGCGCAACUGCCGCUGUGAGCCUGUGACGCGCGACGCGUAGGUGCGUUUCGGUAAUACCCGAUUGGAUCGCGCGAAUCUUUCUCCUCCCUCGGCCGCGAUCGCGUGGAUGACAGGAUGAACGCAGUUACGCAGCGACAGGGUGGCUGGCGAUGGCUGGUGACUGGUGAGUGCGUUGUGUGUGCUGUGCUCUAAUGAUGAUGCAAACGACAACGGCCGGUGCAGCGGCCGGACCACCACGCUGCUGCGGCCAGCGGCGGCCUGUGGGAGUACGGGGCCGCGCCAGGCAUAUGCCGAUGCGCGUGCCCUUUUUGGAUUUGACCGGCCGGCGUCCACCGUCUCGUCCUUCCGGCCUGAAAGCGGCGGCACGUUCAUACCGUACGCCCGGUCCCUCGUGCCGCAUACCAUUUACCACAGGGACUUGCCCUCCGAAUCGUUGGAAUCUCCGACCAGAUGUAUGGCUCGCUCGAAUAGCAAAAUGGAAAUACUCCGUAGAGAUUAAACACGGCUGACGGCUCGCGUAGCGUCCCUCUGAUCCGAAUUGAGUAGUCGAAGCUUCUGUCUGACAGCAAUUAGAAUUAGUCCGGGCUAAGGUCCUGGUUCCCAUCCCUAAAGUUUCCUGUCACAUCAAAUGUUUAGACACUAAUUAAAAUUAUUAAACAUAAACUGUUUACAAAACCUAUUGCACAGAUGGAGGCUAAUUCGCGAGACGAAUCUAUUAAACCUAAUUAAUUCAUGAUUUGACAAUAUGCUGCUACAGUAACCAUUUGCUAAUGAUGAAUUAAAUAAGUUUAAUAGAUUCGUCUGGUGAAUUAGCCUCCAUCUGUAUAAUUAAUUUUAUAAUUAACUCAUAUUUAGUCCUUCUUAUUAGCUUCGAAGAUUUGAUGUGAUACGGACAUUUAGCUUAAGGAACGACACCCCCUAGUUGCCAGCGCGCGCGGGCACUUUUCGAUUUGAUGGCUGAUGCCUUCCUGUUUCCUUAGGGUCGUUUAAUGUGCCGUACUACAUGAUGCAGGCUGAUCUAAUGCUUUAGGGGGUGCUUGGAUACAAGGUACUAAAUUUCAGGAGGGUCAUAUCGGAUGUUCGGAUAUUAAUUAGGAAGACUAAACAUGAGCUAAUUAUAAAACUAACUGCAGAACCCCUAUACUAAUUUGCGAGACGAAUCUAUUAAGUCUAAUUAAUCCAUCAUUAACAAAUAGUUACUGUAGCACCACAUUGUCAAAUCAUGGACUAAUUAAGCUUAAUAGAUUCGUCUCGCGAAUUAGACUCCAUCUGUACAAUUAGUUUUGUAAUUAGAUUAAUAUUUAAUCUUCUAAUUAGUAUCUAAACAUCUGAUGUGACAUGUACUAAAGUUUAGGACGCCGAUCCAAACAAGCCCUUAUUCAGUUUUUUUUUUUGAAAAGGUUUUAUUCAGAUUUUGACCAGCUUUGUUCACGGCAUCCAGGAAGCAACACAGCACACGCACCAUUCGUCCAUUCCUGUUGAAAGGUUCCAAACUCCAGCUCCCGCUCGUGUGUCUCUUUUAUCAAUGGAGAGUGACAUUGUGACAAUAUAAUCAUUUGUCGACGCUGGUUUUGACUAUCACAGGCUUCUUAUUAGGUGUUCAUGCGAAGACGACGUCCUGGAUAUACUUUUUAUUUGCUACUCAUCAAAUUGGACACUCGUUUCGUGUUACAGAAUUACUAAGCAUAUAGUACAAUCUUAGGUAGUAGUACCACACUGCAAACAGUACACUUGUUGUCGUGUAGGAAGCAGGUAAGGUGAAGAUUUUAUGUCAUAUAUAUGCAGUAAGCUGUAAGCUUUUGAGUAAUCAGAGGGGGAUCGGUAUCAGGGAGUCGGUAACCACUCUUGUCCGAAUGACUCGGCACUCACGUGGCGUGUUGCUGUACCUUUCAGUGCUGGGUAGCAGAUUUUAAACCUGAGAAGAGUUGGAAAGUGACCGGGCUAACAUGCUUAGAUCACAAACAGCACGGUUGGAUUAAUUAGCGAUACAUGGAUAUAUAGGGCCAUGGGAGGCAGCCUGCUUCAAUCAAAGUCUUUCAUGAUUAUGUGCGCGCGGCUGGUGAACUUUAAAAGUUUGGUCAUUUCUACGGGUAUCUAAUCUGAAGUCUGGACUAUGCAAGCAACACGAGAUUGUCUUGGGGAAGUACUUUUCGUAGCCAAUACCAGGAUUUUACUAGGUUUGUACUUUGUAAGUUCACAAAGCUAUGUUUUGACAACUUGAAAAAUCCAAAAGUGCAUUCUUUUGCUAAGAGCUGAGAUUGGUAUUUUUUUACUCAUUUUAAAGACUUGGUUAACGGGGGUUAAUGAUUUAUGACAACAUUAAUGCGCAUUGGUCCCCCUGAGAGCUGAGAAAAGCAUGCUGAUCUUUGUAGCCCUCAGACAUUAUUUGGGAAUGAAGACAGGCAUGCCAAGUUGAUGAUGGGCAAGAAAAGUACGUGGCCUGCAGACACUGCACGCAUGUGUAGGCAAGCAGACAAGGACGGGAGGGAGCCCCAUCAAUUGCAAAAGCUUGCAAAAUUUGGGGUUCUCCUGCGGAAAGAGCCAUGCCAAAGGACAUGCGGUCCGAAGGUCACGAGGAAAUCGUCAUUGGUGCACCGGUGGGACAGGCAACGCCUCAUCAAAACCUGCAUUAUACUAACAAGUUCAAUAGACCCAAGAGUGCUGCAAAAGUUUCGGGUCCCUGGAUUGCCGGGCAGGAUGACGGCAUUCCAAUCAACUUGCACGAUUGAGGCACGCCCAGCAGUUGAAAACUCGAUCGUCAACGGCUCGGGACAGCAAGUAAGCAUUAGUUUCUCUUAUCUUUUCGUGCACUGCUGCUACGACCUACGAGUGCAUGCACGUACCCCAGUACAGACCAGCAAGGGCAUGUUUGAUUGAGUUGCUUAUUUUUAGUUCAGCUAUUUGGAUACCCUUGCUUAUAAGCAUUGAAUGAGAUGGAUAUUGUCAUGUUUGCCUCUAAUUAUUGACAGAGAGGGAGAGCAACCAGGCAUUCAAUGAGAGCAAGAGGUGUAAAGUGCAUCUUUUAGUCCCCACAAGCAACAUAGUUGCUUAUGUGCUAAAAAUAAGCAGCCCCAUAAGCAACCCAAUAAGCAAUGAUGAUUGGUUUCAUAAGCAAAUAAGUUGCUUAUUUUAAGUUGCUUAUGCAUAAGCAACUUAAACCAAAUAGGCCCUAAAGAGGCAACACCACCACCGUGGCCUUGUUUAGUUCCCAAAUUGGGAGUGGCAAAGUUUGCAUUUUGCCAUAAAUGCGCAACUGUAGUAUUUCGUUUGUAUUUGUGAAUUAUUGUCCAAACAUUGACUAAUUAGGAUCAAAAGAUUCAUCUCGCAAGUACAACAAAACUGUGCAAUUAAUUUUUGAUUUCGUCUACAUUUAGUACUCCAUGCAUGUACCGCAAGUUUGAUGUGAUGGGAAUUUUUUUUUUAUAAUGUCAAAGUUGGAAUUUUGGGGAACUAAACAGACCCCGAGUCAAACAAGCACGGCUUUGUCAACCGAGAUGACCGCUGAGCUGCUUCAAUCAAUUAUUCCUGAUGAUAAGCAUGAACAGGGAGAAUUUGGAGGCAGCACAGCUUCAGUGCUUCACAGGAGACCCAAGUGGAAUGCCAACAGCCCAGCAUUGAAAAGGAGACGGCCAUCGUCUCAUCCGCCACGGUGGUCCCGUGCGUGAGGCCGGAGUGAAGUGGAGCCAUUCCAUACGCCACCACGACGAGGAACGCCACACAGGUGUGUGUAAGGGCGCAGGACAAGGAGGCACCACCCAUCACCUCGCCCCCACUUGCUCGGAUAAGCGUGCUCCUCCCUCCCUCCUCCAGUCCUCCUCGGCGCACGCCUUGGCCGCCCGCCACCCGCAACACCAGCUGCCUGCGAGACACACCACACGCUCAGCACGGGAGAAGACGACACGAGCACGGAAAACACGCACACGCUUCCGUGACCCAUCCGCACACUGUAUAAAUGGAAUAAUCUCCGAUACAUCACAUGAGGCCGGUGCCGGUCUGGUCCUAGUCUCCCAGGCAUAACACGGGUGCACGCCUAGUCACCAAAGCGCAUGCUUCGCCAGGGCAGCGGAGCGGCCGGGCGGCAAAGGAAAGGAGCGCGGGAUAAAAAGGAGAGCUGUAUGGGACAAAAGGGGAAGGCCUAGAAAGGAACAGCGAGCAACCAGCCCGGGGCGCCCCCAGCAGGACAAGAGCCAAGGCUCAUUUCGCGAGCUCUUGCCGGCCGCUUCCACUUGGCCAUUUCCCACCUGGGUUUCGGUCUUCUGGAGCUCUCGGGCUGCAAGGUUUGUCGCACCUCUUCUUAUCUCCUGGCAACUUCUCUGCUGAUGAUAGUAGAAGAGUUCUUGUUCAUUCCGUUUGCUGGUGUAACUUGCAAGAAGUUGCCGGUUGUUGUUUCCAUGCCUGAAACAGCUUUGGCAUGACUUGGUUUCAACUGUGACUGACCAUUUUCAAGCUUUGCUCGGAUGAAAAGCAGCAUAUCAGCACUUCUCUUUUUCCUAAUGCAUUUGCCAAUUGCCAGGAGUAGGUUCCGUUUCGUGUUUCGCUUCUGUUGAAAACAAAGAUUUAAUAGUAUUGUCUUCUUGCUAGAAUAAGCAAGUUGCAUGUUCCAUUUUCCUUGCCUUGAGUGAGCUCAUCUUGAUGUUAAGCCCCCCUCCUUUUCCGGUGCUUUGUCUUUUGGAUGUUCGCUUUGACCUCACCACACGCUUCGCUGUUUUGUCACGUACUCGCUUUCUCUGGCCUAAGUUGAGUGUACAACUAAACUUCCAGGGAGUCGCACACCUCUCAUUGCCUAAUACUAUAAUUUUAGGAGGGUUGUUGUUUCGACUCUUGGAGCCUCUGAAUCAGCUCACGAAGAACCAGCCCAAUGGGAGACUCCGAAGGAAGAGAGACACUUCCACGGCUGCUAGAUCUUAUCCCUGAUGGGAAAGAAUGGAAGGUGAGGGAAGCACAAGGUGAAGGAAGAUCAAGAAACACAGGCUUUGUGAGCGAGGAGGACAGGAAGCUAGAGCUGAAACUCAGCCUUCCUGGUCUCGUAGAAGAAGAGACAGCAACUGUGUCAAGACAUGAAGGGAUACAGCGAGAGAGGCCAGCUCUCUCUCUUUGUUGCUUCCAUGAACCCUCAAAGCCGACAACAAACACUACUACAACUGGGACAAAGAGGGUGUUCUUAGACACCAUUGAGGUCAAAACAGAAGGUAACUAGCAGCUUAGCAGUAUUCUUGUCUUGUGCUCUUGUUUAUUAGAGAUGAAAAACACAGAAACAAACAAUAUAACCACCAUACUAGAAAUCUUAUUUUGUUCUGAUGUUCAAAGGUUGUAGUAAUUAUCUUUUAUUCUGUUGUGUGAAGGUUGUGAUGAGCAGAAGCAGCAGGCCAGAGCUGGGUGUGGGAACGAACUAGCACUGGAGCAAAAGAUUGUAGUGGUGAGUGAGAGAAAAAAAGGAUGCUGCCCACCACCAUCACAUGCCCCUCCCGCAGCAUCUGUGCGCAACAGACCAAAGGCCCAGGGAAGGUAAUGAUAGCCCUAGAUGUGGUUUUGCUUUCUUAAGGAUUUUAUUUCCCUGUCUAAAAGAUGUUCCCUUCAGUUUGUCAAAUCAGAGAAAAUUUAUCAUGUAUAAAGGUGGUCGACUUUUACUCAUCUACAAUUACCUUUUUCAAAUUAGUAUUUUUCUGGUCGUCGUUAUUGUAUCCCAGACUAGCAGUUUUGAUUCUUGAACUUUUUGGUAGAAAUUUAGUCCUUGAGCAUUUUUGUUCUGGCAUUCUUCUUAGCACAAUUGCAGUAUAAGUUGGAAGGGAAUAACAGCAUCAACCAUAGGACAUUUUAUAGAUAUUGAUACUAUAUUCAUCUUACAAUAGUUCACAGACAAAUUCACCCGUGCUCUAAUCUGAUGUAGAGGUGCUUCAGCUCCGGUGGUGGGUUGGCCUCCAAUUGGAUCCUUCAGGAAAAACCUUGCUAAUGGUAGUUCAUCCAAACAAUCCACUGGAUCACAAAAGGGUGAAGCUAGCAUGGAGGAGAAGCUCACCUGCAUUAAGAAUCAUCUCGUAAAAAUCAACAUGGAUGGGAUCCCCAUUGGAAGGAAAGUAAACCUUGCAGCCUAUGACAGCUACGAGAGGCUAUCAUUGGCUGUCAAAGAGCUUUUCCAAGGUUUUCUUGCAGGUACAAAAUCAAUAAUCAAUUCAAAUGAAACAAGUACUUUGAGUCAUUUUAGUGGUCAAUUUGUGCACCUUUACAUCACCAAGUUUUACUUUUCUUUCCUUUAACACUGCAGUAACCUAUGUUGCAGCUCAAAAGAAUCUAUCUAGUGCUGAGAAUGCACAGCUAGGAGCAGAUGAAAAAAUAUUUUCUCAAUUAUUGAACGGAUCUGGUGAAUAUACUCUAGUUUAUGAAGACAAUGAAGGAGACAAGAUGCUGGUGGGAGACGUGCCGUGGAAGUAAGCUUUCUUUGUUUUUCACAAUUCGACCAUACCCUAGCAACAUAAAAGAACACAUGAUAUGAUCAACACCUCCAACUCAGUAAACUUCAUUUUGCUUCACGUGCCUUCUCUAAAAUUGUGUCAUGACAUACUGUUUACACUACUUUGAAAUUGAAUUAUACAACUUGUACUUUAUUGCACAAUCUAAACUCUUUCUUCUGUAUAUAAUCCUUGCAGUGUAUUUGUCUCAACUGCUAAAAGGCUGAGGGUUUUGAGGAGCUCAGAGCUUUCCCAUGGUUUGGUAAGCACAAGGCCACCUCAAGUGGCGUGUGCAGAUUUCAGUUACAGGUUUGAUUACCCCAAACUAAGUAUGACCUUCGUUUCACUGCCUCCUCUUUUUUACAGAUUGGAGUGGCUCCUAGAAGAGUGCCAAAUUGCUGAAAGCCAACAAUGACAAUUCUAUCAUUUGAAACUAGAGGAAAUUGAAGCCGGCCCAUUCCGAUUUCGGGAUGACACCUAUUUUUUUUCCUUGUAGAGACUAACCUAAUGAGAUGAACUAGCAUAUUUCAGAUGCAUGGAAAGGCGCCAGCUACUUUGUAAAUUAUAGGCUACCACGUAAUUUAUUGUUGUAGGUAAUGUCCUAAUGCAAUUCUACAUGGUUUUGGCAUUGGACUUUUAAGACAGUUUGCAGAUGAAAGGCUUACCCAUGUAAAACUCCUUGUUGUGUGACAGAUUUGUAAUCAGUUCUUCUGUAACCCAACAAGCAAAUCUAAUGUCCAGACCACAAUCAUUAGAUGUGCUGUAGAGAACAGCAACAUGCUAUCAGCUAUCCACAUUGUUGACAUGGCAUCUACAGAGUGCAAUUUCAUGUGGAAUUUGCCUAUGAAUCUAGGAGACUAGGACACAAAAAAUGGAAAAAAGAAGAGCAAGGUACCAGUGACGAUGAACUAUGAAAGCAAAGCAUUUGCCAGUGCCUUCAUGCCUGUUGGUUGCCAAAUUGCCAAUAGUGAGGGACUGUUACUUCUACAUGAGUAUAUAACAUUAUCCAGGUCCAUUAAUAAUUACACGCACCCGAUGACACCAGCUGCCAAACCUGGAAAUUAUAUCCAAGCUGCCAUGGUAGCCUGGUGACUACACCCCAGGAUCUCUCAAAAAAGUCAAGAUAUAACAGCAGGUGGCACUGACUUUCUAGAUCGACAGAAACAACACACCAAAUGACACUGUUUACAAACAAUGUUUUAUGCCUAUAAAUCUUGUUGACUUCUGAAAAUUGAAAUAUCAACAGAGGAAGUUCCACUAUUUAUGUACAGUACAGUUGAAGACUUAUGUGCCAGGACCAAAGCAUGUACCUCAGACGUAUGAGUAGAAUCCAACAGGCUGUUUUAGCUGCUAUGAGGCUUAUUGAAAAUGGGGUCACAAGGCUUACCCGAAAAAUUAAAUGCAGAAAUAACAAUCAUAAGCUUGAACCACCUUCAGCCUCAAGCAUUAACAAGAAGUCAUUUGUCUUCUGCAGAUAGCUAACAUCUGAGUGAAAGGACAAAAUAUAAUUCGUGAUGACCCCCCCCCCCCCCCCCCCCCCCCACCCCAACCUCCCAGAGAAACUUCUUCUAGAGAGGAAUAUUCACCUCGAUGCUUUCAGGCCAACAAGUCUAGGAAUUGGGGACAAAGGAAAUGUCUUUGUCAUUGGACCAUCACUAAAUUCCAGACAGCAGGAAAAGUUGAAGAGACACGGUGGAUUACGAAAGAAUCUUAGGGCCUUUCGCAAUGUCCUAACAUAUCUUAAUCUCCACCACGUAUUGUAGUUAUUUUGCAAGCCCAGUUCUUUUGUGUCGGUGAAAUCCACAAAAGGUGCUCAGCCAACCCAGGUUGCAAAGUCAAAAUCAUAAGAGCACCUUCCUGUAGUGAAUCUUUAGUUCACCUCCACCAGUAGCUAUAGAUUUACACUAACAAAAGUAACCUGACAACCAAGAAAUCGUAUAGGAUAGAGAAGUGGAAAAUUCUGCAUAUUAUUGGCAUCAUAGGCUGCUCCUAGUCUCCAGGGAGCCCUUCAGGCCUUCAAAGAUGAGUCCCACCAAUGGCAAAUAGCUGGGGCCAAGGGGCUUACUGCCCUGGACCUAGGAAGGGUGGUGAUGUAGUGUUAAGUGAUUUAUCUUGGUCAGGUCUUAGCUGUGUUUCAUCUAUGCAAGAGUCUUGUCUAAAAAACCCUCAUCCCUCACUCUAGUCCAAGGUGUGGUGAUGAAUUUUGUAAUUGGACCAUCUAUUCUCUCUUAAUACAAAGAUACACAGCUCUCCUGCGUGUUCGAGAAAAACUGGCAUCAUAGGCAAUUAGAGAAGUCUAUAAGUUUAUUAUAAUUUAUAAAUCCCAAUGAUACACUGGCACAUAUGAACAUCUCAUAGACAGUAAGGUUUAGCACACAAGGCGAGUUUGUGUGACUAGUCUGUGAAGGAAGGUUUAGAGAAUUUCUACAAUGGUUAGCAUUGCAGCCUUGAUGUGCUUAAAUAGGACACGGCCAGGCUAAGAAGCAGAAGGCAUUUACAGGGACAGCUACCAUACUUAAGUGCUAUUGCGAGACAGCUAAUCUAGGUACUGAAAGCUAUAAAUUGUCCUGAAGGCCUGACUGAUUGUGAUCUGUACAAGGCUCUAAUUAGCCAGAUUCAUAUAUUCCAACAGUUUGAUUUCCUGCAUUUCCAGUUUAUAUAUCCCUCUUCUAAAAAAACUGCCAACUCAUAGUUUCAAUACAGUGGCUUGCCAUCCAAAACGAAUGGUCGGUACAUAGCUGCAACCCUGUCCAUAUGCAACCUAUUUCAGUUAACAGUGUGUUAUUAUCUAAUGCUCUUUCAUAGGAGAAGAAUCUAGCACCCAUAUAUACGAGGUCAUUGUUAUCAUUUUGCUAAGCAAGAACACUGUAAAGAACAUGUACAGAAGAUUGGUAGUUUAUUUAUCCAGCCAUGCACUAACUUCAUGACAUGUUCAUCAAGAGACACUAAGACUCGCAAUUCAAUCACAAGAGGAUAUGUACAAUAUUAAAGUAAGGGAAUGGUCCCACCAGUAAAUGCAACAUGUGUUGGCUCGAUGACUAGGAUGAAUUCAUUUAAACUGAAGACAUCGGAUAUUAAGAAAACAAGUAAAUGAGCAUAACACCACAUAAAGGAAAUGGUGCAAAGAUUAUUUUUCUUGCGCUGCACUAAAGAAGAAACAUUCCCUUACAGCACAAUUAGAGAUGAAAGUAAGUUUCGGGUUGACUCAUUGGCUCAUCUUAUAUUUUUUUUUUGAUUUAUCAACCAUGUGUACUAAAGGAGCUACAAAGUAAGUAGGUAGUUAAGUGGAGUGAGUCUUAGGUAGACCCAUCAGCACAAGUUCACACCAGCAUAAUAGCACAAAAGUAACAUCAUUACAGAAGAAGAAAAAACUGCCAGCAAAACUUAAAAGUUGCCAAAUUAGCGGUUCAAAAAUACAUUCAAAUUUGAAAGACACCACCUCUUGUACGUUCAAACUCAAUCCAACACAACUGCGACACAUAACCUAUAAAAUAAGAGCAGGGUGAAAAGAAUUGGAGGCUUCUUAAUCCUUACUCUUUUCUUCAAAUCCUUACAUGUGUUUGCUCGAACAAGUCAGAAUUAGAUUCCCACUUUAUCAAUGUGAAGAAACCAGCAUGCAGAAUAUUCUCAUUUCUUAUCUGAAAUGACCUAUCCUGUUUCCCGUGAAACAUUAGCUUUGUAUUUCUUAUCUUGUACAUGUUUCCUUCCCUCUAUAGUCAUGCAUGAUAUGUUAAAAUAUAGUAUAAGAGUGAUCUCUUAAUGAUAAAUAAGAACACUCAAAGUUUGACAAUUGAAAGUUCAGCUGUAUUCUUUCUCAUAGAUGCAAAUAUGUAACUAGCAUGCAUCAGUAAACCUCGAGUCAUAAGAAUGGACAGGCACUUCUAUAUCAUUCCAAAAGUGGCUACAGUUGUCCACGAACAGGUCAUAUAAAAAAAGUAAAAUAUAAGCAAGGGAAUAUGCAGGAUGAUUAAAUAAAUCUGCCUACAUAGUAUGUUUUAUAAACAAAAAAGUAAACACCCAAAACAGAUUUGAUGGCUCAAGCUACAGAUUACAGUACAGCACACUUGAAAAUUUCAGCAAUAGGCAGGAUCAGUAAUUUGAAGUCCAAAUGGCAAGGAUGAUAAUGCAGUGCGAGAUUCAAAAGAUCGAGCAGAAUACUUUUACCUUGUGCUAUGAUCAGGGAGCUGAUCCAGUAACAUAAAUGAACCUUAUUGCUGUUGGAAUACAGCCACAAAUAUGAUUUAAGAAAAAGAAGUGAUGAGAAAUUAGCAAUAAAUCAUCUCAGUUGAUUUCUUUUUUCCUACCAACAUAAGAUACAGAGUUACUGACCAGUGUAGAAUGCUAGUACAAAGCCCCCCUAAGGCACUAAGCCUGAUGAGAAUACAGAUAAUGUAUUUCUCAAAGAAUUGAGAAAUUAUCAAGACUAUCUAAGAAGUUCUAUAAUGAAAUAGAAGAAUUAAAGCAUGCAACAGAAAUUAUAGUCUUUAGCAGAAGCACUAAAUUGGGCAAUUGUAAUAACUUUGAUAUGCAUGGAUCACAAAGUAUCCUUACAUUUGAGCGACGCUAGAUGUAUCACUUACGGGGCAGGCAUGUUUUCCAGCCAGAUGAUAAAGCAAAACUCCUGCUGCGACACUAACAUUCAGACUCUCCACCGCAAGGAACGAUCUCAAAUCUUGAUUACUAGAAGAGCUAUCGCCUUCUUCCCCUUCAUCUGUGUCUGCAUCUGCUCCUUCAACAAAUGCACCAGCAUUUCCAGGAAUUCUGACCAGAUGUGUGCAGGAUCGCUCAACCAGGGGUCUCAAACCAGUACCUUCACUGCCCAAUACAAGAAUAGUUGGCACCCCUGUUUGAACUUCAGAAAGAGGUACAGCUUUGUUAGCAAUGGUACCACCAAGAACUCGCCACCCAUUUUCAGCUGAUGAAGACAAGAAAUGCAUCAUGUUUCUGCAGGAAAGCAGCUCGAUCAACUCAAGCGAGCCUGCACUAGCUUUGCUCACAACUCCACUCAAUGGAGCCGAAUUCUUAGCACACAGCACGACCCCCUCAGCACCAAAGUAGUAGGCAGACCUAAUUAUGGCUCCUAAAUUCUGAGGAUCCAUAACCUCAUCCAAGGCUAUCCAGACAGGUGCUUUUCCACCUUCCAACCUGACUGGAUCCAACUCCUUCAUAUUCACCAUUUCCAGGGGUGAUGCAUCAAGCACCAGGCCUUGGUGUGGCCGGUUAUCCACCACCAUGUUAAGGUCAUGCUUCGACGUCUCGAUGACCUUCAGACCAAUCUUCUCUGCCAUCCGCAGCACUUUCUCGACUGCCUUUUUAUCCUUCUUCUUCUUGUUACUCCCGCUCAAAUCCAUACCUUCCUGCAUAUACAAUGCAUAAAACUCCCUCCUCCCAGCCAUGAGCGCUGCAAGCACUGGCCCAACACCAUAAACCCCUUGCCCCACCAUCUUAGGCACCGUCGAUUCCCCUGCCUCCUUCCCCGUCUUCCUCCCCCAGUUCUCCUGGUUGUUCCACUGCCUCACAUGUGGCUUGUCAAACCUCUCCCUCCUAAACCUCUCCCCACGGGACCCUCCAUCCCUCCCCACAGCUUGCCGGUACCUGUCCUUAAUCCUUCCCCAUUUGGGAUUGUCAAUUGGCUCAUUCUCGUCACCAUCCUCCCUAAUCGCCACCUUGUUCGACCUCCUGUCGCCCGACACUUCGCUUUGCGUGUAUUGGUCGUCUCUUGAGAAGAACUUCUCCGCGGAGCUCUCCCACGAGGAGGAGCGGCCGGCGCUAGUCCUCGCAGCGGGGGCGCCGCUGUUGCCAGCUUCGGCAGCAAGCCAGGGAAGCGCCCUCCCGCCGCCAGCCGAUGCGGACCCAUCUGGGGCGGUGGAGAACGAAACCCUGCCUCCCAGCCCGAAGCGGGAGGGGUCGCCCGGGGAGGUUGCGGCCCUGGAGCUCGCACGGGCGGUGGAGGCCGGACGAGGCACGGGUGAUGAGGCCGGAUGCUUGGAGAGGUAGCCGGCGCGGAGGAGGCCGGCGAGGAGAAUGCGGCGAGGCGAGGACGCCGCCGCGAGGAGCGGGAAGGGGUGGGACUUGGAGAGGCCGGAGUGUAGCAUGGCGUCGGCGCGGCGGGGAGUAAGGGUUUUGGGGUACGGGUUGGGGCGGGGAGCGGGGGGUUUGGGUGGGCGGUGCGCGCCACUCGUUCGGCGAAAUGCCGCGGCGGGGAUGACGCCGCUGAGAAUGAGAUUAGAAAGAGUUGUUUUCCGUGGAAGUCCUUCAGGUUUUGCCGUUUAUUCGAAGGAGCCUUCAAGGAUUUGAUAGAGGAGCGACUAGCAACUUGCAAGUGGAACUUGUUAUUUUUUUUAAACCAAAUUGACAGUAGCUCUGCCUUUCAUUAAGGAAGGAAAUAAAGUUUUAGAGUCAUACAUAUCAUAAGCCAAAGACUUUGACUGUGAAAACCCCCCGACAACAAAAGUAAAAUACAUAGACAAUACAACAGAGAAAGACCCGAAGGAGGUUAAGACAACAUAGUGCAUGCCUUCUUUGUGUAACGUCUUCUUUUAUUCUGAAGUCAACCUACAUAGCUAGUAAAAGUUUUUAUUGAAAAAUAUGGCAAAUUCGCUCCUUCAAAAAUUUCCACCAACUUUAGAUGCCCAGUAGUUAAAGGAAUUUGAUAUUUGUGAAGCUUCCUAAGCUUAAAAUUCUCUUGUAUCCAACCAAUAUUAAAACACACCCAAUCUUUUUUCUCCUUCCAACUUGUUUUAUCUCCUCCCACAACAAGCUUCUACCUCGCGUUACCCCUGCACUUACAUCAAGUUGGCUAAUUUUUAAGUAAAGUUGUUUAUCAAGUCGCACCUUCUUGCCCCGACCAUCAAGUAGGGGUGGAGCCAAGAAUUAGCCAUCGGGGUCAGCAUGCAAGACCUUUGUGAGGGUCACGGGGUCAUCAGCUAGUAAACAGUACUGUUACCAUGAUGUUUGUCCAAGAUCGUCGACCGAUGAAAAAAGGCUCUAGCUCUGCCCCUGCCAUCAAGCAUCACUGGUACGAAAGUCGCUUCUCCUUACAUUCCCUCCAAAGCUUAAGGAUCAGAUACACAACAAUCCAAACCCUAAAACUUUAAUCUUGCCAAAAACACAAGCAUAGACAUAUACACUUAAUAAUUCAACAUGGGAUUAGCACUAAACUAGCUACAACAUUAGGGGUUCCUUCGGAAAACAACAACGUUGGGGCCUCACCCCCCCCCCCCACACACACACACAAAGGGGGGGCACGAGCACAAUCUCAAUCAUAAGUUGAGCUCCAAAAUUGAAGGAUAUAAAAAUGGAUGAGAUUGGGAAAAUUGGGUGGUGAUAUAGGAAGAAACGCCUAAUUGUAAUUUAGCUUUUCCUCAUGCAAAUUUAUGGAAAGAGUCGCUUCAAAUGUUCAAAUGUAACCCACUCACCCUUUAACGUUUCAAGUUCAACUGAACUUUAGGUAUAAUUUUGCAAACCAGCUUUAGUCUGGGCACUAAACUGAUAAGAAACAAAAGAUUUUUUUCAAGGGAAAUCAAUAUUUUAAAUAGCAAGAUAAAGCAUUUAGUGGCAUCCUUGGACCAGAGACCACAGGCCCAAACCUGGUUGUCGACAUGUGUAAAGGGGUGCAGUAUGUUAACGAAAUGAGUAAAAUACAUGAAUAGCCAUUGUACUUGUCUUCAUGUUUCAGUUUGACAAUUAUACUUAGAAAAGUGUAAAUCGUACCAUUAAACUUGCUUAACUACAUUGAUAAGGUCAUUAGAUCCUUAAUUGUAUUUGGGAUUAAAUUUGGUUGUCUGGUCAUCAAAUGUUGUCAAAUUGUGGUAUAUGUAGAAUUCUAUAGAACGGUUUACCUAUGGGAGCGCUGGUAUUGUUCAUUAUAUAUAGCCAUGAUAGGAUACAAGAAGCUCUUCAUGUAGGAGACGUGUACAUGAUAGAUACACCAAGGACUCUAAGUAUGUAUCACAAUUACGUAUACAACCCCCGCAAUCACAACUUGCAACACAGCUAGCCACUUGCAAGAUUGAGAUUGGAUCUAAACUUUUGUAACCGGCACACACAGGUUGAGCUUUGGUAAAACCAUCUGCAACCUGAUCAUUAGAGGAAAUAAUCCUGAUGCCCAACUUCUUCUGUGCAACACGUUCACGAAAAAAUUGGUAAUCCACCUCAGCGUUCAAGCAUGAAACACCAGAUUUGCCGAUAGAUAAGUUGCACCAAUGUUAUCACACCAUAAAAUAGGAGCCUUAGACUGAACGACACCCAACUCAUCAAGAAGAGACUAGACCCAAAUAACCUCAGUAGUAGCAUUGACUAGUGCUUUAUACUUAGCUUCCAUACUUGAACGAGAUUGGCACCAAGGAAGAUAGAAAAACCACCUGUGGACUUCCGAUCAUCAGAACAACCAGCUCAAUCCACAUCAGAAAAUACAUUGAUCGCUUGAGAAGAAGAACAUAUGAUCUUUAACCCGAGAUGAAGUGUCCCACUGGCAUAGCAAAGAAUCCUCUUAACAGCAGCAAAAUGAAUAGAAGUAGGACGAUGAAGAUACUAACAAACUUUGUUUACAGAAAACGCAAUGUCGGGUUGUGUAAGAGUAAGUUACUGAAGACCACCAACAAUACUGCGAUACCGUGUAGCAGCAGCAGCAUCUAGAAGAUCGCCAAACGCAACAUAGAGUUUCUUCAAAAUGGACAGAGGAGUAGGCACAUGUUUGCAGUCUUUUAAACCAGCCUUGAGUAACUAUUCUUUGGCAUAUUUGGCUUGUGUCAAUAUCAGAUCACCAGCGGCAAAAGACAAUACUUCAAUACCCAAAAAAUAAUGAAGAGGACCAAAAUCUUUGAGAGCAAAGUCGUCACGAAGAUGAUGUAACAGGCGGUCAAAAGUAGAAUCCCAAGAACUGACCACAAUAAUGUCGUCAACAUAAACAAGAAAAUAGACUGUCACGUCACCUUGCUUGAAAAAGAGCAGAGAUGUAUAUGCCUUGGAUCCCUAAAAGCCAAGUGUUUGCAAUUUGCUACUCAAGCGAGAAUACCAUGCUCGCGGAGCCUGUUUAAGGUUAUAAAGAGACUUGUCAAGUUUGCAUACAUAAUUUGCUCGAGUAGUAUCUUCAUAACCAGGAGCUUGCUUCAUGUAAACGUCCUCCUCCAGAACACCUUGCAAGAACGCGUUCUGAACAUCUAAUUGAUGAAUGCUCCACUUAUUUGACACAACCAAGGAGAGCACAAGAUGAAUAGUUGCCGCUUUGAAAACAUGACUGAAAGUGUCUUCAUAAUUCAAGCCAUACCGUUGUUUGAAGCCUUUCGCAACAAGUCUUGCUUUAUAGCGAUCAAUACUGCCAUCAGUACCUCUUUUGACCUUGUAGAACCACUUGCAAUCAAUAAUAUUAUGAGAAGGAUGGGAGGGAACAAGGUGCCAAGUAUUGUUCCACAUAAGAGCAUCAUAUUCAGUAUCCCUCGUUGUUUUCCAAUCAUUGGAACCAAGAGCCUCACGCAAAGAAGUUGGUUCAGAAGCUUCAGUAAGUAAGCCAUAGUGCACCGUACCAUCUGUAAGUGUUUUAGGCUUAUGAAUGUUGUUCUGCAGUCGCAUCUGGGGUCGAAUCGGUGCAUGGAGAUGUCAUACCAGACCUACAGGUGAGGAAGGCAGACGCCUGGAGCUGGAAGAAGGCACAAACAUAUCCAGUGCAGAAGAUUCAGCAGUUGGUACAGCAGAUCCAGGGGAAGGAGGCGGUCCAGGGGGAAUUGGUGCAAAAGAUCCAAGGACCGUCGCUGUCAUAGGUACGGACGCCAUAGGAGCAUUUUCGGCCGCAACAGUUGUCAUCGUAGGAGUGGUAGAGGGCGAAUCAGCCUCGACCGGUGUAGCUGUCAGAGCAGGCGGGGCAGUAGGCGUAUCCGCACCAGAUUCAGCGCCCAAAUCAACCUCGAUGGAGGUACCAGACUCGUCUGGUAGCCCAGAACGACAAGAGGGGCAAAAAAAAGGAAGGGGCACCACCAACGGUACCAAAUUUGAAGAUGAAACUGCAGAAACCGGCAACAACUCAUCUAGCUCGGGUAGAGCAUUAGCAAUGUUAGGGAAACUACGAUGCAUAUCCCCAGUCAAGUGAUACGGUAAAAGAAGAAUCUCUUCACGAAGACAUUUCCUGGCAUUAGGGUGUAGCUCAAGAAAGGGGAAAAUGUUUUCAUCAAAAACAACAUCACGAGAAAUAUAGACUCAUCCAAAUGAGAUAUCAAGGCACUUGUAGCCCUUGUGAAGUUGACUAUAUCCAAGAAAAGCACAUCGUUUUGAAUGAAAUUCAAGCUUAUGUUUGUUGUAUGGGCGAAUAUUUGGCCAACACGCACACCCGAACACACGAAGAGAUGAAAAUUUUGGUUGCUCAUCAAAAAGACAUGUUAGGGGAAUAGAGAAGUCAAUGACUCGACUAGGAAGACGAUUGAUGAUAUAAGUCACAGUCAAGAAAGCUUCAUCCUAGAAUUUGAGAGGCAUGGAUGUAUGAGCAAGGAGAGCAAGACCAACUUCGGCGAUAUGAUGAUGUUUGCACUCAGCGGAACCAUUUUGUUCAUGGGCAUGAGGACAAAAAACAUGGUGAGCAAUUCCAAUUUUUUGAAAGGAGUUAAGUUUUUGAUAUUCACCAUCCCAGUCAAUUUGCAUUGUUUUAUUUUUUUCUAUUAAAUUGAUGUUCAACUAGUUGUUGAAAGUUGAGGAACACUUGAAACACAUCAGAUCGAUUUUUAAGAAGAAAAAUCCAUGUAAAUUUAAUGAAAUCAUCAAUAAAGCUUACAUAGUAUUGAUAUUGCCCGACUGACUUGGGUGCAGGACCCCAUACAUUCGAAAAAACUAAUUGCAGUGGAAAAGAAGAAAGACUUUCUAACAUAGGGUAAAGCAAGUGAUGACUCUUAGCUUGUUGACAAGCAUCACAAACAAACUCACUUGAGUCUUUUUUAAACGACACAUUAUGAUCUCUAAGAAUAUGACUAACUAUGGGAGUGGAAGGAUGUCCUAGGCGAUGAUGCUACCGUGAUGACGAUGGUGUGGUAACAUGCUGAACUUAAGAGGCGCAAGGUAUAGGGUAGAGCCCAUCUUGACAUCUAUCAUGAAGAAGAGGGGUCUUUGUCGGGGAUAGAUCCCCAGUACCCGCAACGAAGUAAGAAGACGGACUCCUACUAGGAUUCCUUGUAAUCCUACUAGGACCAUACCAUGUAAUCUUACUAGGAUCCCUACCUUGUAACCGACUAGUAAUCCCGCUCCCUAAGUAUAUAAAGGAAGGCAGGGGUCCCUAGAUCGGUAGGCGAAGACCUCAUAGAACCACAGCAGAGGACCAAAUCUUCAAUCAAUACAAUACAACCAACACACAGGACGUAAUGUAUUACGCGACAUAAGCAGCCCAAACCUAUCUAAAUCGUGCAUUCGAGUUCACCUUCGAGUUCCUGAUCUUCGGCAAGCCUCACACAUAAAACACUACCUCGGGUACCCUCUCGGUAGGUUGCUGGGUCUAAACACCGACAGCUAGCGCUCCAGGUAGGGGUGAUAGUCGAGAUCAUCAGGCAAGCUUGAAAAACCUGUUCAUCAAUAUCAAUCUAUUCAGCGCGGCGAGGUUGUUUUGUUUCGACCAAUCAACAACUCGACGAGUUCCUGCGUCAAUUCCAAGCCUGAUUCUAUUAUGUUACAAAGCGGAGUCGCUGAGUUGGAGAUCGAAGCGGACAAAACUACCCCAUCACCAGUAAUUCACCGUGGUGGUCAUCGUCCGAAAAAAAUCGUACCGCGUGCGGAGCAAUUCCUCAUAAAUACCAGCUGUCGGUGUUCGCUGCUGCCAUCUCCGAGUCGAAUUGAACGAUGUGCAAGGAGCUGGCGUUGCAAUCUCAGUUAAUUGCCUCCAGUUGCCAAGUUCGAAGCGGUGAAGAGAUUCCGAAGGCAUCAAAGCUAAGCAUUAAAAUCAAGAAACAGUCAACGCGGUCAACGGGUCCUGGAAGUUAAAUUGGGGGGAAAUUGCUACCUACACACAAAGAUGUACUAGAGGAGACCUUCGAUCAUGCGGUAACGCCAACAAUCGGCAACACCAGCUGCAUCUACUCGUCGAUGGCUACCUUGACUACUCGUCUCGACUAGAAAUUAUUCGAGGACGGACAUCACACCAUCGACAACUAAUCGGAAUCGACUUUGACUAACUUCUUCAACAACCGUCACGGCUUCAUCGACAGCUGCCACGGCUUCAUCGACAAUCAUCUACGAAUUAAGCUAAGUCACUUUUUAAUUAUUCCAUAUAAUUUUUUCGGCUUGUUUUCCUGGGCAACGCGCCAAGUAAUUUUUUGUGUACGCCUCUCGAUAAAAAUUACUCUCCAAAGCUACAAUUUACCAAUUAUUCCUGAAGCACGUUAACCAACAAUCACGGGCUUGAUACACCGAAUUACAGAGACUAUAGCCACAGGUUUUGUGGAUUGAGUUCCGAAGGCUCCGCCAACAGGCUUGGUACAUCGAAUUUCGAAGGCUGCGGCUACGAGUUUGGUGCACUGAGUGCUGGAAGCUCGCAUCAACUACACUCUAAAGAGGCACAAAUCCUAUGCGCGGCAACACGCGCUCUCCUCGCCAAAAAGGUAGAAAAGUCUUAACGACUACUUUACGCGCAAUCGCGCAGUCUUUUUGUCGCAAUGGCGACUAUUUAUUUUUAAAUGUCUUCUCUUAGCGGUCACUAAUCUCCUCAAGCAGAACAUGCCUUAAUUCGUGAAAGCCUCGGAUGUUCUGUCGUGCCUAAAUGCUAGGACGCGAGACAAAGAUUUUUUGUAGUAGCAGUGUCAGUACGCGUACACGAGAUAAAAAUCUCACACGCAGUGGCAAUGGCUAAACAGGGACUGAGAGCCUAAAUGUAAUAGAGUAACUACUCGAGAAAAAUAUGGCCGAAACAAGAGCAUGACACACAACAUUUACACUAUAUUCAUCACUGAAUAAAUUUUAGUACUUCCAAAUUUUACAAAUAUGCUACAUAAUGUAUGAAUUUCUUUUUUCAGAUCAAGUUUCGACGAUGACUCUCUAGGACGCUCAGCGUACUUAUAAUGGCUUUGCUAGCUCCCAGGCUGGGGGCUAAGCGCCAAUUAUUACUCAGAAUACCGGUAGCUCCGCUAGCUCUCAAACUCGGGGGCUAAGUGCCAAUAACUACUUGACAUGAUUUUUUCAAGAUGAAAGAAGGAGAUUCAUGAUUUUAUUGACUCUCAACCUGAUUCUUCGAUUUAACCUAAGGCUCGGGACUACUCCACAUGGAGUGCGACUUCCGCCGCCCUCCAUAUCACAUUCCAAAGAUGAAGAUUACAAAAUCAAGAUGACAAGGGCUUGAGCACACCAUAGCCUCAUGGCAGUUUUGAGAAACUUUGAAGAUUCAGCUAGACAAAGUACUCGAAGAGCACCAAAACUACUCGGUGAGGAUCUGAAAAGUACUCAAGGCUGCUGGAUUCGACUAUGAAGCGCUCGGGAGGCUUGUCAGGGAUAGAUCCCCCGUACCUGCAAGGAAGGAAGAAGACGAACUCCUACUAAGAUUUCUAUGUGAUCCUACUAUGACCAUACCAUGUAAUCCUACUAGGACUCCUACCUUGUAACCGACUAGUAAUCCGGCCCCCUGAGUAUAUAAAGAAGGGCAGGGGUCCCUAGAUCAGUAGGUGAAGACCUCAUAGAACCACAACAGAUGACCAAAAUCUUCAAUCAAUACAAUCCAACCAACACAUAGGAUGUAGGGUAUUACGCGACAUAAGCGGCCCGAACCUGUCUAAAUCGUGUGUUCAAGUUCACCUUCGAGUUCCUAGUCUUCGGCGAGCCCCACGCAUAAAACACUACCUGUGGUACCCCCUCGGUAGGUUGCCGAGUCUAAACAUCGACGGUCUUUCGUGGCCAAAUCCUUAACACAAAAGAAGGAAGGAUCAAACUCAAGAAAGACAUCAUUAUCGGUAGUAAAUUGAUGGACGUAAAUCAGAUUUUUCGUGGCAGCAGGGACAUGCAGAACAUUGUGAAAGGAAAAAUCACAACUGGGAGUAUGAAAAAUAGUUUCACCAACAUGAUUGAUGCUCAUACCUUUGCUAUUGGCUGCAUGGAUCUGCUCUUGGCCAUUGUACUGCUCCCGUGCCAUAAGCUGCUCAAGCGAGUUGGUAAUAUGAUCUGUGGAGCCGGAGUCAAAGUACCAAUUUGCAUCAAUGCCAUAGGAUGGAGUAGCAGCAGAUGCAGACUUCGGCGUUCCUGCCUUCAUUGGUUUCUGGUCCCCAUCACGAGGAGGAACAUAGCGCUUAUUGAAAUGAUACCAGCACUCAUGAACGGUAUGGCCAAACAUUUCACAAAGUUGGCAGAUUGGCCCCUCAUCAGAGUCGGAGGAGUUGGACAGCCCCAUAUUGCGACCAUGAAAAGGAUUAGGACCCCCACGACCAGAUCCUCCAGUGCGACCAUUGCCUCGUCCACGAGCAGGAGGACGACCGCGGCCACGGAACAUAGUAUUUGCAGAUGAGUAGAACCGGCCCUCAUCAGCACGCUGUUGAUUCAGUCUUGCUUCAAAGGAUAAUAAGUCAGCAUAAAGAUCACUAAGGCUGAUAGAAUCUUUAGUAGACUUUGAGGAAACAAAGGGAUUGAAUCUGAGUUCAAUCCAUUGAGGAUAUAUUCGAUGAGAUUAUCAUCAUCAAUGGUCUUGCCCCGGCUGCUGCCAUCUCAUUAGCAAGGGCCUUCAUCUUGAUAUAAUAAGCAGAUGCCGAGGAAUCACCUUUCUUCUCCCUAGCUAAUUGGAACGGAUCUGCAGAAUCUUGGCACGAGAUUGCGACGAGAACACCUGAUUAAUCGCCGACCAGACUUGAGCUGCAUGUUCCAAUGAGGAAACUUGGACAAAGACUUCCUUGGUCAUUGAGGACAAGAGAUAUGCAAGAAGUUGCUGAUCAUUAGAGAUCCAAGAGACAUACGCAGGGUUAUCAACUUCUUCGGUAGACUUGUCCAGUUUUUUCCACACGAAGUAUCGCCAGAGGUUGAGCAAUGGAUCCAUCUAGGAAGCCAAUGAGGCGUGACCCACGAAUUGCGGGUAGAACUUGUGCUCACCACACAAGGAAAUUGUCACGGGUAAGCUUCUCCGAGACAUGGAUGUGGAACAUUGUUGAAGCCGCCAUCGAGCUUGAAGAUGACAUGAUCGUUGUCGACGGAAAAAAAAUGAGUACUCUCAACUAGAUGCACUCUUGAUGGAGGAGGUGGCUCUUAUACCAUGUAGCAUUGUAUGGAACGGCUUACCCAUAGGGGCGCCGGUAUUGUUCAUUAUAUAGGCCAAGGAAAGUCCUAGCCAUGAUAGGAUACAAGAAGCUCUCCAUGUAGGAGACGUGUACAUGAUAGAUACACCAAGAAGGACUCUAAGUCCGUAUCCUAUACAAUUAAGUCUACAGUAUGCACAUAGCGUUUCCAAUUUUUUCUCACCAUGUAUAAUUAACAAAUGCUUACAUGCAGAAGAUAGUAAACACGCUCGAAGCUAGAUGGCCAGCUAAUUUCAUUGCUCAUGUUUUAUGGAUCUUUAAUAUUAAUUGUUGGCAACUUCAUCCAGUAGUCCAAGAUUACUACGGAAUUUGUGUUCGGCAAGAUGGUCGAAGGUGAGAACACCCUCAAGCAAGGCUCGUUCGCGCAUAAGGAUUUAGUCAGGUUCAUACCCCCGAGUAGGUGAGCUUCACCGACAAAGCAAGGUUGAGCUCCAGGCUCGUGGUGACAUAACAAACUGGAGUUUAUGAUUAGGAUAUAGUGCGUUGGGAGUGUUAGGAAAUUAAGCAACAUCUGUGUUCAAUCGUCACUUUAUUUUUGUGAUACGAACAAUGCACUCAGUAAAAAAGCAAUGGUGAGAUGUGUCUUAUUUGUUCAUCUUUUAGCAUGUGAAGAUGAGGUUUGGGUGAUUCUAUCAUCGUGUGAAUUGCCUUAGCUCUCCUUGUUCUUUACGUAGAUGAGUGAUUGCUCUCUCUUCUGAAAUAGAAGGGGCUAUAGAUGAUUGUUAUAGUUGGAAGAGUCAAUAGAGAGGGAUGUAAAUACAAAAGAGAAAGUGAAGUGAAAAAUGUUUAUUGUGAUUUGACCAUUGUCAUUUACACAUACAAAUAUAAAUAUGUAGAAUUAUGGGGUCCAUGGCCGUAUUGACACAGUCGAACGAGUUUAGUGACCACGAUUUACACUUCUAUGAGUAUAAUGGCCAAAGUGAAAUAUAGAGACAAGUACAAUGGUCAUGUAUGCAUUUUACUCUAAUGAAAUCAAGGAAGGAUUCUGUUGUGGCUGGUUUCCAGUGGGCAUAUGAAGAAGGUGCACUGGUUGAAGAGAACAUGCGCGGCAUUUGCUUUGGGGUAUUUGAUGUUGUUCUCCAUUCGGAUGCUAUUCAUAGAGGCGGAGGACACAUUAUUCCGACAGCCAGGAGGGUCAUUUAUGCUUCUCAGCUCACUGUCAAGCCAAGGCUUCUUGAGCCUGUGUACUUGGUGGAGAUUUAAUUCCCAGAGGAGAGGGCAUGUGAUUGAGGAGAUUCAGAAGCCUGAGACUCCACUGUACAACAUUAAGGCUUACCUCCCUGUUAUUGAGUCCUUUGGUUGCACAAGCUCCCUAAGGGCUGCAACCUCUGGCCAGGCAUUCCCUAGUGUCUUUCACCACUGGGAAAUGCUGUCUGCUGAUCCUCUGGAACCUGGUACACAGACAACUAAUCUUGUCUUGGACAUCUACAGGAGGAAGGGUAUGAAGGAACAGAUCACACUUCUCUCUGAAUAUGUAAUAUUUGAUCAUGUGUACUUAUAGCCUGUAUUUCUUAUGGUUUUCACAUAAAUUAUUAUAUCACCAUAUGCUACUUGGUGAUAUUGUAUCUAUCAUGAUAUAAUGAUAUUUUGAAGGUAUUUCUGUGGACAAUUAUUCUCUUUUGCUUAAUAUAAUUCUGUUCAUCCUUGUUUGAAUAUGCUGUUUUUUCUAUGUUCUGCCAGGCCACCUAUUACAUGGUGGUUAAAUUCUUCCCCUCACUGACAAUCUCUCCUGACCUGUGCUAUGCUAUAUAUGCUUACUGGAUGCCCACAACAUUUGAUAGCAGUUUUUGCUAUAUAUGCAGUUCUAUAUCGUCUCAUCGUCUGGAUUCUUGUAUUUGGUUCCCAUUUGCAGUUACUUUUUCUUAUCUGACUGCUUUGGAUUGAUUCUGCUUUUAUUCAAUGUUCCUUUUUGUUUUUUUAGAAUUAAAGGUACUCAGCCCCUAUCCAUCUGCAUUAGCAUCAACACAAGGUUAAACGCCGUUUCACAGUUCUUACAACGCGCCACCCUUGCCAAACUCAAAAUACAAGUACUCGCACAGUACUCCAACAACCAAUGUUCCUUUUUGUGUGUCUCUGUGUUCUUUCCAUUCCGUUUAUGCUACAUAGGUUUACAUCUUUACAUGGAACACUUGUGGUGAAGCAAUAAUCCACAAACCAUUACAAGGUUAUAGCAUCGACAGUGCUUUUGUCCACAGUGCCCUCUGCUCCUCCUCCUCCUCCUCUUGAGAAGGUCAGACGGUGACAUGGUGUUAGUUGACUACCAUUGCAUGAUGUUGGUUCUGGUUCUCAUCAAUCAUGUAAUACUAACUACAUGAGAUCCACAACCGCCGGUGCAAGCUUUCGACCUUCAAGAAUAAAGAUCCUCGGGACUACAACAGCAAUAUGAUUCGGUAAAUGUCCAUUAACGAAAUCAUACUUUGUCGUCUGCUGAUAGCAUUUUAUUAUCUGGAUGUUUAUCUGAAUUGGACUCUUAACCGAUUUUUGCUAGAUGCUCUUUAGCUCACAUGAUGCAUCAACAGAAGAACCAGGGCAUCGGUGAGGACUAAGGAAAGGACAGAGGAGGCUUACAAAUUAGUGCUUCAAUAGCACAUUUCAUCAGCAGCAUCAAACAGUCGAGGUACAUGAUAUGAUAAUAAAGCAAGGAUUCAGCAACCUCAGGGUGAGUACCAUGAAACUGCAACCAUGCUGAAUGUAGACUAUAUAUCUGGUAUUUUCAUUACCAUAGGUCCAUAGCUGAACAAGUAAGCUAAGCGAGGCAACACCUCAUUGUUUGCAGAAUCUUAUUUGAACUCGUACCCGCUGUAAACAAGUAAGCUGAGCAAGCAUCCAAGCCGCACAAGUUCUUGCACAGUUGCAAAGUACACAAGUGACAAGUGAAAAAUGUAAAACUCAGGCCACCAAGAUCCACCUCAAGCUGCAUACUUGCAUCAAGCAAAGCUUCCCACGAGCGACAAGUUCACCAGAGCUGAAGCCGCGAGCUUUUCACUCAGGCUUCUUCUCGAGGCUGGUGUUGUUCAGCCGCUCGAUGGCCAGUAUCAGCGCCUGUGUACCGAGCCCGCCCUCGCCGUGCGCCAUCAGCGACACGUACAGCUGUUGCGCGAGCGCGAGCCCCGGCAGCGACAGCCCCAUGGCCUGGCAUUCCGACAGGCAGAUGCCGAGGUCCUUGACGAAGUGCCGGACGUAGAAGCCAGCCGCCAUGUCCCGCUCCAGGAUCCGCUUCCCGUACAGCUCCAGCGACUUGGACCCCGCGGCGCCGGUGGAGAUGGCCUCCAGCCACUUGGCCACGUCCAGCCCGGCCUUGUGCGCGUACACCAUGCCCUCCACGAGUCCCACCAUGGUGGACGCGAUGGCGAUCUGGUUGCCCAGCUUCGCGCGCUGCCCCGCGCCGGGCCCGCCCAUGUACAGCGCGUUCCCCAUGAGCUUGAAGAGCGGCGCCAGGCGGGCGACGACGGCGGCGUCCCCGCCCGCGAAGAUGGAGAGCGUGGCGUUGCGGGCCCCGCGGUCGCCGCCGGAGACGGGGGCGUCGACGGCCGAGCAGCCGCCGGCGGCAGCGGCCGCGGCUAUCUCGGCGGCGAGGGUGGGGUCGGAGGUGGUCAUGUCGACGAGGACACCGCCCGGGGCGAGGCCGGCGAGGGCGCCCGCGGACGGAUCGAGGGCGGUGGAGCGGACGUCGGAGGGGAAGCCAACCAUGAGGAAGAUGACAUCGGCAGCCGCGGCGGCCGCGCGUGGGCUGUCCGCGAGGCUGGCGCCGUGGGAGACGAGGCCCUGAGCCUUGGAGGCCGUGCGGUUGAAGACGGUGAGCGCGUAGCCGGCGGAGAGGAGGUGGCCGGCCAUGGACUGGCCCAUGACGCCCGUCCCCACCCAGGCCACGCGGGUGGUGUCCGGAGAGAUCGGACAAUCCGAGACGUUCGCUCCCGUGGCUGACGACGACAUAGCUGCUGCAGCGGCGGCGGCGGUAGCGGCAAGCGGGAAGGGCGGACGGCGGUGAGUGAGGGAACGGGAGAUGCCGGCGAGCAUUUGGGGGCGGAGUAGCUGCCUGAUAUGCCCGUUCCUAUGCAGGUAAAUUGUCGCAAAUGCCCUCUGGUGUCGCGUUGCAGUAGCCGAUAAGGCGAUAAGGCGUCCAAGCGUAAGGUGACCCUUGGAUAUGGGCUAGGUCCAUUCAACCCAAACAGCAGCUCUAUUCCUGGGCCGAAUGGUAGCCCAAGAGGCCGACAGUGAGCUCACGGGUGACGAACCGGGAUUCCAAUGCAGCUUACAUGUUCUCAGCUUAUUAUUCUCUUGUUACAUUUGAGGAAUUCACAGAACCAGAAAACAAGCCAGGCUAAGAAUUGAUAGAUAUCUCCUUUGCUAUGUCCGAAGGCCUCGUCCACUCAAAACAACCUAUACCCAUAAAUCAAUGUGUUAGUAACUCAACCAAUAUUUUUCCACACAAGUGCAAGAGUUGUGCACGUGGAAUACCUGCAGUUUCAGAGGUGGACCCGUUGGAUCUACAAAUAAAGAACGAUCAUCUGGAGGGAACUCUUGAUUAGUAAAGUUUCUCUCUCCUUUAGCAACAAGAGCAUCCCUGACAGCCCUUUCAACAGACAGCCUACGCUGGUUGACUUCGUCUUGUGUUUCAAACCGGAGCAAAGGAGUCAAUGUCAACAGCUACAGCAUCAUGUACCGGCCGUUUCCUACCACUUGAGUACCGCCCAUCCCAUUCGACAUCCCCUUGAUCAUAUAGCUCGUAAGCCUCUUCACUUUCCCAAUCAUCCACCUAGAUGAAACAGUAAAUUAGGAAAUCACAUUCAGUUUCAUAUUCCCUCCCAAUUCAGGACAUCACAAAACACUGAAAGUACAUAAGUUCUAGGUAAAAUCAAUACCCUUGCAGAAUAGCUUCCAUGCCAAGCAUCACCAGCUCCAAGGUCAAAAAAGCCAUGCUCGACAGGUGAAAUGGCUGUAUGCAAUGCAGCAACCUCAUCUUCACUGAGGCAUCUUCCCCAUAGAAAAGCAUCCAUGAUCUGCAUCUUUGAGUCUGAACCUUCACUAUCUGACCUACCAAAGGCAUCUAAGUCUAUGGGUGGCCGAGCACCAACCCAAUAUGUUCCAGGAAACGAUAAGCAGCCUUCUUCAAACACAAGCAAUCGUUUCGCAGACUUGUAUACCACUGGGUUGACAAGAACAAUUUCCUCUCCUCCCCCUUCAUUAUAGCUGGAUUGAAUACCACAAGCUGCACAUUCACUCCCACUUGUGGUGCUGAGAGACCAAUGCCAUCAGUCCUGUACGAAAAACAACUAUUUAAUGAACCAGUAUAGGUCCUAAUAAGUUUGGCAUAGUUCUAUCUCGGAAAAGCAGGCAUGCCUAUAGUGGAUAUUUUGCUCACAUUUGAAACAUGCCUAUUGCCUAGUGCAAUCGGCUUUUAUUUCAUCAAGCUUGUACAAAUCUAAGAACUACAAAAACGAAUUCAACACUUCUUCACACAAACAAAUCCCACCUCAACAAAACAGGUCACAAGAAGGAUUUCAUGAAAAUAAACACUAACUAAAGUCAACUAUUGCAUGUAUGCAACCAUGCUAGGCACACAUAUUUCUUUAAAACAGCAACACGUCGAAUCGGUGCCUAUUAGCAUGAUACCCUCUUGCACAUUCCGUUGUCAGCUUGGAUGUUCCUAAUGGGUAGGCUGAACUGCGUGUGGGCAUAGGUGCAGAAGGUGGUAAUAUGCGUGGUGAUUUCGGACUUGUGAGCCAGGGGAAAAGUCCAACGGAAGUGCGUAAAGCUCAGGAUCUCUUGACGCCAGCAUCCUAACUGCCAGCAAACCUGCAUUUUCAGCACUCCCAAUAGCAACAGUCGCAACAGGAAUACCUUUUGGCAUCUGUGGAAGUGGAAAUAAUAUCAACAAUCAACUUCAUCCAUAAUAAAUAAGUGGUGAAAAAUAGAGGACAACCAUGUACAAAGAUGGUGACAAAACCAAUCAUUCCAUAGAACUAAAUAAUUAAUAGUAAAUUAACUAAAAGUUGUGAUUCAUUUAUCUGGGAGCUCUGGUAUGCUGUUAUUAGCAAAAAAACAUGCGAACACCCUUAGGUGGUUAUCAUUCAAGUAGCGAUGAAUGUCAUUUGCGCUAGUGAGGCCCUGGUGAGCACCUAACUGCACAAUGUCAAACAUCACUCGCUAAACACUGCAAUAAAAGUAAAUGGUGCUGUUCGUAUGAAGUCUACAAAAGAAAGUAUCAGGCUUGAAAACUUUAAUGCCUAUAAUUAUGAGGUUAAGUCCAACCAGACAAGCAUGUUUCAGAAUGCAACAGCCAACAUUCUAUGCUUGCAUCCAAACACAAAAUUUGGGGCGGUGUUGUGAAAUGAGAAAUGAGAAACUAAAACCCCCAAUGAUCUGCUCUUAGGAAAAAAUCAGGCAAUAAGAAAUGCAAACAAAAAGAAUCUGAACGUAUAAGAGUGGGCGCUGAAAAACAGCUACAAUUAUCAAAUCUCUACGGCAUUUACUUCAAUUUGAAUCUUAAAUGAAAGAACUGUUAGCACACUAACUUGCACAAUAGAUAGGAGGGAAUCAAGUCCAAGAAGUGACUGAGUCUUGAUGGGUACUCUGAAUACUGGAAGAGAAGUCAAUGAGUCUUGAUGGGUAAACAGUUUAAUCCAAAUAAGAAGUGCAGUUUUAAGAAUCCAAAGAAGAAACCUAAAUAAAAUACUUGUCUACUUAGGGCCUGUUUGGCGAUAAGUGUUAAAGUUUAACACCCAUCACAUCGGAUGUUUGAUGCUAAUUAGGAGUAUUAAACAUAGAUUAAUUAUAAAACUAAUUGUACAGAUGGAGUGUAAUUCGUAAGACGAAUCUAUUAAGCCUAAUUAGUCCAUGAUUUGACAAUGUGGUGCUACAGUAACCAUUUGCUAAUGAUGGAUUAAUUAGGCUUAAUAGAUUCGUCUCGCGAAUUAGCAAAGGGGUCUGCAAUUAGUUUUAUAAUUAGCUCAUAUUUAGUUCUCCUAAUUAGCAUCCGAACAUCCGAUGUGACACUGUUAAAGUUUAACACCUCGUAUCCAAACACCCCCUUACAAGCAACAACAGAAGAUAGCUCCUCUUUGUUUUGGGCAACAGCAUUGCCUCGACCAUCAUAUGCUAACCUCUUGCUUUUUACCAUUAGAGGAUAGCCAAACCUUUCCCCUGCUUCCUCUAUACUGUGUAAAGUAUCUACCUGCAAAUCAAAACUAUGAAAUUAUCUAGUGACAGUCGCAACUCCAAUAAUAUUAACUGGUUAGGAGUUUGUGCAUUACUUCCAUGAAGUCAGGCAAAGGGAUCCCAAAUUUUGAGAAAUGAUUUUUCUGCCUGUAUCUGUCCUGCAAUUGAGUGUCAGUGCACAAGAACUAUCAGUAAAUCAAACUGCAUGUUCAGAUAAUGAAGUUGUUGAAAAGGGUAUUCCAGGAGAAAUAAUCUACUGAACAAGAACUGAACUUACAACUAAACAAAGUAUACAACUGAUUCUGCAGGUUCAAGAGAUUGAACCAUAGAUAAUUUGCAAGAGAAGCAUAUCAAAAAUCAGUUGAAUGUGCAGCUGCAAUUAGAUCUUUCAUCCCCGGUGAGCUAGAUGCAGCACUUCAUGAAUUUGCGUUUAAAUUUCAAAGCAGUAAAAAUGAACAGAUGGUUGGCACAAGCAGGAAAAGUUUGCCUGAAUAAUCAUUAUCGUGGAGGCUUUAGGCUCGCAGUCGACACCCUGUUUUUCUAGCUUCUCAAGUGUGACGGCAUCAACAUGUUCAAUCUCCACUAUUAGGACCCCACACCUAUCAGAAUUAAAAAGGAUGAAAUCACACCAGACCACCAACAUUGCAUAGAUACGACCUCCAAACAAGCGCAAUAGGAUUGCAAAUUCACCUACCUCUUGGCAAACUCCCGGACCGUGUCACCGUCGUUGAAGCUCCCCACGACGUGCUCGUGGCAAACAGAGCUGGCCGGGCAGUCCUGAAGGGGGUCCAGGAUGACAAUCAUAAUCCCCAUCUGGCUCGCGGCCUGGCAGAGCAUCUUCCCCAGCUGGCCUGAGAAUUCCCCUAGUGAACGGAGGAAUUUUGGAGGAGGAGGCGGUGGCGGCUUACCUGUGGCGAAGUCGUCAUCCUCGGCUGGCGGGGUGGCGGCGGUGGAGGAGCUUAAGCUGCGGUGGAGGAUCAUCGAUGGUCGCAGGGUCUUCAGGCAUGUGGUGUGUGUGUAUCACGGAUCGGAACGCGCGAGGAACACCUUGGAGAACAAACCUGCUGUGACGACUCGCUGGCCGGGGCGGACGACAAAACGGACGAGUUGAAGGCGGCGGGGGUGUCCAGGAAGCUGGGCGUGGUCGGGUUCUGCUACGGCGGCGGCCGCCUCGUGGAGGCGCUAGCGCGCGACGCCGAGGGCUGCUUCAGCAUGGGGAUCUGCUUCUACGGUUCCCGGAUGGACGCGUCACUGGGCGACCGGAUCGCGGUGCCCAUGCUGUUCGUGUGCGGCAAUGGCGACCCGCUGUGCCCCGAGGAGACGGUGUGAGAGCUGGACUUCUGUUUAUAUUAGAUCAGAAAAUACCAAAUCAAAGAACUUCUUGAUGAGUACGAAUCAAGUUCGAGGUCUUGUUGGUUACGACAGUACCUUGGGGGGAGCGCGGUGAUGUCGGCGUCGUGGAGGUGAAACUUAGCGGCGCAGAACCAGCGAUCCCUGUCAAGCCGCUGUUCGUGUCCGCUUCUUUCGCUCACUGGUAACCGCCUGCGAACAGCCAGCCAUGGCUGUCGCAAGGCUGGUGGCGGCGACUCCAUUCCCCGUGGCCGCGUCGCGGAUCCGGGCGGCCGCGUCCCGCGUGGCGCCGCGGCUGGCGUUCGCGCCCCUCGCGGUGCGCGGGGCCGCGCGCGCGCGUGGCGGCGGACGACGAUGAGGACACGCCGGCGGCGGCACCGGCGGCGAGGAGAAGGUGGACGUCGGUGAAGCGGACACGGAGGCGGAGGCCGCGCAGCUGGCAAUGGCGGCGCGCGCGGCGCUGAAGCAGUCGGAGCGGCGGACGUACCUGGUGGCGGCCCACCGCUCCGAGCACGGAGGCGGAGGCCAUGCGGCUGGCGAUGGCGGCGCGCGCGGCGCGGAAGCAGUCGAGCGGCGGAUGUACCUGGUGGCGGCCCACCGCUCCGAGCCGUCGGGGGUGCUGGUGGUGAUCGACGCGGCAGAGCCGGCACGGAGCGAGGCGAGGCAGAGGACCAGGGGAAGCAGAGCAAGCGGGCAGCAAGGCCUGUCCAUGUCGAAGAUCCGGGCGUGGUCUGCGCCAAGCGAGUGCGCAUCGUCGCACUGUGGAGUCGUCGCACUGUGGCCGAGGGUUCCACGAGAGGAAAACGGUGACGUUGCGAUUGGGAGACAAAGCCGAUGGUGGUGCGACUGCAAGACGAAGGAACGCACGGAAGAGAUACGGAGACACGGACGGAUGGAUGCCUCCAGGGACUUUUUAGAAAAAAAUGACAUGUGCUCUACACAGAACUGCGGGUUGAUUAUCAAAAACUUGAAGGGGUUUUUCAUAAAAUUACCACGACGGUUGAAGGAUUGAAAGAAACAUCCCUCUUUAAUAUUAGGUAUAGAUAGAUAUAGAUAUAGAUAUAGAUAUAGAUAUAGAUAUAGAUUUGGAUGCAGCGGUUAAAAUUUAGCACAUGUCGCACCAGAUGUUUGAUACUAAUUAGAAGUAUUAAAUAUAAUCUAAUUAGAAAACUAAUUAUAUAGAUGAAGUCUAAUUUGCGAGACGAAUCUAUUAAGUCUAAUUAGUCCAUGAUUUGAUAAUAUGGUGCUACGGUAGCCAUUUGCUAAUGAUGAUUUAAUUAGGCUUAAUAGAUUCGUCUCGCGAAUUAGACUCCGUUUAUACAAUUAGUUUUGUAAUUAGCUUAUAUUUAGUCCUCCUAAUUAGCAUCCGAACAUCCGAUGUGACCCUGCUAAAAUUUAGCGGCUCCUAUCCAAACAGUCCCUUAGUAAGUCCGGACUAAAGUUUCGAUCACAUCGAAUAUUUAGAUACUAAUUAAUUACAAAAUCAAUUGCAUGGAUGAAAGCUAAUUUGCGAGACGAAUCUAUUAAGCCUAAUUAGUUCGUGAUUUGACAAUGCGAUGCUACAUUAAACAUGUGAUAAGCAUGAAUUAAUUAGGCUUAAUAAAUUCGUCUCGCGAAUUAGCCACCAUCUGUGUAAUUAGUUUUAUAAUUAACUCAUGUUUAGUUCUCCUAAUUAGCCUCCGAAGAUUCGAUGUAACAUGGACUGGACUUUACCUCAAUGAUCCAAACACCCCCUUAGUUCGCUUCCGAUGUUGAAGAUUUGUACGGUAAAAUUGGUCCGUUGGAUGCACCUCCACAACCUUACCCUAAUCUCCACUGCCACCUGUGGCUCCUCCUUGUCGGCGCUGCUUCCUAUCCUCGCAGCGCCGCUGCUGGGUGUUCCACGACCACCGCGCCCUGUAGUGUCGUCGUCGCACGCAGUCACACACAAUCCCAAGCGCAGCCGUCCCAUGCCGUCGUGCUGCUAUCCACGGCCACUGCACCCUGUUGUGCCGUCGCUUGCCGUGCUUGUUGCCCCGCGUGCUGCCACCGCUCGCCGCGCCGAUGUCCGCAGCCCUGCGCAACUGUGCCUCUGCGCCUGUCACCCCACGUGUUGCCGCCGCGCGUCGAGAGAUGCUCCGCGCCUACAUGCUCGGGAGAAGAUGCUCCGCGCCUACCUGCUCUGGAGAAGGGAGACAAAAAUAUUGAUGUGUGUAACGUGUACGUAGAAAUGUUGAAUGCAUUAUUUUCAAAUGUUGAAAUAUAGUAUAUAAAAUGUUGAAUGUAGUAUCACUCUACAAAAUGUCAAACUAUGUUUGAAAAAUGUUGAAAAUAGUAAUUUUAAAUGUUGAUCUAACUUUUAGGUAUUGUUGAAUCUAAAAUAAUACUUCUAUUUGCGUCUAAACGGGCUUUAAAGCCACGGAACUUAUCCAGCUUCCACAAGUGAGCCCCCGUGACGAACGGCCCAGAAGCCGCCCGCCACGCAGCCGGCUCGACUAAACCGGAUCGCCAGGUGCGUCAACUCCGCCGCUAUAAAUACCCUCAGAGGGCGGCCGCUAGGGUUUUAGUGCUUCUCUCCCGGCGGCGCCUCCACAUCUCGUCUCUCAGAUCGGGAGGCGAAACCCAGGUGACUGACCUCAUCCUCUUUCCCCCACCCUCCGUCUCUGGUUGCUAUAGCUAAGUUCAUCCAUGCGAUGUCCUGCUAGCUGAUUAGUAUUUCUACUAGUGGAGUUCGAGUCGUUUUGGUUCCAUUCAGUAGUGCUUGUGUUGAUUGGAUUGAAUCGGAGGACUCGAAGUGGUUUGCUGCUCGAAUCGCAAGUUUGUUGGGCUAAUCUCGAUGCAAUUUAUGUCAAUUCGUUGUUUUAGUGGUCCUUGGCAGUUCUCUCUGUGACAGGUCCGUCCGAUCUGUAGAGAUGCGGUGGAAUCCUGGUUUACUCAAAACGGUUCUAGAUUCCUCUGUUCUUCCCUUAUUUUUUGUUUACGUUAGGAGCCUAUGAAGUGGAUAUGCUCGGAUCCUUUUCUGAAACUCAUCUGUUUACUCAGAUCUGCUGGUAGCUCACAGUUCCAGGGUAGUUACGUUGAUGGUCUAGUUUUGGUAGUUUCAUGUUCUAUUUCUGUCCAUUUUUGUGAUGUUCAGUAUGUUAAAAUACUAUCUGUGCUUCUGAAUAUCUUGUUAUAUGAAUUCAUUGGACAAACUAUGCAUUCCUUUUGGCAUCUUAAAUAUUUUCCUGAAGGUUAGAAUCGACUUCGAAAUGUUUGUCUAAAUUAAUCUUCUGGUGUUUCCCUAUGCCAGUCUGUUAAUAUGUCUGUAUUAUAGUGUUUUGUUUGAAGUGGUAAUGUACAUGGUGCACCCUGCAGUUUUUCAUGUCUAAUAUUGGAUCUUCUUGUUUGCUGUAUGUAUUAAGGAUUAGUUUCACUUCUAAUAGCUUACUGCUGAUGCUUUCUUGUUUGUGUAAUAUGCUGUGUAAUCAUGUUGACCCUGAGGUUUGUAAGAAUUCCUCUUAUUUGAUUAUUGCAUGGAUUAGUGUCCUGAAGGAUAUGGCUCCUUUGUACAAUUAAGAUAAUUCACUUUUUUUUUCUCAACUUUUAUAUGCUUACUAGCCCAUUAGGUUGUGUAAACAUUAGAGUGCUUUAGCCUGGUAAAGAUGAGUUAAGCAUUUUAAAUAAAUUUUUGGAUUUGGUUGAUAUCAUCCUUAACACCUGCAUUUAAACAAUUUGUCUCUUUUGAUCCUGACUAUUACAGUGGGUGUUACUUUCUUUAGUCAUUCUGUGGUAUCAAAGUUUCUGGUGUAGUUGUGUAAUUAUGGUUUUGGUUGGAUUCUUACUAGUAUUUUCUACCUUUAAACAGCAGGAAAUUAUAUACAUAUUUGUAGUGUGAUCUUCAUAAGAAGUCAAGAUGGUGAAGUUCACAGCGGAAGAGCUCCGUGCCAUCAUGGACAAAAAGAACAACAUUCGUAAUAUGUCCGUUAUUGCUCAUGUGGACCACGGUAUGUUAAGAACAGUGUUUAAUUAAAUGUUAUGCAUACCUGUUCCAUUUUUCAGGCUUUUCAAUUUUAGCAAUUGUUUUUUUUUUCAGUAUUAAAUCUCUGAAUUGUUCUUGCCAGUGAAUGCGAUUCAUGCUGCGUUAGCUAUCACAGACCUAUUUUACAUAUGUAGAAAUAUUCAUUUCAUGUUGGAAAUAGGCUUAUUGUUCUUUUGUAAUUAAUGUAUUGGUUUAUCUCUAGAUAUUGCAGUGUAUAGUAUCUGUUUACUAUGUGUUUUAUAUUGGGAUGUAUUGUUGUCUUUGUUAACUUGUGAGAGGUUGUCUAUCCCUAAUGUUGUACUAUUCUUGAUGCAUCUUCGGACUGACUUUUAAGUUCCACACUAUAGUCUUACAUCUCAUUAAUUCUUUGCAGGCAAGUCUACCCUUACAGAUUCCCUUGUGGCAGCUGCUGGGAUUAUUGCCCAGGAAGUUGCUGGUGAUGUCCGCAUGACUGAUACACGUGCAGAUGAAGCAGAGCGUGGUAUUACAAUCAAAUCCACCGGUAUUUCUCUGUACUAUGAGAUGACUGAUGAGUCACUGAAGAGUUACAAGGGUGAGAGAGAUGGUAACCAGUACUUGAUCAACCUUAUCGACUCACCUGGGCACGUUGAUUUUUCUUCGGAAGUCACAGCUGCCCUUCGUAUCACCGAUGGUGCUCUAGUGGUGGUUGACUGUAUUGAAGGUGUCUGUGUGCAAACUGAAACUGUGCUCCGCCAGGCUCUUGGUGAGAGGAUUAGGCCAGUGCUUACUGUGAACAAGAUGGACAGGUGUUUCCUUGAGCUUCAGGUUGAGGGUGAGGAAGCCUACCAGACUUUCUCCCGUGUCAUUGAGAAUGCCAAUGUCAUUAUGGCAACAUAUGAAGAUAAGCUCCUUGGUGAUGUCCAAGUCUACCCGGAGAAGGGAACUGUUGCUUUCUCUGCUGGUCUGCACGGCUGGGCCUUUACCCUCACCAACUUUGCCAAGAUGUAUGCUUCGAAGUUUGGAGUUGAUGAAACUAAGAUGAUGGAGAGGCUCUGGGGUGAGAACUUCUUUGACCCAGCCACAAAGAAGUGGACCACCAAGAACACAGGCUCUGCUACCUGCAAGAGAGGAUUUGUUCAGUUCUGCUAUGAGCCAAUCAAGCAAAUCAUUAACACCUGCAUGAAUGACCAGAAGGAUAAGUUGUGGCCCAUGCUUCAAAAGCUUAAUGUUACCAUGAAGUCUGAUGAGAAGGAAUUGGUUGGCAAGGCUUUGAUGAAGCGUGUUAUGCAAACUUGGCUUCCAGCUAGUACUGCACUGCUUGAGAUGAUGAUAUUCCACCUUCCUUCCCCAUCAAAGGCACAAAAGUAUCGUGUGGAGAACUUGUACGAGGGACCCCUUGAUGAUAUCUAUGCUACUGCUAUCAGGAACUGUGAUCCGGAGGGUCCUCUUAUGCUGUAUGUUUCUAAGAUGAUUCCAGCAUCUGACAAGGGCAGGUUCUUCGCCUUUGGUCGUGUCUUCUCUGGGAAGGUUGCUACUGGUAUGAAGGUUAGGAUCAUGGGUCCCAACUAUGUCCCUGGCCAGAAGAAGGAUCUGUACGUCAAGAGUGUCCAGCGUACUGUUAUCUGGAUGGGAAAGAAACAAGAGUCUGUUGAGGAUGUUCCUUGUGGUAACACUGUUGCUAUGGUUGGUCUGGAUCAGUUCAUCACGAAGAAUGCUACACUCACCAAUGAGAAGGAGGUUGAUGCAUGCCCAAUCAGAGCAAUGAAGUUCUCUGUCUCCCCUGUUGUGCGCGUUGCUGUUCAGUGCAAGGUUGCCUCUGACCUACCCAAGCUCGUUGAAGGUUUGAAGCGUCUGGCAAAGUCUGAUCCUAUGGUCCUCUGUACAAUUGAAGAAUCUGGUGAGCAUAUUAUUGCUGGAGCUGGUGAGCUUCACCUUGAGAUUUGCCUGAAGGAUCUGCAGGAAGACUUCAUGGGUGGUGCUGAAAUUAUUGUUUCUCCUCCUGUUGUCUCUUUCCGUGAAACUGUUCUUGAGAAAUCCUGCCGAACAGUCAUGAGCAAGUCCCCCAACAAGCACAACCGUCUUUACAUGGAAGCCCGUCCCUUGGAAGAGGGUCUCCCUGAGGCUAUUGAUGAGGGCCGCAUUGGUCCACGUGAUGAUCCCAAGGUUCGCUCCAAGAUCCUCUCUGAGGAGUUUGGUUGGGACAAGGAUCUUGCCAAGAAGAUUUGGUGCUUUGGACCUGAGACCACUGGCCCGAACAUGGUUGUUGAUAUGUGUAAGGGAGUGCAGUACCUCAAUGAAAUCAAGGAUUCUGUUGUGGCUGGCUUCCAGUGGGCCUCAAAGGAGGGUGCACUGGCUGAGGAGAACAUGCGUGGCAUCUGCUUUGAGGUCUGUGAUGUUGUUCUUCAUGCUGAUGCAAUUCACAGGGGUGGUGGCCAGGUCAUUCCAACUGCCAGGAGGGUUAUUUAUGCUUCUCAGCUCACUGCCAAGCCAAGGCUGCUCGAGCCAGUUUACCUUGUGGAGAUCCAGGCCCCAGAAAAUGCACUUGGUGGUAUCUAUGGUGUUCUGAACCAGAAGAGAGGGCACGUGUUUGAGGAGAUGCAGAGGCCUGGUACCCCGCUCUACAACAUCAAGGCUUACCUCCCUGUCAUCGAGUCCUUUGGGUUCUCCAGCCAACUGAGGGCUGCAACCUCUGGCCAGGCGUUCCCUCAGUGUGUGUUUGACCACUGGGACAUGAUGGGCUCUGAUCCUCUGGAGGCCGGCUCCCAGGCUGCUCAGCUGGUGUUGGAUAUCCGCAAGAGGAAGGGUCUCAAGGAGCAGAUGACCCCUCUUUCUGAGUUUGAGGACAAGCUCUAAAUUUUGGUGGUUUGUGCUGCUGUUACCCAUGCUGGUUUCAUGGCCAAUUCGUCUACUGUAACUGGAACUACUUUCAUGUUUCAUUUCCUUUAGUUGUCAGAUGCAUCUGUUUUUGAACAUCAUUGGCCAUAUGGCAUUGUGCUGCUAAGACUGUAUUUUGUUAUCCGGUUGUGAUGUAACAGAUGAAAUAGAGUUCAUAUCUGUGGUUUAAGUGGUAGUAUUUGCGGUAUAAUGCUUGUUUCUACUGCCUUCUGAAAGCCUUUCUUUUGCCUAACGGUAGAGCGGAUUAACUAAGGGUGUUGUAUCAUUUGAUUCAUUUGAUCCUUCAUCAAGGAUGAAGCCAUCUCCUCAUGGGAACACAUUAUUCUACUAUUAGAAGCGAAGAUGUAACAAAUUAGUUGAAAGAGGAGCGUUGAAAGAGGAGCGAACCAUACUUUACUAUAUGGUAAGUAGCAAAUUAGUUACAAGUAGCAAAUUAGUUGAACUUUAGGAUCAUGCACGUUGAACCUUGUUAUCUAGGAUCAUCCAUGGAUCAUGCACGUUGAACCUUGCUAACUAGGAUCAUGCACGUUGACCCUUGUUAUCUAGGAUCAUCCAUGGAUCAUACACGUUGAACUUUGCUAUCUAGGAUUAUCCAUGUAUGCAUCAUGUAGUGCAUCUGUGCAUGCAAUAUUCUGUUAUCUAGGAUCAUCCAUGGAUCAUACACGUUGAACUUUGCUAUCUAGGAUUAUCCAUGUAUACAUCAUGUAGUGCAUCUGUGCAUGCAAUAUUCUGCCCUUAGCUUGGUUUUACUGCCGAUAGCUAUAUAGUGCAUUUAAAUGCUUUUCUUUUGCCCACAGCCCCAGAGGUAGAGAGGACUAACUGUUUCUGUUGCUUUUUUUUUUUACGGUCUACGGGAGAGAGUGUGUGUGUGUGUUGGGGGUGGGAGCGCCCCCACCUGAUUUUCAUUUCAUUGAGGGUCUGUUUCAGGCCAAACGCUGUGUAGAUCAAAAGGAGAUAGAGAGAGGCAGUGUACAUCUGGUUUUGUGAUUGUUUUACAUCGAAGCAAAGACAGUGCACCAGGAGUCGGUUAUCACGCGAUCCUCUAUGCGAAACCGCUCGCGCCAAAGUCGGGCUUCGUCUCGGCAUGCCGACCAGAAGCGUUGUUGAGAUGGAGCGCAGCGCUGGAACACUGGGUCAUUCCGGUGCUUCCAUAACACCCACGGCAGAAGGAGUUUUUUCUUGCUUUGCCUUUAGCUUGGCUUUAAUCCUGUUAGCUAUGCCUAUGUAGAGCAUUUGGUCCUUCGAAUUUUAAAUCGAUGUUGAUUUUGAUUGCAUGCCGUCAUUUUGGGUUGGUUCCAACUAUGUUUUUAAUAUCAGUCGUUCUGAAGGUUACUCUGUUGACACUUGAUUGCAUAACCGUUUGCUAGUUUUGCGUGCAUCCGCGUGCUGGUUCGUCUCAUCAAGAACUAGCCGUUGCUCAAAACUCUGGCUUUCAGGCAUGGCCGCAACAGCCUGGAGGAUGUGUUGCUGUUCUGUAGCUGUAGUGUGCGUCUGUGCUAGUGGAUGCAGGGAGCCAGCGACCUAAAAGGAAUCGUGUAUUAGUGGAUGCAGGACAUCGGCCGUGGCGGCCUGGGGGAGACGACCACGCUCGACAUGAACGGCAGUAAGUUCAAUGGCACGAUCCCGGCGUCGCUUACCGGCCUAUGGAGCCUCCAGUAUCUAGAUGUGAGCGGCAACCGCUUCACCGGCACCAUCCCAGCGUUGCUAUCUGGACUCCGGAACCUCCAGCUUCUCGGCCUGAAUGACAACCUCUUCACCGGCACCAUCCCGGCGGACCUCGGCGAGCUGGCGAGCCUUCACAUGCUGUAUCUGGCAAACAACCAGUUCGAUGCAGGCCAGCUGCCGUCGUCGUUCAAGAACCUGACCAACCUGGUCAGCCUCUGGGCGUCGCAGUGCAACCUCGUCGGAGAGUUCCCGAACUUUCUUUGGAGCCUGAAGGAGCUGCAACUAUUGAAUCUGUACACGAACAACCUCACCGGCAACUUGGUGGUUGAUGGCCUUGUUGCGAGGAACUUGACAGUAAUCGACGUCUCGGAGAACAAGAUCACUGGAGUUAUCCCGAGUGUUUGGGAGCUUGGAGAACCUCAGAGACUUGAACUUCUUCAUGAACAACUUCUCCAGCGAGAUACCAGCCAGCAUCGGCCGGUUGCCCUCACUGACGAGGUUGAGGCUCCACACCAACAUGCUUAACGGCACGCUCCCACCGGAGCUCGGAAAGCAAUCGCCGGGCUUGAAUUAUGUUGAGGUUGAUUACAAUGAGCUCACCGCCGAGAUCCCGGAAGGGCUGUGCACUGGAGACAACCUCCAGCACCUCACCGCCAAGAGCAACCAAUUGAACGGCUCCAUCCCAGCAGGCCUUGCCAACUGCGCCACUCUUGGAACCCUGUCGCUGGACAACAACCAACUCUCUGGCGACGUACCAGAGGCUCUGUGGACGGCGACGAAGCUUUACCAGAGGCUCUUCCGGCCACGGUGCAUCUCAACCUUUCGACGAUACUCAUAGGGAACAACCAAUUUGGUGGCAACAUUCCGGCUGCACUAGCUGCGCUCCAGGUGUUCACCGCCGAGAACAACCGGUUUUCUGGUGCGAUACCGGCGAGUCUUGGCGACGGCAUGCCGCUGCUGCAAAGACUGAACUUAUCCGGUAACCAACUGUCCGACGGGAUCCCCAGAAGCGUUGCUAAGCUAAGCCAGCUGACGGAAAUGGACCUGAGCAGGAAUCAGCUCACCGGAGGCAUACCGGUAGAGCUCGGCGCCAUGCCGGUGUUAAGUGUCCUUAACCUGUCGUCGAACAAGCUCUCCGGCAACGUGCCGCAGGCGCUUGCGAAGCCGACACUCACCGCCCUAACCUGUCCUCGAACCAUCAGACCGGCCAGGUCCCGGCCGGGUUCGCCACCGCGGUCUACGACACCAGCUUCCUCAACAACCCCGGCCUCUGCACCGCCGCUUGGGGACCUGGCUACCUCACGGGCGUACGCUCCUGCGCCGGUGGAUCACAAGACGGCGGUUCCUCCGGAGGCGUGUCGCACGCCCUGCGCAGGGGAACCUCGCCGUGGCGUUCGCCUUCUUCGUCGUCCGCGACAUCAAGAAACGGCGGCGCGUCGCGGAGCAAGACAACUGGAAGAUCACGCCUUUCGUCAAAGAUCUGGGAUUCGGUGAGGCACCCAUACUCCGGGGGCUGACGGAGGAGAACCUCGUCGGGCGCGGGGGAUCGGGGCGCGUGUACCGCGUCGCCUACACCAACCGGCUUAACGGCCGAGCCGGCGCGGUGGCCGUAAAGCAAAUACGGACCGCCGGGAAGCUCGACCAGAAGCUGGAACGCGAAUUCGCGUCAGAGGCUGGCAUCAUCGGCAACCUCCGGCACAACAACAUCGUCAAGCUCUUGUGUUGCCGCUCCAGCGCCGAGUCCAAGCUCCUCGUGUACGACUAUGGACAACGGCAUCCUGGACAGGUGGCUCCACGGCGACGCCCUCGUCGCCGGCGGGCGCCCCAUGGCGAGGGCGCGGUCCGCGCGGCGCGAGCCGCUGGACUGGCCGGCGAGGCUCAGGGUGGCCGUCGACGCCGCGCAGGGGCUGUGCUACAUGCACCACGAGUACGAGCCGCCCAUCGUCCACCGCGACGUCAAGACGAGCAACAUCCUGCUGGACUCGGAGUUCCGGGCCAAGAUCGCCGACUUCGGGCUGGCCACAGGAUGCUGCUGCAGGCCGGGGCGCCGGAAACGAUGUCCGCCGUCGCUGGCUCGUUCGGCUACAUGGCUCCUGGUAAGGAUUCGAACUUGCUGCUUUCAGUGAAUUUCUGUCCCAUUUCUACAAAUGCCACGUGUUCUCGUGUUGCCGGACCUUAGAUUGGGCCUUUUGAUGCUUAUCUGCAGAGUGUGCUUACACCAAGAAGGUGAACGAGAAGGUAGACAGCUUCGGUGUCAUUCUCCUGGAGCUCACCACCGGAAAGGAGGCCAACAACGGCGGCGAGCACGGCUGCCUGGCGGACUGGGCACGGCGCCACUACCAAUCAGGAGGGAGCAUCGCCGACGCCACAGACAAGAGCAUCAGAUACGACGGGUACUCUGACGAGAUCCAGGUUGUCUUCAGGCUCGGCGUGCUCUGCACCGCCGAUAUGCCGUCGUCGCGGCCAACCAUGAACGACGUGCUGCAGAUCUUGGUCAAGUGCAGCGAGCAGACGUACCACAAGGGCAAGACGGAGCGUGGCCCAGAGUAUGAGGUGGCUCUUCUACCCAAACGCGGCAGUCGCCGGAAACAGCUUUCAAACGGCUCGGGGAUUUACAUCGAAGAGAAGAUGACAGCAUUGUCUGAAGAAAGGAACUGACCACUGCAUAUGCCAGUAAGCAGCUUGUGACAUCGUCAGUGAACUGCUUGCUAUAGUGAUACUUCACAUUUUAGCAGAGUACAGCGGAGAAUUAUGCCUCUAAUCUUUUUUUUUCUGAGGAGCUAAGUAUCUUUAUAUUAAAAAGAGAAUAUAAAUAGAAAAAAUCAGUCCAUUGGAAGCAACCACUCUAGCUCACCUAGGAGAAUAGAGAGAUUGCAUAAACAAGCGAAGAAAAAACCGUCACCAGACCUUGACCCUGCACGGCUGGACUAGGGACAUGCAUAGUAUAGAGCAGGGCUUGUGGUUAGCCAAACCGUUCUGUGUAUUGAUACUGCAAAUCUGUAUUAAAUCACACACACAUUAUACGUUCCGACAGAAGAACUAGCAAACAUUACGAUUAUACUCCCUCCGUUCUUAAAUAUAUAACGCUAUUGACUUUUUCAUUUGUUUGACUAUUCAUCUUUUCUACAAAUAUUUUUGCAAAUAGAUAAAUCUACGAGUUAAAUCUAAAGUACAUUUCACAAUAGUCAUAAUGAUACACAUUUUACUUUAGUUAACUAACUCAUUCAAUAGAUAUUGAUGGUCAAAGUUGGAGUAAAAAGCCAACAGCAUCAUAUAUUUAAGAAUGGAGGGAGUAAUUUAUUUCUGAAAUAAAGGCAGGAGAUGGAGCUCUGCUUAUCCAUUCAGAAAUUAGUACGAUUGAAUGAUUUUGUCUCCUUCCAGUUUUUAUUGUAAAACACAGAAUAUUACACGGAUAGGCACUGAUUGUUAUCCGGAAGAAAAUGAAUUUUUAUAUUUCAAAAGAAAAGGCCCAAUUUGCACCCUCUAGCUAGCACGAUAAUCCAAUUUUCAGCUAAACUGACCAUGGGCCGGCCCAAAGGCACAGGAAUUUGGCCCGGUCUAGGCAUGGCGGCCGUCGUGCUCGUGCUAACCCGACCCACACCAUGGGCCGUGCUUGGGCCGUUGCCUCAGCCCACGUACUGGUCCGGCACGGCCUGCCCAUUUGGCCCGUCGGGAUUAAGUGGGCGGCCCAUCCUAUUAAGGCCCACUCGACCGCAUAUAAAACCCCCCACCCCCAAACGGCCAAACCCUACCUUCCUCUUCGUGUCCCGCGCCCUUCGCCGCCGUCACCUCCCCCGCGCCCUUCGCCGCCUCUCGCGCCCGCCGGCCGCUCACGCCCUCCGCCGCUUCCCCCCGCCGCCUCCCUCACGCCCUCCGCCGCAUCCUCCCACCGCCUCCCUCGUGCCCUCCGCCACCUCCCGCGCCCGCCGGCCUCUCGCUCCCCUGCCACCUCCCCCGCGGCCCUCUGCCGCCUCCUACACCCGCCGGUCCCUUGCCGCAAUUGGGGAAGAUGGUGGCCUGCACGGCGGCGCGCGCAAACGUCCUGUCGUCCCUCGGCGGUGGGAGCUGCGGCACGAGUGGGCGCCUGGGCAGAUCCGGGAAAGGUCUAUGGGCGCCCUGACGACGAGGUGGUCGAAGUCAUCGGGGCUAUCGAACUCGACGACGACAGGCGCUACGGGCGUAUGAGCAGAGGAAGGGUGAAUUCUGUGCCGCAGGCUGGCACGAGCACGGUGAGGCCGUUAAGGCCUGCCAGGCCAGCGUGCCAGCACGGCCCACCUAAGAAGGCUGCGGGUCAUGCCUGGACCGCUCCUUCGGCACAUGGGCCGGCACGGCCUGGCACUAUUACCGUGCAAGCCUAACCGUGCCGGGCCUAACCGUGCCAGGCCAAAUCGUGCUCGUGCCAGGCCGGGUUGGGCUACCUGUUUGGCCAUCUAUACAUCCAACGGUUGAAACCAGAUAAAUUUUAUCCUUUAGCUGGUUUCAAAGAUGUUUUUUUGUUUUAUUAGACAUUUAAAAAAAAUCUGAUUUAAUCUUGUUGGGGGGAAAUAUUAACGAUCCCCUAAAUACCACUUAAAGGAGCAGACGCGAAGGCCCGGGCCCACCUAAGCAUAAUCAAAACUCCGCCUCGCCCGACCGCGGCCUCAGGGUCAGGAACGCCCGACCCCCCUCCACGAGGUUUCCGCCUCGUCCGACUGCGGCCCCAGGGUCGAAGGCGCCCGAUCCCUCGCCACAAGGUUCCGCCUCGUCCGACCCCAAGCGCAGGGGUCGGGCUCGCUGGGGCCCCCAGGGCAGGCAUCCCCCUCGGAUGUGGACCAGGUGGGCAAGAUAAACAAAUCUUGCGGGUCCCCCCCCCCAUCGGCCUCGUCAUAAAUGCGCUGCGGGCCUGGCAGAGGGAGGAAUGACCACGCUCCUCACACAACCCGCCGCAAGUACCCAUGCACGACCAUACUGUACAAGCUACAGCGCUGGCGGCUCACUCCCAUUCGCCGCAGGGUACUCAUGGCCUGCGCCGACCGGAGCGGAGGAGAGACUCGCCUGUCCUCGAGCCCCGCGCACCCUCGGGUCCCGUGCGCCUGGCAUCUAGGAUGUGACGCCCUCUCUCCAGGAGCCAUCAUCAGAAUGGCAGCAUCCACCGUCCUCCCCAACGGACACCGGGAUAACGACGAAACGCCCUCAUCAUAACCCGACGCCUACGGAUGCCGAAGGAGCUAUCUGUAGGGUGCAACGACAGUUGGCGCACGGCCGCCUCCCCCUCCGGCAUGCACGCCGGCGCUCGCCAGGAGCCGGCGGAGGCGUCGGGCGUCUAGGAACUUGUUCCUCCCAUCCUGCCGUAUUUUUUACCGUACUACGUUCACAUUUUACGGUCCUCUUCGCCCGAUCCCAACUGUAACUCUGGCCACUCCCCUUGCGAUAUAAAAGGAGGAACACAGGGCCGGAGGGGGGGAUCGGCUUCUUCCCCCUCAAGCCACAGCAUGCUAGUACGCUCCCUGAGAACAUAGGCUCAAAGAGACUUGGGACCAGUCCCUCUCUCGUCGGUCUGUAACCCCUACUACAGAACCCCGCGUGGGCAAUACGAGCAUCCACGAUACUGGACGUAGGGCUCCCUUUGCUCGAACCAGUCUAAUCCGUGUCUCCCACGCCACCAUCUGAGGCCUUACGCGCAUAAAAGAAAUUUACUAGUCUAAGUCUUGAUCCGCCAAUCUUGACAACGACAGUUGGCGCGCUAGGUAGGGGACCUUUGCGCAUACCCUCCCAGCCUCAGAUGGCCAAUUACGAUAGUAGCUUUGCUCCGGGCUCCCUGAUCCGAUUCGGGAGCCUGGACUUCCUCGCCACCGGGGAAGGGAUCAAGCUGAUCCCUGUCCUCAUCCUGCCCGCUCGCCCGCCUGCCCCCGGCCCCGCCGCCGGGACAGCGGUGAGCGGCCGCUCGCAUACCGGAAGGACCUCGCCAGGGGGACGGCCCUUCGGGCUACGCAAUGCCACGGGGGCCUACGGACGCCUCCUAGCGCGGUCCAUGACCGCGUCGCCCGCGAGCAACGAGCUCGUAGGUGCGACAAGGACGAUCUCCGACACCGGCUCCAGCAGCGGGAGCCCCCACCCCUCGCGUGAGUGCCUCGUGGUCGACGAGCACUCUGAGGGAUCCAACAGCAACGAUGCCGAGGAGAGACAAAGGGCUGCCCCUCGCGCGCCGCGGCUAUGACCGGAGCCUUACCAAGGGCACCAGAGUGCUCUCAGCAACGAGAGGCGCGCGCGGGCGCCCGCCAAGAAGUCGAGCACCCCCACCACGAGGGAGGAGCGCGACAACGGGCGCGAGACGUCCAGCGACGCAUCUGCGCGGAUGAAGAGCGUCCGCAGCUUUUCGCCCGCGCCAGCCAAAACGUCGCAGCCGCGGCGGUGUUGCUCCGACAGCUCCCCGAACCAGCGAUGCCCGAGGAGCGACGGGCACGCCAAGAGAUGCGCGACCUGCUCGAAUGCGCCGCCGUCCAGCAGGCGGAAAGCUCCGCGUCCCGGCGACGCGGGCAGAAUGCCAGCAGGGCGACGCCCGACGCGCCCCCGGAAAGGCGGGGGGAAUCAGUCCAUCUACCCCCUCCUGGGGCGAAUCAGGCCGCGUCCGCCCGACGGACUCCACCACCCGCGGGAGGCGAGGCUCGAUCCGUCCACCAGCGCGUCGGCCUCGUCCGCGACGCCCGCGACACCCUAAACGCGCGGAGACGCUCCCGCGCGGACAGGGAGGACGGGGUAGAUCGAGGCUACCACGUCCACCGUGGCGGGCGCUACGACAGCGGGGAAGACCGCAGCCUGAGCCCCGGUCCGGCUGGGCCCCGGGCCUUCUGUGCGCGCAUCCUGAACGCGCCUUUUCCGCCGCGCUUCAGGCAACCCAUGAGUAUAGCCAAAUACUCAGGGGAGACGAAUCCUGGAGUGUGGCUCAGCGAUUACCGGCUUGCAUGUCAAGCCGGCGGGGCGGAUGAUGACCUGUUUAUCAUCCGCAACCUACCCCUCUUCCUAGCCGACUCAACGCGAGCUUGGCUAGAACAUAUCCCUUCGGGACGAGUUCGCAACUGGAAUGACCUGAAGGAGGUUUUCAUAGGGAACUUCCAGGGCACGUACACACGCCCCGACAAUUCCUGGGACCUCCGGAGCUGUCGUCAGGGGGCGGACGAGUCCCUCCGAGAUUAUAGCCGGCGCUUCUCCAGGAAGCGCACCGAGCUCUCCAACGUCGCGGACGCCGAUGUCAUAGGAGCUUUCCUAGCAGGAACCUCCUGCCGGCCCCUCGUCCACGAGCUGGGGUGCCGAGGCCCGCGAACCACGGAGGAGCUCCUCAAUAUCGCCACUAGUUACGCCUCGGGCGAAGAGGCCGUUGGAGCAAUCUUCGACCGCUCCAAAGGCAAGGCGAAACGGGAGGAGGUUGCUGGCGAAGGCACCUCCAACCGCCAGCAGAAGAAGAAGGGCAAGUUACGGCGCGAGGCCCCCCUCGUGGCCGCAGCUGAGCGCAAGCGAGGGCCGCCGCCCCCCGAGGGCGCUCCCGGCUUCUUCGACAAGUUGCUUGAGGGACCGUGCCCGAACCACGAGUUCCCCGUGAAGCACGCCUACAAAGACUGCAACCUCAUGAAGAGAUACUUCAUGGGCAAUUCGGUGAAAGGCGACCGGAAGCGGAAGCCCGAUGAGGAAAAGAAGGGCGACGAAGAGAAGGAAGACGGCUUCCCCAAGGUGGACGGCUGCUUCAUGAUCUUCGGGGGCUCUGCGGCAUACGACACCAAGCGCCAGUAGAAGCUGGAGCGCCGGGAGGUCUACGCGGCCGAGCCAGCGACUCCGGCCUUCCUGGACUGGUCAGGGCCGGCCAUCACCUUCGACAGGACCGACCACCCUGGACGCGUCCGGCACCCGGGGCGUUACCCUCUCGUCGUCGACCCCAUCGUCGGCACGACGCGCCUCACCAAGGUGCUCAUGGACGGAGGCAGCAGCCUCAACAUCCUCUACGCCGAGACCCUCGACGCUAUGGGGAUCGACCGUUCCCGCCUCCAUCCCAGCAAGGCGCAUUUCCAUGGCGUCGUGCCAGGGAAGCAGGCGAUGCCUCUCGGGCAAAUCGACCUGCGCGUUACGUUCGGGACCCCUUCCAACUACAGGAAGGAGGUCCUCACAUUCGAGGUGGUGGGGUUCCGCGGAACCUACCACGCCAUCUUGGGACGGCCUUGCUACGCAAAGUUCAUGGCUAUCCCCAACUACACCUACCUCAAGCUCAAGCUGCCGGGGCCCAACGGGGUCAUCACCGUCGGCACGACCUUUCAGAAGGCGUACGAGUGCGACGUAGAGUGCUGCGAGUACGCCGCGGCCAUCACCGUCACGAGCGAUUCGGCAGUCCAGCUUGCGGAGGCCACCGAGGACCGGCCCGACUCCAGGCAGCCGAACAUCUCCUUCGAGCCCGCUGAAGGUAUCAAGGAGGUCCCCCUUGAUCCCGGUUGUUCCAACGGAGGAGUCGUGCGGAUCAGCGCGGCCCUAUCCCCCAAAUAGGAAAGCGCGCUCGUUGACUUCCUCCGCGCGAACAGCGACGUCUUCGCGUGGAAGCCAUCGGACAUGCCAGGCAUUCCGAGGGAAGUCGCCGAGCACUCCUUGAACAUCAGGGCCGGUUCCAAGCCAGUAAAGCAAGGAUUGCGCCGUUUCGACGAGGAAAGGCGCAAGGCCAUCGGCGAAGAGCUCCAGAAGCUUCUGGCGGCCGGGUUCAUCAAGGAAGUGCACCACCCCGAGUGGCUAGCUAAUCCUGUCCUUGUACCAAAAAAGAAUGGGAAAUGGAGGAUGUGUGUCGAUUAUAACGGUCUCAACAAAGCGUGUCCAAAGGACCCGUUUCCUUUGCCACGCAUAGAUCAAAUAGUCGACUCAACUGCCGGGUGCGAGACCCUCAGCUUCCUCGACGCAUAUUCCGGCUACCAUCAGAUCGCGAUGAAAGAGGCCGACCAGCUCGCUACCUCCUUCAUCACCCCCUUCGGUCCCUACUGCUACGUUAAGAUGCCAUUCGGCCUCAAAAACGUGGGGGCUACCUUCCAGCGAUGCAUGCUGUAGUGCUUCGGAGACCUCAUUGGGCGGACCGUUGAGGCCUACGUUGACGACAUCGUCGUAAAAUCCCGGAGGGGCGACCAGCUCGUUCCCGUCCUUGAACUAGCCUUCGAGAGGCUGAGGGAUAAGCGUAUUAAGCUCAAUCCCAAGAAAUGUGUGUUCGGAGUCCCAAGGGGCAUGCUGUUAGGCUUCAUCGUCUCCGUGCGCGUCAUCGAAGCAAACCCGGAGAAGAUAGCGGCCAUUAGAGACAUGGGGCCGAUCCGGAACAUAAAGGGAGUUCAGCGCAUCAUGGGAUGCUUGGCAGCUCUAAGCCGCUUCAUCUCGCGCCUCGGCGAGCGAGGGCUUCCUUUCUAUCGGCUCCUGAAGAAGACUGACCGUUUCGAAUGGACCAGCGAGGCCCAGGAGGCACUUGACCGACUCAAGGACCUCCUGACGAAGGCCCCGAUCCUAGUCCCGCCUACCGACGGCGAGUCCCUCCUGCUCUACGUCGCGGCGACCACCCAGGUGGUUAGCGCGGCCUUGGUGGUGGAACGAGAAGAGGAAGGACACGCUCUCAAGGUGCAACGCCCGGUGUAUUUCAUCAGCGAAGUCUUGUCCGAGUCCAAGACACGUUACCCGCAGAUCCAGAAGCUCGUCUACGCCAUCCUUAUCACAAAGAGGAAGCUGCGCCACUACUUCACCUCCCACCCGGUAACAGUCAUUUCGUCAUUCCCGUUAGGCGAAGUAAUCCGGAACCCAAAUGCUACAGGGAGAAUCGCGAAGUGGGCGCUUGAGCUCAUGGACCAGGGUAUCACCUACGUCCCCCGCACCGCCAUCAAGUCCUAGGCACUCGCCGACUUCGUGGCAGAGUGGACGGAGAUUCAAACGCCAUCGGCGCCAGAGAAGCAGGAGUAUUGGACAAUGUACUUCGACGGGUCACUGAUGAGGGCCCGCGCCGGAGCGGGUCUCGUUUUCGUCUCUCCCUUGGGCAUGCGCAUCAGGUACAUGAUCCACCUUCAUUUUCCUGCAUCUAAUAAUGUCGCCGAGUACGAAGCCCUCCUCAACGGACUCCGCAUCGCCAUCGAGCUGGGCAUCCGUCGGCUGGACAUCCGGGGCGAUUCCCAGUUGGUCGUCGAACAAGUCAUGAAGGAGUGGAGCUGCCACGACCCCAAAAUGGCAGCCUACUGCAACGAGGUCCGUAAGCUCGAAGACAAAUUCGACGAGCUAGAGCUCAACCACGUCGCAAGGCGCUUCAACGAAGCCGCCGACGAGCUGGCGAAGGCGGCAUCCGAAUGAAUGCUCGUCCCCGACGGCGUCUUCGUUAGCGACCAGUUGAAGCCCUCAAUCCGUUACCCAGAACUGCAGGGGUCGGCGAAGCACCCCCGGCCCUGGGAUCGGGACCCGAGUCAGGGGAGGUCGGCAGCGCGCCACCUGUCCGAGACCCGAGCACCAGCCCCGAGGGGGUCGACAACGCUUUGCCCAACUCGGCCCCGGGAGCCGAUCCGUCCGACCCCGGGGUCAUGGAAAUCACGGCAGAUUCCGCGGCGGGUGCCGACCCCCCGAUCGAUUGGAGAGCCCCAUACAUCGACUACCUCGUCCGCGACACGCUCCCGGCAGACAAAACGGAGGCCCGUAGGAUCGCGCGCCGCGCCAAAUCCUUCGCCAUCAUCGACCAGGAGCUCUACAAGAAAAGCCACACUGGAAUCCUCCAGCGCUGCAUCUCGAUCGAACAGGGAAAGGCGCUGAUCAAGGAUAUCCACGCCGGAGCCUGUGGUCACCACGCCGCGCCAAGGACCCUCGUUGGUAACGCCUUCCGACAAGGUUUUUACUGGCCGACCGCGGUCGCGGACGCUACCCAGGUAGUCCGCACCUGUGAAGGAUGCCAGUUCUUUGCCCGCCAGACUCACCUGCCCGCGCAGGCGUUGCAGACCAUCCCCAUCACGUGGCCAUUUGCGGUUUGGGGGCUAGAUCUCGUCGGACCCUUCAAGAAGGCACCCGGGGGCUUCACCCAUCUGCUCGUCGCCAUCGACAAGUUCUCCAAAUGGAUCGAGGCAAGACCGGUGGCGCAAAUCAGGUCCGAGCAGGUGGUCCAGUUCUUCACCGACAUCAUCCACCGCUUCGGGAUCCCGAAUUCCAUCAUCACCGACAACGGCACACAGUUCACUGGGAAGAGAUUCCUCCAGUUCUGCGACGACCACCACAUCCGAGUGGAUUGGGCGGCCGUGGCACACCCCCGCACGAACGGGAAAGUCGAGCGAGCCAAUGGCAUGAUACUCCAGGGUCUCAAGCCAUGGAUCUUCGACCGCCUUAAAAAAUUCGACGGACGGUGGGUUGCGGAGCUUCCCGCAGUCCUUUGGAGCCUGAGGACGACCCCCAGCCGGGCGACGGGCUUCACCCCGUUCUUCAUGAUCUACGGGUCAGAGGCCAUUUUGCCCACCGAUCUAGAGUACAGAUCGCCAAGGGUCAAGGCAUACGACGAACAGGGAAACCAGGCAUCAUUCGAGGACGCGCAAGAUCAACUCGAUGAAGCGCGAGACGUAGCUCUACUGCACUCGGCUAAGUACCAGCAGGCCCUACGGCGUUACCACAGCCGCAAGGUGCAAGGCUGAGCCUUCAACGUCGACGACUUGGUGCUCCGCCUCGUCCAAGACAACAGGGGUCGGCACAAGUUGACUCCCCCAUGGGAAGGCCCGUUCAUCGUCGUACAAGUUCUACGGCUGGGCACCUACAAGCUGGCAACUCCCGACGGGCAGGUUUUCAGCAACGCCUGGAACAUAGAACAGCUAAGGUGCUUUUACCCAUAGCUUUUAUUUCCAAGCCCUGCAUAAAACUUGUCUUCAAUUCCGAUAUUUCCUUUAAGCUCAGGGGUAUCCGACCCUGGCCUCGUUCCAGGGCCGCAUACCCCUCGGGGGCUACCAGUUUUGCUCCUCUGCGAAAAAAAAGAAACCCCGAGCCGUCUCGGUUCAGGCCUUUUCCUUUAAGCUCAGGGGUAUCCGACCCUAGCCUCGCUCCAGGAUCGCAUACCCCUCGGGGGCUAUCAGAGGUUCCGACCCCAGCCGCUCGGCCCUAUCUAAAAGAAACAUUUUUUCUUUUCAAACCGAACACUCCCUUUCUAGACCUUUGGGCGCAAAAAAGAGAAGGAUGCGCGAACGGUGCUCAGGCAAGUUUGAUCGGACUGCGAAAAAACCUACGCCCCAGCGGCUACGGCACCUUCGCUCAUCAAAACUUAAUGACGCACCCGACAACGCAUUCUAAACUUUCAAGCCCAAAGGAACAGCAAAGGGGAUCGGGAUCUUUCGCACAACGAAGUCAUAAACAAGCCUGUAUGGCCAUCACAAAAUAAGUUCGAAACUAACAUAAUUACAUUUUGGGCACAAGCCCGGUACAGUUAACUUGACGAGGGGUCGGCAGGAGGGAUGACCUCAUCUUCCAGGAGCUUCGCGAGGGCCUCCGCCGGCGCGGACACCGCUGCAUCAAUCCCGUCCAGCUCAGCUUCGGUGUAAUCAGCGGCGUACCCUUCACUCAUCCCGGCAAAGUUGAUGCCAGAAUAAUGGGAGCCGAAGACCCCGAAGGCUCGCCGCAUGCCGACGUGAAGCGCGUCCAUGGCGAUCUCGCGACGUCGACGGCGUACCCCAAGGACACGAGCCGGCAGAGAGCUCGACCCCUCCUCCGGAACUACGCCAAAGUCGUCACAGACGACGCGGACCGCAUCCCGCAAGGCGCCGUGCUCGCCGUGCUCCGCGUCGAGCAAACCCUUCAGCUUGGCGAUUUCGCCUGCAGGAACCACCCAGAAAAGCCCACCAAGUCAAGAACAGAACACAAAAUGUCACGGGAACGCGGGAACGGAAAAAAAAAGCCUCACCGUCGGCCCAGGCCUUCAACUCGCGCUCCCGGUCGGCUCCUUGAGACACGGCGGACUGGAGUCCCUGCACUUGCGAGCGAAGGCGACCAGUCUCCGCGCUAAGGGCUUCACGCUCCCCCCUCAGCUGUGCAAGCUCCCCGGCAUCACGACGGGCCCUCUCAGCGGCAGCUUGAAGCUCCUCGGCGUCGCGGCGGACCCUCUCAGCGACAGCUUGGAACUCCUCGUGGUCGAGGCGGGCUUUCUCGAUGACGGCUUGGAGCUUGGCCUCCGAUCACCGCGCCUCCUCCAACGCCGCCCCCUCACGCCUUUGCAGGUCCCGAAUGACCCCCUGGGCGGCAGUGACUUGCAGGGACAGGUCCCUGGUGCGCUCCCUCUCCGCGUUGAAGCGCUCCCAGAGACCCUGCUGCAGCCGAAGGAAAUCAGAUUUCCCCCGACUGCCCUCUUGGAGGGCCUGCAAAGCAACGUGCCAUUAGAAAAAAAAAAGCAAAAGGGAGGUGCUGAUCACCAACAGUAGGAGCAACAUACCUGGCUGCCAGGGAGGACGGUGUUACCCAGAACCCCCAACGCCGAAGACAGAGCCGCCUCAACGUGGGCAAGGCCGCCCUGCAUCGCCUGCCACUUGUGCCACUCAGUGGCGUCGUCCAGCGUGAAGAGAUGCCUCGGCGGGUCAUCGCGGGAUGACCAGCGAAGGACAGACCCCCUCCACGCCCUGGGAACGGAGGGAGCCGAGGCCGAGGCAGGGGCCGAUCCUGACGCUGCCGUCAAGGUCGGCACCAUUGCACUAGAAGCCGCCGAGUUUACUGACGGCCCCGGCACCUGCACGCUCGUCGCCGCCGAGGCCGCCGGCGGUAUCCCAGUGGGCCCCUCCGCCUCCGCCGCCGGAGCCACUCCCGCGGGGGUAAUUGGGGCGGAGGCCCCCGCCUCCGUCACCGUUGCCUCCGCCGCCGCGCUUUCGGGGGCAGGCGUUCCCUCCGCCACCGAUCCCGCCGCGGCUGCGGGGGCAUCCGCCCUACCUCCCGUCGCCGCCGUCUCCUCUGCCUCGUCGGCGUCGAAGUCGAUCACCUUCCCGGCCUGAGAACCCGGGGGGAUCGUGCCCUGCGCUGUAGGGGCGACUGGGGGGACCGAAGGCGGAGUAGGGUCCGCUCCCCCUCCCACGGCUGACACCGCCGUCGCUCCGCCGGCCGCCACCACAGGGGCCGCCUCCGCGGAGGGGUCCGCGGCCUCACCAGGGACCCCGCCGCUCGCCGCGGGCGGGACCGCGGUCCGCCCCCCAGAGGAGGUUGACAACCGCAACGCCUUCUUAGGCACCAGCUGCAGGGCAAGGCCACGAGGGGCGGCGCUGCAUAUCGACAAACAGACGUCAGCACAAACGAGCGUGAGAAGAGGAGAGGAACGAGGCGCAAGGAAGGCCAACUUACGUCCUUGAAGCACAAGGGCGGCGCGCGCGCUUCGACUCAGAGCCCGACGCCGACCCCGGGGCAUCUGGCAGCGGCCGCUUGUCGCCACUUCGCUGCUCUCCAGUCGCGGGCACGGCGGUGGAGGCAGUCUCUGCAGAUCUCCGAGGAGCACCCUGAGCGGACUCCUGGGGAGCGCCCCGCGCCGGCUCUGAAGUGGCGGCGGGGGCAGGCUCCGAGGACCCCCGAGGGGCGCUCCGCGCCAGCUUUGGGAAGGAGCCCCGUGUCGACCCCUGGGGGGCACCCUUCACCGACCCCUGGGGAGCGUCCCGCGCCCGCUCCUGGGAGGCACCCCGCGCCGGCCCCUGGGGGGCGUUCCGCGUCGACUCCUGGGGGGCGUCUCGUGCCGGCUCCGAAGCGGCGGCGGGGGCAGGCUCCGAAGACCCCCGAGGGGCGCUCCGUAUCGACCCCUGGGGGGCACCCCUUGCCGACCCCUGGGGAGCGUCCCGCGCUCGCUCUUGGGACACGCCCCGCGUCGGCCCCUGGGGGGCGUCCCGCGUCGUCUCCUGGGGACACGCUGUACUGGCCCCUGGGGCGCAGCCCCAGGGCCUGGUGGAGCCGAAGCCCGGGCGGGCGCCUCCUCCACUUCACCUCCCGCGGCCGUCCGCGGGGGUGCCUCACGAAUGGCGAGGGCGCCCGAUCGGAAGGAGGAAAUCAGCUCCUCCUCAUCAUCAUCUUCCUCAUCUUCAUCCUCUUCAUCAUCGUCGUCAUCAUCGUCGUCGUCGUCAUCGAACACGACCGACCCCCUCCGCCGCCGUUGGAACUCCUUAGCGGCCUUCUUCCUCUUCUUCGCCAUCUCGAUGUCCUUCCGGCGCUUCUGCGCCUCGGCGAGGAGACGGUUGUGCGUCCGCCGCUCAACAUCUUCCGGCACCGGCGGGAGCGAGUGCGCGACCCGGGUUAGCGGACCCUACAAACGCAAAGCAGCUCCACGUCAGAGUGACAAUCGCAAGACACGAAGAAAGGAGGAGGACGCCCCAACUCCUUACCAGAUCUAUGAGCCCGCAUCCGGGCGCAUCGGCGGGUGCCCGGGAAUCGGGUACUCGACGUCCUUGUCCUCCAGCGCCUCCCGAAUCCGUUGCCGGAUCUCGGAAGCGACGAGCGCACCCGUCGCCAAGGCGGUGCCCUCGGUCGGCGCGUCGGGGGUCAUGGCGGCAAGCGGUCGGAUUCAGAGCAUCAGUGGCGCCACCCGUCGGGUGUGGUACGCUCCGAUGACCCCGGCGCCGGUGAGCCCGUCCCGCUUCAGCCGCUCGAUGGCCUGCAGCAGGUCGAAGAACCGCUUCUUGUCCUUCUCCACUGGCCCGUACGCCCACACCUCCGGCGCCGCGUCGAUGGUACGGCCGGUGAAAGCCGGCAGGGGGGAGUUCGGGUAGUUCUUCACAUAGAACCACUGGUUGUGCCACCCCUUGUGGGACGCCGAGGUCUUCAUCGUCAUGUUCUCCUUGGAGCGGGUAUGACGAAGGUGGAUCCCGGCGCACCCGAUCGGCACCGGAGGUGACCGCUGCUGGCUCCCUCGCUUCUCCGUCUUCUGGUACAGGCUCACUGUGAAAAAGUAUUUCCACAGCGAGAAGUGGGGCUCAAUGCCUAGGAAUCCCUCGCACAGGGCGACGAACGCCGCAAUGUGCUGGAUCCCAUUGGGUUUGAGGUGCUGGAGCUCGAGCCCAUAGUAGUGGAGGAGCCCCCGAAAGAAGCGGCUCGAGGGAGAGGCGAACCCCCGCUCAUGGAAGUGAGCGAAGGAGACGAUGUAGCCAGAGAGAGGCUCCGGCACCUGCUCCGGGCCCGACAGCAACCACUCAGCCGCCUCCGUCUUCUCGCAGAGGAGGCCUUUUCGCACCAGGCCCUCGGCGCGCGAGGAGGUGAAAUGGGAGAUCCCCCAGGAACCCAUCGCCGGAGGAGGGAGAUCAACGGAGGUGAGAAGAAAGGGCACGGCUUGGAGCAAAGGAAACGAAGCGGGCACGGACAAACUGAACGCUAGGCUGGAGGGCGGAAAGGCUCGAAUGCAGAAGGCGGGCGGAACCGGCGCGGCGGGCUCCCGUUUUUAUAGGAAAGGUACGGGAGAAGCCAAAUCGACGCCCCGGCCGCCAUAAAUGCGGCGCCAGGUACGCCCCUGCCACGCCCGUUUCCUUUUCGAAAACCGCGCGCACGGCCGGCCGCGAAAACAUCCUAUCCUCCUCGAUUCGCGGGAUGGCGCUUCCCAUAACUCCACCUCCCGGAAGGCACGACGUCCCCCACGUUCGGCCCAGACGUCACGACCGCUCCGUUCUGGCCCAAGGCCCACCGAAAGGUAAGAAAGGGAUACGGGGCUGAAAACGCCCCUACGGCCCAUUACGGUCCAGAGGUUCGAAGGCUGGCCCACCGCGGGAUCGACAGCUGCCUCAGGAUAUCUCCCGAGCAAGGGGUGAGAAGGGACGGGUCCACUAGCGGCCAACACCCAGGCAAGCGAAAGCCAAGGGCGUCCCGACCUCACGUUCGAGUCCCGUCCGGUAUAAAGUUCAUGGUUUUUCCACGGGGAAAGGCAACGAGCCCCCGGAUUCGGCCGAACGGACCCGGGAACUAUAUGAACUGGCCGGCGGGAAAUUGUAGUACGCCACCAGCUUGGCCCGAGCCGGACCCCCCCGAACGGGGACCGGGACUCCACUCGAACCUACCUGUUCGCAGCUCAAAGCGAGCACCACGGUUCGUCCAACUAGGAUAACGUGGCACGGCUCAACCCCUCCGUCCUAGCGAACGGACGCUUGAGGGGCAACGACCAAAAGUCGACCUGGCCUCCCGACCGGUCUCCCGCAACGAGCAGGGGCUCGGGGGCUAGCAUCGCAACCAACGACCAUGCGUAUGGUCACGAUUCCCAGGCUCCCCGGCCAAACCGGGAUGAAGCAAGCGCACCAUAAACAAAAUCCACGGAGAAACGGCGAAAGAAGCCUCCGGAGGAGCACUUUUUGCUCCACCACAGGCUCGGGGGCUACUGUUGGGGGGAAAUAUUAACGAUCCCCUAAAUACCGCUUAAAGGAGCAGACGCGAAGGCCCGGGCCCACCUAAGCAUAAUCAAAACUCCGCCUCGCCCGACCGCGGCCUCAGGGUCAGGAACGCCCGACUCCCCUCCACGAGGUUUCCGCCUCGUCCGACUACGGCCCCAGGGUCGGAGGCGCCCGACCCCUCGCCACAAGGUUCCGCCUCGUCCGACCCCAAGCGCAAGGGUCGGGCUCGCUGGGGCCCCCAGGGCAGGCAUCCCCCUCGGAUGCGGACCAGGUGGGCAAGGUAAACAAAUGCUGCGGGUCCCUCCCCCGUCGGGCUCAUCAUAAAUGCGCCGCAGGCCUGGCAGAGGGAGGAAUGACCGUGCUCCUCACACAACCCGCCGCAAGUACCCAUGCACGACCAUACUCUACAAGCUACAGCGCUGGCGGCUCACUCCCAUUCGCCGCAGGGUACUCAUGGCCUGCGCCGACCGGAGCGGAGGAGAGACUCGCCUGUCCUCGGGCCCCGCGCACCCUCGGGUCCCGUGCGCCUGGCAGCUAGGAUGUGACGCCCUCUCUCCAGGAGCCAUCAUCAGAACGGCAGCAUCCACCGUCCUCCCCAACGGACACCGGGAUAACGACGAAACGCCCUCAUCAUAACCCGACGCCGACGGAUGCCGAAGGAGCUAUCUGUAGGGUGCGACGACAGUUGGCGCACGGCCGCCUCCCCCUCCGGCAUGCACGCCGGCGCUCGCCAGGAGCCGGCGGAGGCGUCGGGCGUCUAGGAACUUGUUCCUCCCAUCCUGCCGUAUUUUUUACCGUACUACGUUCACAUUUUACGGUCCUCUUCGCCCGAUCCCAACUGUAACUCUGGCCACUCCCCUUGCGAUAUAAAAGGAGGAAGACAGGGCCGGAGGGGGGAUCGGCUUCUUCCCCCUCAAGCCACAGCACGCUAGUACGCUCCCUGAGAACAUAGGCACAAAGAGACUUGGGACCAGUCCCUCUCUCGUCGGUCUGUAACCCCUACUACAGAACUCCGCGUGGGUAAUACGAGCAUUCACGAUACUGGACGUAGGGCUCCCUUUGCCCGAACCAGUCUAAUUCGUGUCUCCCACGCCACCAUCUGAGGCCUUACGCGCAUAAAAGAAAUUUACUAGUCUAAGUCUUGAUCCGCCAAUCUUGACAACGACAAAUCUAAAAAUCCAUAACUAAUUAAUUUUAAAUCAUAAAAGUUUGAAACUAUUACCCAUCAUCUUUUUCUAGAAUGUUACCUUUUAUGUUGGUUUUUUUGAGUUAUUUGCAUAUUAUUGUCCCCAUCUCUAGUGUUUUAUUGCUUGUAGUCAAACCUACUAUUUAUUUAUUGUUGUUUUGCAUUGUAUGAUUAUUGGAUGCUAUGCGAUACAAAGAUAAUUGUUCAACAACCAUAUGCAUCAUGAAGAAAUUUCCGGAUACGAUUGAUAUUAGUACAUUAUUAACUUCUUAUCAAGAAAUAUCAAUGAAGUGUUUUAUAUGAAUAUUUUUAAUGCACCUUGAGUUUUUGGAUAACCUUUUUCAUAAAAGUUAAUUAGAUGCAUUCUUAACUAAAUAAGCCAUUUGGUAAUUUUUCAAAAAUGUUUAUUUAGGUAACAGAAAAUUUAUUUAUUUAUUCUGGAAAAAGUUUUUUUUUAACGAAGUUAGCAAGGAAAGCACCUACCUAUUCUUUAAUUGUUAUUUUAGAUCCGUUUAAUUCGCUCCCACGAGAAGUUGAAUAUAGACCUGCAGGAUGUUACUCAGGUGCUCUAACCACUAGACUAGAGUCCCUUUCGCUUCUGAAAAAGGUUUUACAAAAAUCUUUUCCCUAUUAUCUUUUGUUAAGUCUGGGAUGUUGCCGCACGUGGGAAAGAAAGAACGGGAAACAUAGACCGAGACCGCUGCUGCGCCGCCACCAUGCUUCGCCGUUGGAGGGUUAGGGUUCGGGGUUUCGGGUUAUGGGUCAUCGAUGGCGCGGCUAUCUCCGAUGUGGCUGGGAUAUAUGGGAGGUUGACGGUGGCUAGGUAGCAGGCGGUGGUGGCGGGUUGUGUGCGGGAUGGCGGGACACCACCAGUUCCGAUUUGUGGAAGACAAUAGGUGGCCUCUAGAGGCAGCGGGGGAAUCUUGGUGAGCUUCCCGCGCGGGGCUGGGUUAGGGCGGCGAAGGAUGGUGGCGGUGGAUGUGGCAGCGCGAGCCGCCGGAGAUGAUGGAGGAUGGCGGCGCGGGCGCGAGCAAAGGAGGACAGUGCGAUGGUGAUCGAGGGUUGCGACCGGCGACGCCGGAUGCAGUGGCGAGAGCCGUCGGAGCUAGAGGAGGAGGGCAGCGCGGGGGCAUGGGCGUGCGCGCUCCUGGGCUGCCAUCACUGAAGGUGACAUUGGUGAUUUUUGUCACCUUCUGUGAUAUAUAGAUAUAGACAUGCUCUAGAUAGAGGACUCCUUGGAGAGACCCCGAGAAUGGAGAUGGGCAUUUGGAGCUCUUCCAAAAUAAGGAAUCUAGAGGACUUGCUAGAAUGCAUUUUUUUUGACUUGGUCCAUUGGAGUUGUUCUAAGCCAACAACUAUUAGCAUCCUUUUAGAUAACUCUGUUAAUCUGAAAUACAACAGUUUCCUACUUUAUGUAUAAUGAGUGUCAUUGCGUCACUACGUACGAGGUCUACUUUAUGGCGGAUCUGAAGGUGUGUUUGGUUGGGAUGUGGCUUUUGGAAAAGCUACUGUGAGCUGUGGGCUGUGAAAAAGUAGCGGGGAGAAAGCAGCUGUGGGAAAAGCAGAAGACCGUUUGGUUAGAGCAGCUACGAAACUGUAGGUUGUGUAAGAAAUACCUGUAAUGCCCCUAAAGGUCUGCGGGUGUGUUUACAUGCAAAUUGCUCAUAACAAAAUAAUGUGUUCACUAAUUCACAUGUAAAUGACUAUUUUAGAAAGGAAAAAAAAUAAAUUUUAUAUGUUCUUCAUCCAUAUAAGUGAUUGGUCCACAUAAAUAGAACAAUAUCCAUCAAAAGGUUUAUACAAUGAUGUCAUCUCUCAACAUUACUGUCCUCCUCUCGCACUAACCAAAGCAUCAACUAUCCUAGCAUGAAUGAUAUUCAUGGUAUCCUCAUUCUCCAUAUCGUCACUCUCAUCUCCUUGUGUUUGUCUCGUGCCACUUGUAUAUUGUACCAAGUACUCCUACAAAACCGAGUUAGUAAGGUACAUAAUAAUACACGUAUUUCUAACUUGAUGAAGGAAUCAUGUAUACCUUUAGGAGGCACGAGAAAUAUGUCUCAAAGCAUUGUCGAGAAAAUUGAAAGAAAAGAUGAUGAACAAAGGAGGGUCAAUUCUUGUUGCUCUUUGGACUAGAGGAUUGACGAUGAUCAUUGCAGUCCUAACAAUUCUCUUGUUGCAGAACAGAGUAGCAACUUCUGAGUAGCAUAUGAUUCUUACAUCUUCCAGGCGAGGUGGCUAGUGUGCUGGAUGAAGUUGAGGUCCCUUGGCAACCUGGCAAACGCCUCCGUCAUGUCUGCAGGCAAAAUUUCCAAAAAAAACAAGAAGAUUUCAACACCACCAACAAAGCAAGCAUGUAAUCACCUGAUUAAUCAAUCAGCAAACAAUUCACAACUAGCAAUCUGUAGAAAUUAGCACGCCAUUACCGUCCUGGGUGAUGAGCGGGUAGUCGGAUGCGUUGAGGUUGACGAACCAGUCCCAGCGGCGGUGAAGGCGGAGCAGCAACGCGACGGCGUGCAGCGUGGUGGUGAGCAUGGUGGGGCCCCGGUAGGUGACGAGGUUGGGCCUGCCGACGAUCCACACGUUGCCCGCGAUCGCGUACACACCCCACCUGGACAUGAGCUCUGCCAGCCGGCAGUGCUCCUCCCCUGGACCGCAGGUAGUUGUUGGCCGGGUGGUACAGUGCCGCCAGCAGCCGCAUCGUGCGGCCCACUUCCCCUGAGGAUGCCGAGAUAAGGUAUGCGAACGAGAUCGGGUACCGCGGCGCCUCGCCGGCGGCACCGUCGAAGGCGGCCAACGAUGAGAGUGUUGACGUCGGUUUUUGACACGUGUCAGGGUCGACGUCAAGAGGAGAAGAAAGUGGCUGAUGCGGUUAAACAAGAAGCUAUGGCUAGAGAAAUCAGUCAGUAAAGCUAUAGUGUUUCAGCCGAUUAGCUAAUGAGAUAGAUGAAGACUGGCCGAUUGGAAGCUAGAAAAGCUCGGCCGAUAUGGGCCUAAAUGGGCCAAGGUGGUAACAAGAUGAAGAUAGGAUUGGCCCAUAGAGGAUUGGAUGGUGUUCGACUCCGAUACAAGUUGUAUCCGUAUGUAAAUAUUUGUUGCUUUGAAUAAGAAAUAGAAUAUUGAGUCAUAGUCGGUUAGGAAACGAGUUGUAACAGGGUAUAAAUAGGUGCCCCGUGAGGCUGGCAAAAACAUCAACAAACAUCAAUACAAAUCUACUUUUUCAUGCAACUUUACUUUCAUGUCGGCGACUUUGCCAAACCCUUUUCUUUUCACGAGUUCGUGUGAGUUGGCAGGGCUGCAUCAACGUGAUCUCCGAGCAAUUUGUAAGUUCCGCGUUUCGAGUAAUAUAUAAGCUUUAACUUUGGGCGUAUCGCUGUUGUUUUGUUUAGAUUUAUUCACUAGUUAUCGAUAUUUGCUAGAAUUAUAGGUUUUAUUCUCCGGUGGAAAGAUUGUGCCUUUGCCUGUAUUUCUCUUGCACUAAACUCAGGCGAUACCUAUUAUCGGCGGAAUGUGUGGUCGCGUGUAAAGUUGAUGUUGUCAAGUAUAUGUUAUCACUGCCGAUCUUGAAGGGAAGGAUUGGAAAAUGUAUUCUGGCACUCUCAGAAUUCGAUCUCAGGUACGAAUCGGCCAAGGCCGUCAAGGGUCAGGUAAGGCUGAUUUCGUCACCCAACACUGUGGAUCAGAAAUUACUGUCGUUGAGCCGGCUCCAUGGACUCUGUACUUCGAUGGAUAUUCGUGUGGGAUUGGAUCAGGAAUCGACAUAAUUCUUAUAUCGCCUCGGGGGGCAAGUUAUGAGUUCUCUCUGCCGAUUGAGGCUUCCGCUACUAAUAAUCAAGCAGAAAAUCGGGCUGUCUUAAAGGGCAUCCAAUUAUUGAGGGAGGUCAAGGCUGACGUGGUAGAAAUAUUUGGGGAUUCCAUGAUUAUCGUGGAUCAGUUGAUUGCAAAGUGUGAGUGCAAGGAUGAUAUUCUAAGGAUUUAUUAUGAGGAAUGCCUCCGGUUGCUCAAAGAAUUCAAGACCGUAACUAUUGAACAUAUCCCUAGGGAUUACAAUGAGGAAGCCAAUAGACUUGCCCAGCACGCUUCUGGCUACUGGCCGAUUCAUGGCGCUUUCGCUCUAGAGCUGGCGGCCGACAACUGGAGGAAGGAGAUCGCCGAUUAUUUAAAGGAUCCAUCCAAGAAAGUUGAUCGGCAGAUACGCUUCCAAGCCACAAAGUAUGUGUUACUUGAAGAUGAAUUGUUUUAUCGGACGAUUGAUGGAGUGUUUCUCAAGUGCCUUAGCAUUGAGGAAGCAAAGAUUUUGAUGGGUGAGAUUCAUGAAGGUCUAUGUGGGACCCAUCAAUCGGCUUUCAAGAUGAAGUCGAUGAUUAGAAACAAUGGGUAUUACUAGCUGACAGUACUUGAAGAUUGUUUCAAAUAUUAUAAAGGCUGUCAGGAUUGUCAAAAAUUUGGCAACGUGCAACGAGCCCCGGCCUCGGCUAUGAACCCGAUAUUAAAGCUGUGGCCAUUUAGAGGCUGGGUAAUUGAUCUCAUCGGUUAGAUCUAUCUGCCGUCAAGCAAAGGGCAUAAGUUCAUAUUGGUGGCGAUUGACUACUUCACCAAGUGGGUUGAGGCGGUUCCUUUGAAUGUUGUGAUGUCGGCCAACAUGAUCGAAUUCAUGAAGGAGCACAUCAUUUAUCGAUUUGGUAUUCCUCAGACCAUCAUGAUUGAUCAGGGGUCAAUGUUUACCUCAGGGAGUUCGAGGAGUUCACUGCCAGUAUGGGAUUAAGCUGUUGAAUUCUUCUCCGUAUUACGCUCAGGCCAAUGGUGUGACGACCCCGGUUAAAUCUUUCGAGUUAAUCUUAAUACGAGCCCCAAAAUUCCUCUGUCUCAGUUUUUCCCGAGCAGGAGUGCUCCACUCCAGUUCCUGUUCCUGACCCGUGAAGACUCUAACUCACCCCGCCAGUUCCUUUUAAGUCUCAACAACAGUGUCCCUUUCAAUCUUGAACAGAGGAAAGACCGAGACUGACGGAUGGACCCGCAAUCUUUUCCCCGGAUCUCCCGAGGCAUACGCACUCGAGCGGCCUGCACCGCUUCAGAGCUCCCCCGCCGCGUGGCUCAACUUCUCCGACGCCCGCCGCUUCACCCAAUCGCCGGCCGGGACAGGAUAGAUUCUCACGCCCUCCUCCCCAAUCGCAGCGGAAGCCCCUCUGCAACCCUUUCUGCUGCGCCUCGUCUCGCUCGCGCCCUCGCCGGCCGCGCCUUGGUGCUCCGACACCGCUGUGGCAGAGCUUUGCCGCUUGCUGCAUCCAAACUACCUCGCAGCUCACGCCCGUCAUCAUCUCACUGGAUCCCCGACUGCAAGGCCCGAUGCCUUCCGACUUUUCCACCGCCUCUACACAGUCGCGCUCGCCUGCGCAGCCGCAGCCUGCCUAUCUUUUCACCGGUUGCAACCUCGCUUGUAGCGCCGUUCUCCCUGUCACACCCAUCAGAUCCGCCGCAUGACGACGCCCGCCUCCGCCAAACCUCAACUACCGGCAAAACCGCGCCUGCGCCGCCUUGUCUCCCGUGCCCAAUAGCCAAGGACCCUAUCUCCGAAAUCCUGUUCCGCCGCCCAUCGACGCCCAGUCGCCGCCAUGGCAGCGCACUCCAUCCUUUUCUUCCGGUCUUCGUGCUACUCCAACUCCCUCUCUCUUUCGCGCAGCUAUAAAAAGGAAUGCCAGAGCCCUACUGGAGAUCCCUUCACCAUCGUUGCCUCGCCGCCUUGUUCCUGAGCGCCGCCACCUAAGUUCUUGAGGAACUCUCAUCUUCGCUCAACACCCGCCCCUCCCAAUCCACCAAGCCGCCUGCUCCUCCACGCUAUGCUAGAGCUUCCUUGUUGCUCACAAGAAGCUCCGCCGCCGCCGGAGCACCGCCGGACAUAGCCGCCACCAAAGCCUUAGUGCUUAAGACCUUCCGCCCAAGUCUACUCCUUCCCGACCCCAAAGCUUCACCUAUAAACCAAAGGUAAGCUGCCGACCCCUUACCGGUUCGCCCGACCCUACCUGUUCGCCUGACCCUACCUGUUCGCCCGACCCCUCUUUCCAUCUCGCCCGACCCUGUCUGUUAGCCGGCCCUUAUCUUCUUCGCCCGAGGACUCGGCUGUACUCUUUUCCUUGACCCGAGGGUAUCUGUGUAAGAUUUCGGGGACUUCUCUGUAAUAGCUUUGAGGACCCCAAACACAUUAAGGCUUAUGGGUCAGAUCAUAAGUUCUUCCAAUUCGACCCUUGGUCUUGUUCUCUAUCCACUGAAGCUUGAACCCCCACACUCUUUCCGUAGCUUUGCUACAAGUUUCUGGGCUAAGACUUGCGAGUGUUGCUGUUGAAAUAACCGUCUAGACACUAACUCCAGCAUUGCAUUCGUGUAGAGUUUCAUCUUGCUGACGGCGUCUACGAACUACACCCGGUGCCAGAAGACGGAGCUGUAGCUGAGCUACCAGUUCCAGAAGCCGAAGUCGCACCAGCUGAAGACCCGCUUCCCUCCCCUCCACUUGAAGGCAAGUCCCGGAGCAUGAACCCCAAAGUUUCCCAAACUUGCGCAUGCCUUCUUUCUCAUGUUUGUGCAUUUACGUAUAGGAGUUGUUUGCAACCUUAGAUGCAUGGUAUAGUUCCUUGAUCGGAACACUAGUUGUUGAAUCGAGUAGUUGCUAUGCUUAAAUAGGAAGUGGUAAAAGUCGAGUGAUUUCCUGUCACUCGCGAGUUAUAGGAGUUGGUUGUUCUCCUUCUGUUACAACUAUAAGGACGAUGGAUGGGGCAAGGUUUUGGUUAACUCUUUUGCUAGUCGGCUGAUCCCCCCGUCUGUCUAUGGAAUCUGUUAAGGCCCGAUAGUGGUGGUGUUCGUGAUCAAGUGUUUGAAAGUACUAAUCUCAUACCUAGUAUGGGAUGGGGAAGCCUAGUACCUGAUUGAACUAGGGCGUGGCUUAUACCCCUGCUGUCCCUGGAACGAGGUUCCCAUGGUGCAUCAUGUGGGUGCAAGUGCGGUCACAGUACGGUAGAGGCCGGGAUUGUGGAGCAUUGCAUGCCAAGGGAAGUUGGACCUGACACGUGCCUGGGAAUUGAUGGGGACGGCUGACACAGGAAGCGACCCUUGUGGUGCGCGGAUGUCGUGAGAUUAGGUUUGCCAUGCAUGGUUAAGAAACUCGAAGGAUUCGUCUGCCUCUCACAGUUUGAGACUGCUUGAUCGCUAUGCUACACUGAUUAAUGAAAGAGUCUGAUGAUGACAUGGUCUUGAUGAGUAGCUUAUAUACAUAAAGUUGGAUCUAUGUUUGCUUAGAGUAAGAUGCCAACGUAGACUGGUUAAUGAACUUAGAAUUUGAGCUAAAACUUGAAAGCAAGGACCUAACGUAGUAGCUUUUGGCAAACAAAACCCCUCAGCCAAAGAGCCUUGCAUGUCUAGACGUGGUGGAGUAGUUUUACCACCGGUCGGUUAAGUCUUGCUGAGCGUAGCAGCUCAACCUUGUUUGUGGCUUUCUUUUCAGGUGAAGUCGCAGCUCCUGAGUUUGCUUCCGUUGGCACUUGGCCGCCCCAGCUCCCUCCGGGUUGGACGGUUGAGUGGGAUCCUUCCUCGGACGGUGAGGAGAGGGAUCAUUGAUGUCCUGAUCGGCCUCAUUAGGGACAUCCGACCCUGGCGCUAGCUUCCGCUAAUUUAGCUUUCCGCUGCUUUUGAAUCUUGUAAAACUCUGAUUUUUGUUUUUAUGUUGAACUAAAUUGUCAAACUUGUUUAACUCAGUGGAUCUGUUGUAUUCUCUGAAACCGCUCACCUUCGUGUGAGUUUCGCUAAUCCGGUCCUGUAAGUGGUUUAAUCGGAGGAAAUCCGACGGCCCUUCGAGUUAACUUGACUAAGGCAUAAGUGUCGCGUGUCAGGCGACUUAACAAUGCUUUAAUCAAGGUAAUCCGAGGUGGUUCCACCACAAAUGGUCAGGCCAAGUCAUCAAAUAAGGGGGUUAUUAAACUGAUUAAAAGGAAGGUCAAAAAACAACCAAGACGGUGGCAUACAACGCCGAAUGAGUCCUUAUGGGCUUAUCGGAUGGCUUGCCGCGGUGCCACCAAGGUGUCCCCUUAUCAGUUAGUAUAUGUGCAUGAAGCAGUAUUACCUUGGGAGUUGAAGACUGGGUCUAGACGUGUGUCACUUCAGAAUCAGUUGUCGGUUGAUGACUAUUCCGCCCUCAUGAGGGGAGAAUUGGAAGAUUUGGCGAAUCAACAGCUAAGGGCUUUGAUCAGCAUUGAGGAAAAUAAGAAAAGAGUCACCAGGUGGUAUGACAAGAAGGUCAAGGUCAAAAGGUUUUCCCAAGGGGAUUUAGUCUGGAAGUUGGUUCUGCUGAUAGUAUGGAAAAUGGUCGCCCACUUGGGAAAGGCCAUAACGGAUUAGCCAAUGUGCUCUAGGCAAUGCAUACAUACUGGAGACUUUUGAGGAAGAAGAAUUUACAAGGGCCUUGAAUGGAAGAUAUUUGAAAAGAUACUACCCUAGUAUAUGUGUAGGCGCUUAGCCGAUGAUGUGGCAUAACGGGCUUUCACGGUCGACGCGUACUGAUUCGUGUUCAUAUAGCCGAUGCAAGGGGCAUCGCCUUAAGAUUGAAAGAGGCGAAAUAGUGUAUAUAUAACUAAACCGAUCAUUAUUCGGUACACCAACUAAAUAUAUGGCCGGCAUGAUACAAGUCGCCCUUAGAUAAAAAGUACCGACACAGUUAUGGGUUACAACGAUUUAACAACGUUUCAUGUGAGCUUUAUUCAUAUCGAUUUCUUUCUGAAGUCGAUCCAAUUCGAUCUGGAGUCGGGCGUUCUUCUCCUCUAGUUCUGCCAUGUCAUCUUCAACAGCAACUUGACAGGGUAACAGAUGGCUUCUUUCGACUGAUUGCCGUGGUUGCCUUCUAGAAGCUUUAGCCUCGAUGUCAUCCACAAUCCUCUUGAUAUUCACGGGGAGGUGAUCUCUGAGUUCCUCACGAUGAGUUUGGAUCAGGUCUUUGUCAGCCUGAGUGAGCGGUUCAUCGGAGUGGAGGAUCUCAAUGGCUCGUUCAAGAUCACGGCUGAGUCGGUUUGGCUACGAGAAGAAUUGAUGAUCAAUUGACAGAGGGAUUGGUCGAGAGAUAGGAGAUUGACUUCGUACCUGAUUGACAGAGGAGGAGGAGGCCAUCUUGGUCGCUCGAUCGAAGAUUUGUAAGCGCGCGCAAGGAAUGGUUGAGUGGGUGUUUUGCGAAUGCCUUCAGAAGGGAUGCGAAGGGUUUGUACUUAUAGAACAGAAUGGCAAUGGACAAAGGUCGGUAAAAGGAGGGCAUUUAAAGAAAGCGACCGUUGAGUCAUAAAAGCUACGUGAGGACUGUUCAGACUUGCAUUUCAGACAAAAACGCCAAAAGUAUCAACGUUACACAAGAUGUUCAAAGGCUGGUUGAGUUCGUUACAACUAUCCGAGGAGAUUGUUUAUGGUCUCAAUCGCUCGCAGGCGAACUUGGUUGGCCACCUCCAACACUCGCCGAUCAUCAUCGGCUGAUCCUAAGACUUCUGGCGCAUUGCGAUGAAGAUGGAUGGCCUCGUGAGUGAGGGAUUGUCUUUCUUGUUUAAAAUCAACGAUGGCGGUUGGAAGAUCUUCAAGUUUCUUUUCUUCGGUAGCGAUAGCCUUUACGACCAGUUCCAUCUCCUUGGUGAGCUCUGCUCUGCGCCAUUUGAGUUGGUCUAUUUCACUGAUGAUGCUUGGAUGAGAAGUCUCAUGGAGACCGAUCUACCGAUGUACGUGUUGUGCACGGUGCUUGUAGGACUCUUCUUCUUGACGCACCAUCUCCAAUUUAGCACGGUCAGCCAUGUGUCGCAAGGCUCUAAACACCGGGACCCGCAUGGUUUCGAUAUAUGCUGCGGGUGUGAGAACCUCUUCUGCGUCUUCUGGGACUUGGCCUUUGAUCUCGUUGAAAAUCCACCGUAUCAGUUUGGCAUCUUCCACCAAUCGACCGAUGUUUUCCUGAAGAAGGGUUCGCAUGUUUUGGAGCUUGGCACGGACAUCUUCUGGUAUUGAGCUCAGAGUUAUUUGGCGUGAUGCAACUUCUUCGUCAUCAGAGACCGCAAUUGCAGAGGAGAAGAGGCUUUUGUUUGGCGUGUCUUACUCCUGCAGGGAUGUGGGAAAGUGUUUUAGCCGAUAAAAGUAAAAAAUCGGCUGGUAGAUAUAGAAGGUUCUUACCUCCUUCAAACAAAUCUCUUCUGCUUGGGUUGGCAGAGUCGUUACUCCCACCUCAGAAGUUUGCGGAGGUAGCUCAUUAGAGGGGGAAGACUUGACAAUGAUCGGCUCUCUAGGCGUAGCUGAUAAUGUGCUUGGACCAGCCUCCUGGAAAAGGAACAAAGGAAUCAUUUUUGAGUAUAAAAUAAUACUGGAUCUAAGUAGAAGUCUCGGUUUUCUUACCUCUCGGACGCGCGCAGCCAACGGUAGCACCAGGGGAAUGACUGACGUAUCUGGAGCGUCCUGUGUCAAGAAUCGUCUGAUUUUAGUUAUCAGAACUGUGGAGACUAAGGGAAGAGCAUGUUCUUUACCUCAAUUUGAAGAUUUGUAGGUAACACAAUUUUAGCUUGAGAAUCGGCCAAUUAAGGAACAGUCUGCUCUAGGAUAGGUUGUACGGCCUGUUGAAAAGAAACAAAUUUAGUAUUGGUGAUACAUAUGAAGAAGUCAGAGCAGAAAGAUUACUCGUGUAGCUUUCACCAAGAGUAACACAAUCGCCGACCCAGCCUCUGAUGCUGCUAGGGGAUCAAUGUCCUGAAUUGCCGACAAUACAUCUGCUUGGAUUGGUGCGGCUGAGGGCUCGACCGAUGUUGCUGCCGAUUGGUGGGUUGUUCGAGUUGUCGUAGAUUCAGUACGAGCUCAUACCCUGCGACUCGUCUUCUUUGUGGUGGAUAUUUUGAGCUUAUGCUUCAAUCGGUUGGUGGCUAUGUCCUCCAUUGAUGGGGCGUGAUAGCCGAUGAGAGGGUACGGUGUGUACGGAUGAUGGGUCUGUAUCAGUCUGCCACUCUAACUGUGCGUUGGAGGCACUUGGCUAUCAACCUGUGCAGGGUAAAAGGAUAAUGAUAAGAAAGUUCUGCAACAUGUGAAAAUUAUUGGUAAGGAAUCGACAAAAAAGUAUUGUUACCUCUGCAUUCGGAUCAGUGUGAGCGGGGUCCAGUUGAUUGCAAUACACUGCAGGGGCCGCACAGGAAAGGUACUGUUUCCACUCGGCCCACCACAAUUUGAAUUGUUGAGUGGAGAAGGGGACCACCAGCCAAGCGCUCAGAUCGAUGGUGUCGGAAUCCGGUGUCAGAUUACACAAUCUGUUGUAUUCCAGUCCUUUUGAAAUCGGUUCUCAAAAUUUCACUCGGCCGACGAAGUGAAUCCGAUUGGUAUUUGUCCCAAGCCAAAUUGCCGAGCUGCUACCGACGGGUUAUAGAACUCAUAUGUUGGAGAGUCCUUGCCAGAGAAGAAAUUUGCCGGUAGAAUCCCAGGUUGAUCAGGGUGUCCAUGAUUCCUUCAUCGAAGGUAUCGGUAGCCUAGUCAAAACAGUCAGGAUUCUAAAAAGUUGGGUUCUCUCUCUGAUAUGGAUACCAAUUCGUCACCUCUUCUUUAAAGCUGUUGUAAAAGCAUCUAAAGUGCUCGGCUAUUCUUGAGGGGGCAAGCUUGCCGCCUGGGAAAGUGGAUACGGCUUCACUAAAGGAAGUACAGCGGCGUCUGGCCAAUGGGUCGGUUUCUGAUUUAACAUUAGGAAAGUCUUGGUCUCAAUCCGCUCCUUGAAGAUUUCGCUCAUAUAUAAGUUGAGCUAGAGAUUGACAAACCACCAAGGACCACCAGGAUUCCUGAUAGGUUCUCCAGAUGAUAGCUUCACGCCGAUGUGAUGCAGCAUGUAAUACACUGACCCUAGUAGAUGCUUUCCCAAAGGGACUGUGGCUCCUCUAACUAGUGCUUCGGCCAAAGCCUGUGUGUUGGAAGUAGGACUGGCUAAUUUACCACAGAAGACAUACCUUUCCUGCCACAUCAUCAAGAAGGUCGUGUGCUCUUUUUCUGUGUUGGGUCCGGUCCUCAUGUUCUUCUCAAUGUAGCCUUUCCAUGUGCUGAUGGCUUUCGUCUCCAGCCGAUGGGUGGGUUUGAUUAAGAAAUCGAAAGGUGAGUCGGUGGAGGAAACAUCGAGGCCAGUCAGCAUCAGAACAUCGGCCAGGGUUGGAGUCAUUGGCCCAUGGUCGAAAAGAAAUGCAUUGAGAGCAUCGGACCAAAAGUAAGAUGCCGCGAUGAGCAGAGAUUCUUUCUUUUCCAUAUGAGAUAGAGAUAAAUUUCUGCAAUGGCCGAUUUUUCGCUCAUCCCAGAAGACUCUGUUGGAAUUUGACAUUCUAAAAAACCAAUCUCUCCAUCCGGGGGUUUGAUUCGGCCAAGACUUGAAAGUGUUCGCCCAAUUGUCUAGUUCCAUGGUCGAUUGCUUAAAAGGGAUCCUGUGAGUUUCUAGUUUAAUCAGAUCGGUUGGGUUAGGAUCUCCCAUAGAGCCAAGAUCGAUGAAUCCAGGGGUGUUGGCCAUGGGAUGGUGAUUCUUUGCCUGAGUUCUUGAGCAAAUGCGAAGAAAGACUAAGAACAGAUCUAAAAUCGCGAAAAGAUGAGGAGAGCCUAGAAGACUUACCUCAGGAACGAAGGUCAUGGUAGCUAUGGGUGCCACCAUUGGAGCUUGGGAGUUGGUGCGGUCGGUGAAGGACGUGAGCAAGUCACUGGAGUGCGCUGGGAUGUGCCUAGAAGUGGCACGAGCAAGGUCGCUGGGGUGUGCCGGGAGAUGAUUCGCUGGAAAGGAAACCCUUUUCGCCCGGAGGAAGAUGAAGCGGCGGAAGAGAUGAGUAUCUGCACGAUGACUCGGGAGAAGGGUAAAUAUGAAAUUUUUACCACGCCGUCUGCGCUAAUUUCGAAAGGAGCGGUUGCCUACAGGUGCUCAGUUCGAAAAAAUGCAAUCAUCAAGGAGAAGAUUUCGGGAGCAAAGAGGGUUUUGCUGCAUUUAUUGUUGCGUCUUUUCUGAAAGAAGGAAUCAGAGUUGAGAAAAUUUCGGAGAAAAAGAUAUGUUUCACUAUGAAGCUGGGAGGCAUGUGUUGAUGCCAGUUUUUAACACGUGUCAGGGUCGGUGUCAAGAGGAGAAGAAAGUGGCCAAUGCGGUUAAACAAGAGGCCAUGGCUAGAGAAAUCGGUCAGUAAAGCUAUAGUGUUCUGACCGAUUAGCUGAUGAGAUAGAUGAAGACUCACCGAUUGGAAGCCAGAACGCUGGAUUUUGACACGUACUUGAAAUCGGUGUCAAAGAAGGAGAAAGGGGGGCCGAUGCGGCGGACUAGAAGCUACAGUUGGGAAUCGGCCGAUUGAAGCUACAAUGUUUCAGCCGAUUGGCGGAAGAAAUUGGUGGAGGCUGGCCGAUUGGGAGUCAAAGCAGUUUGGCCGGUUUGGGCCUAAGGUGGGCCAGGAUGAAUAUUUGCUGAAGAGACAGGCCCGUGGGAAAAUAAUAACCAACUCGAAUACGAGUCGUGUUUGUAACUAUUUGUUGUCGUUUGAAAUUAGAGAUAGAUUCUAGUCGGUUAGGAAAUCAGUUCCAACACGCUAUAACUAGCUACCUCGAGAGGCUUGUAAAAAAAACAACACAUCAAUCAAUACAAAAAAAAUUACUCUUUCCUCGUACUUUACUUUCAAGUCGGCGACUUCGCCAAAACCUUUUUCUUUCACGAGUUCGUACGGAUUGGCAGGGCUGGAUCUACAGGAUCUCCGGCCGAUUCUGUAAGUUCCACUUAUCGAGUAAUACUAAGCUUUAACUUCGGGCGCAUCGCUGUUAUUUUGUUUAGAUUUAUUCACCAGUUAUCGAUAUCAACUAGAGUCAUAGGUUUUACCUGUUAUUUUAGUUUUUAUCACCAAUUAUCCAUCUUGAGGUACGAACUGUCGGUUUUUAUUAUUCUUAUCCUUUAUCAUCACAUAGCCGAUUAGAUCUACUCCAAGUUUUGCUUCUGUAGUGUUGUUUAGGUUGCUGUAAAAGUUUUCCUUAUGAUUGCUACAUGAGUAUCGGCUGUCUUAUAGCCGGUCAUCUCUACGGUAAAUCGGCCGAUUCGCUGAUACGCUCUUCAAGACAGAUCGGAACUCUAGCCGAUCGAAACCCCUAGAAUUUAAUAUUCUUCUUUCCAUGUCAAUCAUUAGGUCAGAUUGACUGGCAUGCCGCGCGAACCGCACUAGGGCAAUAACUCGAACAGGAGCUAAGUAGAUUCUCCUGGGUCGUGUGUCCGACGCUGAGGGUCAUCGGCCAAUUUUCAGCACCAACACACUUUUGGCAUGCCCGGUGGGACCAAACAAGAUCCAACAUGUCGAAGGCUGCUGAGAUCUUUGAAGAUAACGUCCUUGAAGUCAUUGAAGAAAAUCUCAAGGACGAUCAGAAGGAGGAACUGGCGAGGGCUAUAGAAGAAUACAGGAAGACAUGCCUGCAAUCUUUCAUUCGUACCAGAAGCGGGGAGACAGUCAAGAAAGCUCCUCUCUCCACUUCCCGCCAAAUCACCGUCAUCGAGGACUCAGGGAAGAUGUCUGAGAUGAUUCAACAGUCCGUUUAUCAGGCUAUGAUUGACCAAUCCACGGUGAUGACCAACACUGUAUACAACGCCAUCAUCAGCUCCUUGGUUAGCGGCGUAGCUCAGGGGUAUCAGGGACUAGCGUAUGCUCCUCCCAUCGUGGCACCGAUCAGAGGCUUCUUAGCAGCGCCAAACGUGUGUCACUCGACUCCUCAACUAAUGCAGAUGCAACGUGGAGGGUACUACACUUCAAUGCCCCUGGGGUACAAUGGUGCAUCAUUCUAUCAAUCGCAAGAACCGUCUCAUCCUAUGCCAAUUUCAUCCAUACAAUCGCCGCUCUCAAACUCGGCGCCAUGGGGGGUAGCAGCAGCAACCGCCGGUCUGGAUCCGUCAACCAGUUAUGGAAAGUCUCCAGUCCAGGCGUUAUUCCAAUCGGCCGAGGCCGAUAGCCCCGCAAUACCAAACAACCACUUCAGAUAUCGGCAGGAGGACAGGCGCUCUAGAAACACUCAGGGUUGCGGCGUCGAUAAUAUUGUACGAUGAAGUGACAGAUACACUAUGUCAGCAGCCAUCGGCUACUCAGCCGACAACCCAGCCACAAUAUCUGCAGAACACUCCAGUUUAUCACCCGAUCAUGGAACCGCAAAUCCAACAGCACGUACCGAUUCCUCAGCCGGUCGUGCAUCAGCAGCAGGUUGAUUGGACCGCGAAGAUAGCAGAGGUAAUUCAAGAUCAGUUUGUGUUAAAAGCAAAAGUACAAACUUACAUGUACAAGACGCCAUACCCACUUGCCUACGAUCUGUUACCGUUCCCUCAUCGGUACAAAGUCCUUGACUUCACCAAGUUCUCGGGCCUAGACGACACGUUGACUGUCGAGCACGUUAAUAGGUUCAUCAUCCAGUGCAGGGAGGCUGCUACGCAAGAUGCUUUGAUGGUGCGCUUGUUCUCGUCAUCCCUAUCCGGAUCAGCCUUGCAGUGGUUCACUACACUGCCGCCCAACGCCAUCGUUACCUUGGCCGAUUUGGAAAAGCAAUUCCAUAAGUACUUCUAUGCGGGAAUCCACGAGAUGAAACUCUCAGACCUAACUAGCCUCAAGCAAAGAAGCGAUGAGUCGAUGGCCAGCUACAUACAGAGGUUUAGGAAAGUUAGGAACAAGUGCUACACCUUGGUCUGGACUGACACCCAACUAGCCGAUAUCACCUUCCAAGGACUCCUGCCACACAUCAAAGAGAAGUACGCCUCCCAGGAGUUCGAAAGCUUGAGCCAAAUCGUCCAUCGGCUGUCCGGCCAAGAGAUACACCCUUUCGACCAACGAAGGAACUUUCAAAAGAAGGUAGCUUAUGUGGAAGGGUCUGAAUCGGGAGAGAAGGCGGAAAUCGGCCUAGCAGAGUCGGUAAAAGGAAAAAAGCCGAUAUCAUGCCCGUUUGGAAAAAAGGAACCAGAAACAUUCGGCUUUGACACGUCAAAAGCCGACAAAGUCUUCGACUUGCUGCUUCAAGAGGGGCAGAUCAAACUUUCGCCUUACCACACCAUUCCGUCGGCCAAGCAGCUCAAAAAGAUGAAAUACUGCAAAUGGCACAAUACCACAUCCCAAGACAAAAAUGAGUGCAAGAUCUUCCGACAAUAGAUACAAUUAGCCAUUGAGCAAGGAAGACUCAAGUUCGAGGUUCCAGCAAAACCAGUGAAGCCGAUGAAGAUUGAUCAACAUCCCUUCCCCGCCAACAUGGUCAAUGUAGGAAGAAACGCACUCCAAACCAAAGUUUUGAUGUUAGAAUUGGCCAGGAGAAGCGGUGCAGUGGAUCCCAAAAAUCAGGCCACGAUCGGAGAUGUCAAAGGAAAAGGACGGAUGGAAGAAGAAGGUGAAGGAUCAGAAAGGCCACGUCGGCCUGUCACUUCCCAAGACUUACUCAGCAAGUAUCAGCAGCAGCGGGAAGAUUCAAGACGCCACGAAGAGAUGAUGCGCCGACACGAAGAUCACUGGAGGUGCCCGUUUUUCAUCCACUGCUGGGAGAAUAACCUUAGAUUACCGUCGGCUGAUAAUUGCCCUGAGUGCAACGGCCAGUAUCGCAGUGGUCGUCCGUUCAAUAGAUCACGCUCCAAGGAUCGAGGGCUAGAGCCAAUCAGCAGAAAGAGGCACGAGCAAGGAGAUCGGCGCGUUUCAGUGCGUGAUCGGCUGGGGGGUAGAGUUGACCAGCAUAAUCGGCUGGGGGGCAGAACCAGCGCACAUGAUCGGCUGGGGGGUAGAACCAGCGCACAUGAUCGGCUGGAAGAGAUAGCUGACGCCAAAGUCUCAGAUGAGAACCUCCUAGGGUGAGAAUCAGGCUGGGAGCGUGCAAAGCCGCCGAGUAAACCAGUAAACCCCAGAUGGUGCCCAGCCGGUUUGACUAAGUCCUUGAAACGGAGGGUCCAGCGUUUGCACCAAUGGGAGCAGCAAGAAGAAAAACAAAGGUAGGUGAUGGAUAACAAAGGGGACAGGUCUCGAGUAUGGCGUCCUAGAAGAAAAUCCGACGCAGGAGACUAAAAUCAUGAUUCGACAGCUGACUUCAGCAUGAUGUUCAUCUUGCCGAUGGAGUUCAUGCCUCCCGCCGACCGGGACAAUGCGAUAGAGAUAGAGGAGCAAAUGGCACAAUUGGCUCUGGAGCCAAUGACCGCCACUUUUGAGAAACCCGAGGAUUAAAAACGCCAACAUCUCAAGGCCCUGUUCCUCAAAGGACAUGUCAACGGACGACCAGUCACCAAGCUGUUGGUAGAUGGAGGCGCUGCUGUGAACAUCAUGCCCUAUGCUAUGUUCCGCAAAUUGGGCAAAGGUAAAGAAGAUCUAACAAAGACGGAUAUAAUGCUCAAGGAUUUCGAAGGCAACGUAUCUCCGGCCCGAGGGGCACUCUGCGUCGACCUCACCAUCGGGAGUAAGGCCCUACCCACUAUUUUCUUUGUUAUUAAUGGCAAAGGCUCCUACAACAUGUUGCUCGAGCGAGAUUGGAUCCACGCAAACUGCUGCAUCCUGUCUACGAUGCACCAAUGCCUUGUCCAAUGUGUCGGCGACAACAUCGAAGUAGUCAUCGCCGAUUCCACCUAUAGCGUUGCCACGGCCGACGCACAACAGUGGAGCUACGAUCACGUCAAAUUCAAAUAUGGUAGGGUUUGGGACACCAAUUUCCUAAAGGUGUCCGAUUUCGGUCUACAGCCAAUCCAAGCAGUCAGCUCUAAAGAAUCAAGUUAAAAUGGAUCAGUUCAUCUGAGAAGAUGGGAAGCUCGGGCACGGGUUUACGUCGGCCGAUUCAUUGGAGAUGGUGGACCUUGGAGAUGGCAACAAGCCAAAGCCGACGUAUAUUCGUGCUAGGUUAGAACCCGAGUAUAAGCAUGAAUUAAUGAGUCUUUUACGAGAAUUUAAAGAUUGCUUUGCUUGGGAGUAUCAUGAGAUGCCUGGUCUAGACCGGUCCAUCGUCGAACACCGGUUGCCUAUAAAACCAGGGCAUUGGCCGCAUCAGCAACCUGCACGACGUUGUAAUCCUAAAAUUUUACCUGAUAUAAAGGCCGAGAUUACAAGAUUAAUUGAAGCAGGGUUUAUUCGGCAAUGUCGCUAUGCCGAGUGGAUUUCCAAUAUUGUGCCCGUAUACAAGAAAAAUGGAAAGUUACGUGUGUGCAUUGACUUCAGGAAUGUUAAUCAGGCUAUGUCGAUGGAUGGAUAUCCGAUGCCGAUGGCUGAUGUUUUAAUAGACGCCACCGCAGGACACAAAGUCAUCACCUUCAUGGAUGGUAAUGCUGGGUACAAUCAGAUAUUAAUAGUCGAAUAAGAUAUUUCAAAGACGGCUUUCAGAUGCCCAGGCCACCUCGGUUUGUUCGAGUGGGUAGUAAUGAGUUUCGGUUUAAAAAAUGCUGGAGCUACGUACCAACGGGCUAUGAAUUAUAUAUUCCACAAGCUUAUUUGUGUCCUGGUGGAGAUCUACAUUGACGAUGUCGUGGUCAAAUCAAAAGGGUAUCAGGAACACCUGGCCGAUUUGCGAAAAGUGUUGGAAUGCACAAGAAAGCAUGGGUUGAAGAUGAAUCCAAACAAAGUGUGCCUUCGGCGUUUCGGCUGGACAGUUUCUGGGAUUCAUGAUUCACGAGCGAGGCAUCGAGAUCAAGCGAAAAAUUAUAGUUGCUAUCAACAAAGUCGUGGGCCCCCAGAAUAAGACUGAGCUACAGUACUUAAUCAGCAAGGUUAACUUCAUCCGACGGUUCAUAUCUAACUUGUUCGGGCGUAUUCAAGCUUUCACCCCUUUGUUGAAAUUAAAACCCGAUCAAGAAUUUGUAUAGGGUAAGGAAUAGCAGAAAACAUUAGAUGGCAUCAAACAAUACCUAGUCUCGCCACCAGUAUUGGUUCCGCCGCAGGCCAACAAGCCAUUCAAAUUAUACCUAUUGGCUGAUGAACGAGCUAUUGGGUUGGCGCUGGUCCAGGAAUGUGAAGGAAAAUAAAGAGUAAUCUAUUAUGUCAACAGAAGACUCCUGAACGUUGAAACUAGAUAUCCUCCGGUGGAACGGCUGUGCCUUUGUCUAUAUUUUUCAUGCACCAAACUCAGGCACUAUCUGUUAUCGGCAGAGUGCAUAGUCGUUUGCAAAGAUGAUGUGGUCAAGUACAUGUUGUCAUUGCCGAUUUUGAAAGGGAGGAUUGGAAAGUGGAUUCUAGCUCUCUCAGAGUUCGACCUGAGGUACGAAUCGGCCAAAGCUGUCAAGGGGCAAGUAAUGGCCGAUUUCGUGAUCCAGCACUGUGGACCAGAAAUUACUGUCGAACCAGCUCCGUGGACACUAUACUUUGAUGGGUCUGCGUGUGGGGCCGGAUCGGGAAUCGGCAUCAUCCUCAUAUCGUCUCGAGGGGCAAGUUAUGAUUUCUCUCUGCCGUUUGAGGCGUCCGCUACUAAUAAUCAAGCGGAGUAUCGGGUUGUUCUAAAAGGUAUCCAAUUAUUAAGAGAGGUCAAAGCUGACGUGAUGGAAAUUUUUGAGGAUUCCAUGCUCAUUGUAGAUCAAUUAACUGGAAAGUCUGAAUGCAAGGAUGAUAUCUUGAGGAUUUACUACGAAGAUUGCCUCAAGUUAUUGAAGGAGUUCAAGUCUUUGAUUAUUGAGCAUAUUCCCAGGAAUUACAACGAAGAAGCCAAUAGACUUGCCCAACAUCCUUCCGGGUAUCGGCUGUGUUGACGCCAGAUUUUGACACGAGUAAAAUCGGCGUUAGAAGUGGAAGAAAUUAGGAGAUGCGGCGAGAUACAAGGGCAACGAUUGGAAAUCGGCCGAUUGGUGCUACAGUCAAGGAUCGGUUGGUUGGUGCUGCAGUCAAGGAUCGGCCAAUAGAUGCUACAGACGAGGAUCGGCCGAUUGAUCCUUAGAGUUCCGCCUCGCACGACCCCUGGUUUGGGAUCGGACACGCCCGACCCUCCAAGGGAGGAUCUCCGCCUCGCCCGACCCCUGGUUUGGGAUCGGACGCGCCCGACCCUCCAAGGGAGGAUCUCCGCCUCGCCCGACCCCUGAGGUUUGGGAUCGAACGCGCCCGACCCUCCAAAGGAGGAUCUCCGCCUCGUCCGACCUUAGUUCCCAGGGUCGAAAUGAGUCUGAGCCCUCGAUAUGUGGGUCCUGAUCGGUUACCCCCCUUGCCAAAGAGGUGAUCGGCCGAUUAGGAGGUUGGAAUAGUUGGGCCGAUGUGGGCUCAAGAAGGAUUAUGAAGAUGAAGAGGGGGUCAGCCCAUGAAGCGCGUGAAAAUAGUACGAAUCGUACUUGUAAAUAUUCGUUUUCUGUUUAAAUUUAGGGAUAGAGUUCUAGUCGGAUAAGAAGUCGUUUGUACGGGGCUAUAAAUAGCCACCGUUGUAGAUCUGUAAUCAUCAUCAACUCAAUACAACAAACUACUAUUUCCUCGUACUUACUUUCAAGCAGGCGACUUUACCAACACUUUUUCUCCUUUUUCACGAGUUCGUACGGGUUGGCGGGGCUGCAUCAACUUGACCUCCGGCCGAUCUUGUAAGUUCCGUUUAUCGACUAAAUUCUAAGCUUUAACUUCGGGCGCAUCGCUGUCAUUUCGUUUAGAUUUAUUCAUCAGUUAUCGAUAUUUACUAGAAUUCUAGGUUUUACCUGUUGUUCUAGUUUUAUCACCAAUUAUCCAGCUAGGAAUCGGUAAAUUCGGCUUUCUUUAUACUUCUCUGUCUAAUCUAUUUAUUUUAGCCGAUUAGAUCUGUUCCUAGUGUUGCUACUGUAGCGUUGUUUAGAUUACUCUAGCAGUUUUCUUUAUAAACGUUACCUGGUAAUCGGUUGCACUAUAGCCGAUUUCCUUAUUACGGCAAAUCGGCCGAUUCGCUGAUAAGCUUUCUUGAGAUCGGAACCUUAGCUGAUCGCAACCUCUGGGAACUGACACGUUUAUUUCCUUGCCAAUCAACAGUUCAGAUUGGCUGGCUCGCCGCGCGAACCGUACCAGGGCAAUCACCCGAACAGGAGUUAAGCAGAUUCUCCCGGGUCGUGUGUCCGACGCUGGGAAUUCGGUCAGCUGAUUUCUAGUGCCAACACACUUUUGGCACGCCUAGUGGGGCCAAUACAACCGCCACCAUGUCGAAAGCUGCUGAAGUCUCCGAAGAUAACAUCAUCGAAGUGACAGAGGCAGAUCUCAGGGACGACCAGAAGGAAGAACUAGAGAGGCAGACAGCAUACUACCGGAAGACAUGUCUGCAGUCCUUCAGUCGCACCAGGAGCGAGGAGACUAUCAAAAAGGCUCCGUUUCCAACUCCCCGCCAGAUCACAAUCACCGAGGAUUCGGACAAGAUGUCCGAGAUGGUCCAGCAAUCCGUCUAUCAAGCUUUCAUUGAUCAAUCCCCGGUGCUUUCUAAUACGGUAUACAAUGCCGUCAUCAGCUCCUUGGCUAGUGGUGUAUCUCAAGGGUACCAGGGGCCGGCAUAUGUUCCGCUGAUUAUGGCUCCGAGCAAUGCGGCGACAUGAAGAUCACUGGCGAUGCCCGUUCUUCAUCCACUGUUGGGAAAGCAACCUUAGGUUGCCUUCGGCCGAUAAUUGCCCCGAGUGCAACGGCCCGUAUCGUAACAAUCGGCCGUUCAGCAGGUCUCGCUCCAGAGAUGGGAGAUCAGAGCCGAUCAGCAGGAACUGGCGCGACCAAGACAACCGGCGCCCUCCAGUACGUGAUCGGCUGGGGGGCAGAAGUGACCGGUAUGACCGGUCGGAAGGCAGGCGCAAUGAUGGGCCGGGGGCAGAUUUAAUCGACGUGACCGGCCAGAAAAUAGAGUCAGCGUCCACAGACGACUUGAAUAGAUGGCCGAUGCUCGGGUGUUAGAUGAGAACCCUUUAGGACGCGAACUAGAAUGGGAACGCGCCAGGCCACGAACCAAACCGGUGAACCCCAGGUGGUGCCCCGAUGGAUUGACCAAGUCUCAAAAACGAAGAAUCCAACGUCUCCGCCAGUGGGAACAGCAGGAAGAAGAGCAACAGUACACGACGGACGAGAAGAAAGGCAGGUCUUAGGUAUGGCGCCCCAAAAGAAACGACAGAGGAGGCGACAAAUCAGCAGGCGAUGAAUCGGCAGCCGAUAUCGACAUGGUCUUCAUACUGCCGAUGGAAUUCAUGACUCCUGCCGACCAACAGGACAUGUCAGCAAUAGAAGAGUAGAUGGCGCAAUUGGCUUUGGAGCCAAUGACAGCCACAUUCGAGAAGCCCGAAGAAGACAAACGGCAACACCUGAAAGCGUUGUUUCUUAAAGGGCAUGUCAACGGCCGACCCAUCACCAGAUUACUGGUAGACAGAGGGGCUGCAGUCAACAUCAUGCCGUACGCCAUGUUCCGGAAGCUAGGGAAGAGCAAUGAUGACCUGACCAAGACAGACAUGAUGCUCAAGGACUUCGAGGGCAACGUAUCCCCCGCUCACGGCGCUCUCUGCGUCGACCUCACCAUCGGCAGUAAGACCCUUCCUACUACUUUCUUUAUUAUUAAUGGCAAGGGGUCCUACAACAUGCUACUCGGCCGAGACUGGAUACAUGCAAAUUGCUGUAUCCCAUCUACAAUGCAUCAAUGCCUCGUAUAGUGGGUCGGCGACAACAUUGAGGUGGUCACCGCCGAUUCCGCAUACAGCAUCGCGGCAGCCGACACGCAACAGUGGAGCUGCGAAACCGUCAAGUGCAUAUCCGGGAGAGUAUGGGAUACUGACUUCUUGAAGGUGUCCGAUUUUGGCCUACAGCCGAUCCGAGCAGUCGGCUCUGAGGACUCAGAUUAAAUGGAUCAGUUCACCCGAGAAGAUGGGAAGCUGGGACAUGGGUUCACGUCGGCCGAUUCAUUAGAAAUGAUAGACUUAGGCGAUGGCACCAUACCAAGGCCGACAUAUAUUAGUGCAAAUUUAGAUCCGGAAUACAAAUGUAAACUGACAAGUUUGUUAAGAGAACUUAAGGAUUGCUUUGCUUGGGAAUAUCAUGAGAUGCCCGGAUUAGACCGAUCUAUCGUUGAACAUCGGUUACCCAUAAAGCCAGGGUAUCGGCCGUAUCAACAGCCUGCACGGCGGUGCAAUCCUAAAAUCCUACCGGACAUAAAGGCCAAAAUAACGCGGCUAAUCAAAGCAAAAUUUAUUCGGCAAUGCCGUUAUGCCGAAUGGAUCUCCAACAUUGUACCAGUAUAUAAGAAGAACGGAAAGUUACGCGUAUGCGUCGAUUUCAGGAACCUCAAUCAGGCCACACCAAUGGACGGAUACCCCAUGCCGACGGCUGAUGUACUGAUAGAUGCCGCCGCGGGACACAAGGUUAUUAGUUUCAUGGAUGGAAACGCUGGGUACAAUCAGAUACUUAUGGCCGAAGAAGACAUAUCUAAAACGGCCUUCAGAUGCCCGGGUCACCUUGGUUUAUUCGAGUGGGUGGUAAUGACUUUCGGCUUGAAAAAUGUCGGCGCUACGUAUCAGAGAGUCAUGAACUACAUAUUCCACAAACUUAUCGGCAUACUAGUAGAAAUCUACAUCGACGACGUCGUAGUCAAGUCAAAAGGACACCAGGAGCAUCUGGCCGAUUUACGACAGGUGUUGGAAUGCACUAAGAAACAUGGGCUGAAGAUGAACCCGAAUAAGUGUGCCUUCGGCGUAUCCGCCGGACAAUUCUUAGGAUUCAUGGUGCACGAGCGGGGAAUAGAAAUCAAUCAGAAGACUAUAGCGGCCAUCAACAAAAUUGUGGCCCCGCAGAAUAAAACUGAGCUGCAAUCUCUAAUCGACAAGAUGAAUUUCAUCAGGAGGUUCAUAUCUAAUUUGUCUGGGCGAAUCCAAGCCUUCACACCAUUAUUAAAGUUGAAGCCCGACCAGGAGUUCGUAUGGGGGGAAGAGCAACGCAAGGCAUUGGAAGAUAUCAAGCAGUACUUGGUCUCACCACCGGUAUUGGUCCCUCCUCAAACUGGUAAGCCGUUUAAACUAUAUUUAUCAGCCGAUGAACGAGCUAUUGGGUCGGCUCUGGUCCAGGAGUUCGAGGGAAAGGAACGAGUAAUUUAUUAUGUCAGUAGAAGACUUCUGGACGCCGAAACAAGGUAUCCUCCAGUGGAGCGGUUGUGCCUAUGCCUUUACUUCUCAUGUACCAAACUCAGGCACUAUUUGCUAUCAGCGGAAUGUGUGGUCGUAUGCAAGGACGACGUGGUAAAAUACAUGCUGUCACUGCCGAUUUUGAAAGGAUGGAUCGAAAAAUGGAUCUUGGCUUUGUCGGAGUUUGACCUUCGAUAUGAAUCGGCAAAAGCCGUUAAGGGUCAGGUCAUGGCCGAUUUCGUUGCCCAGCACUGCGGGCCAGAGGCUACCUUCGUAGAACCAGUACCUUGGACCUUAUACUUUGAUGGAUCGUCAUGUGGGGCCGGAUCAGGAAUCGGCAUCGUCCUCAUAUCGCCUCGGGGGGCAAGCUAUGAUUUCUCUCUACCGAUAGAAGCAUCCACCACUAACAAUCAAGCAGAGUACUGAGCUGUACUGAAGGGAUUACAAUUGCUAAGGGAAGUCAAAGCUGAUUCCGUCGAAAUUUUUGGGGAUUCCAUGCUUAUCGUGGAUCAGUUAACAGGGAAAUCCGAGUGCAAGGACGAUGUAUUGAGGAUUUAUUACGAAGAUUGCCUCCUGCUUCUGAAAGAAUUCAAGUCGGCAGUUAUCGAGCACAUCCCAAGGAAUCACAACGAGGAUGCCAACAAGCUCGCCCAACACGCAUCUGGGUAUCGGCCGAUUCAAGGCGCCUUGGCUCUAGAGCUCGCGGCCAAUGACUGGCGAAAGGAGAUUGCCGAUUACCUGAAAGAUCCGUCUAAGAAAGUGGAUCGGCGGGUAUGUUUUCAUGCUACCAAAUAUGUGCUACUGGAAGACGACUUGUUCUACCGAACAAUUGAUGGCGUCCUACUCAAGUGUCUAGGAACGGAGGAGGCUAAGACUCUGAUGGGAGAAAUCCAUGAAGGAGUGUGUGGAGCCCACCAAUCGGCACAUAAGAUGAAAUGGAUGAUUAGGAAUAAUGGGUAUUACUGGCCGACGAUCCUCGAAGAUUGCUUCAAAUAUUAUAAAGGAUGUCAGGAUUGUCAGAAAUUCGGGAAUGUCCAACGUGCGCCCGCAUCGGCCAUGAAUCCCAUUAUCAAACCAUGGCCGUUCAGAGGUUGGGGGAUAGACCUCAUCGGCCAAAUUUAUCCUCCGUCAAGCAAAGGGCACAAGUUCAUUCUGGUGGCCACUGAUUAUUUCACCAAGUGGGUGGAGGCAAUUCCGUUAAGGGCCGUGACAUCGGCUGCUAUGGUUGACUUCGUAAGAGACCAUAUCGUCUACCGUUUCGGCAUCCCCCAGACUAUCACGACCGAUCAAGGGACAAUGUUUACAUCAGGAGAAUUCGAGGAGUUCACAGCCGACAUGGGAAUCAAAUUAUUAAACUCCUCUCCGUAUUAUGCCCAAGCUAAUGGCCAGGUCGAAUCUUCCAACAAGGGGAUAAUUAAGUUAAUCAAGAGGAAGAUAGAGGAGCAGCCGAAAAAGUGGCAUCUAUGUCUGACUGAAGCUCUAUGGGCAUACAGGAUGGCUUGCCAUGGGGCCACUAAGAUGUCCCCUUAUCAGUUGGUGUACGGUCACGAGGCAGUACUACCAUGGGAGUUGAGGGCAGGAUCGAGACGCACUUCGCUCCAGGACCAGUUAGCGGCCGACGACUACUCCUCACUCAUGAAAAGGGAACUUGAUGACUUGGCUGGCCAACGAUUGAGAGCUUUGAUAAGCAUCAAAGAAAACAAGAAGAAAGUGGCCAGGUGGUAUGAUAAGAAAGUCAAAGUCAAACAAUUCUCUCCGGGGGACCUGGUAUGGAAGUUAGUGUUGCCGAUCGGGUCGAAAGAUCCUAAAUUCGGUAAGUGGUCCCCUACGUGGGAAGAGCCGUAUAAAAUCGGCAGAUGUGCUCCAGGAAACGCUUAUAUUCUGGAAACAAUCGAAGGAGAGAAGAGUUUACUAGGGCUUUGAACGGAAGAUACUUGAAAAGGUACUACCCUAGUAUAUGGGUCGGAGCAUAAGGAUCGACCAUGAUGAACAACACACAGCCAAUACAAAAGGAUUCGUCUAGAGAAAAAAACGUAAUCGUCCAAAUCGGCCGAUGUAUUUCAUUCGGUACGGACGGUGGGUUACACGGCCGACAAGGUACAAGUUGCCCUUAGAACAAAAAAAAAUUAAUCACGCUUUUUCUUAAGCUCUCUCUCAGCCCGACCUAGUUCUAUCAGAAGACGGAUGUACUCUUCUUUUAUCUCUUUCAUCGAAGCCUCCGCUUCGACUUGACGGGGGAGAGGGUGACUCCGGUCCAUGGCCGGGCGUGAUGUUCCUACUGCUGCAUCUUCAAGGACGAUUUGAUGAGGAAGCGGAUGACUUCUGUCGGCUUGAGGUCGCCGGUGGUCGUUGCUGUCCAGAAAGUCCCAGAUCCAUCGGAUGUCGGCAGGGACGUGCUCUUGGAGUUCGUCGCGAUGAGCUCUGAUUAAAUCCUUAUCUUCUUGCGACAACGGUUCAUCGGAGUGUACAAGUCCGAUGGCUCGUUCGAGUUCGGGGCUAAGGCGCCGUGGCUGCGGAAAGCAACAAUAUACAUAUAGCUGCCGAAAAGGUGAUUCCCUUCAGAAGAGCUAAACUAAGAAAGAGAAUGAAGGCAAAUCUUUUACCUGAUUAACGGAGGAAGAGGUAGAGGAUGGAGAAGACAUGACUGAAAGGCGCACCGACGUGAACAGGUCGAGGAAGAUGAAGCCGAGUUAGAAAGGUACUCUCGGAACGGUCACCUAGGCCGGUGUUUAUAGGAAAGGAAGGCAUGGAUGUUUGGUAAGACGCGUCCCAUCGGGAGUGUGAAAGGUAAUAAAUAAGGGGGCGUCGCGAAGGACGGUCAAAGGGAUCAUUAAAUGUUCGUACAAGAACUGCCAGCACUUUUACAGGUCACCCAGAAGGGCAUCGAUAGCUGCGAUCGCUCGACGCCGGAUCUGAUCGGCAGAGUCCAGGACCCGUUGGUCAUCCUCUGCCGAUCCGGGGACUUCUAACAUAUGGCGGUGGAGUUUGAGGGCCUCGUGAGCCAGAUGCUGCCUCUCUCGUUUCAGAUCGGCAAUGACAGAAGGGAGUUCCUGAAGCCUCUUCUCUUCGGCGUCUAUUGCUUUGGUCACCUGCUCCAUCUCCUUGGCAAGCUCUGCCCUUCGGCGUUUGAGGCGAUCUAUCGUGCCGACGAUCCCCGGGCGAGAGUCUUCCAGAAAGUGAAUCCGUUGAUGCACCUCUUGAGCUUGACGCUUGUACGUGUCUUCUUCUUCACGAGUUUUGGUCAACUUGACGCGAUCGGCCAUGUGGCGCAGGGCCCUAAAGACUGGAAUCCUCAUUGACUCGAUAUAUGCAGCUGGCGCCAAGGCCUCUUCCGCUUCUUCUGGUACUCGCCCGCUGACGUCACCAAAAAGUUGUUGAAUCAGCGAAGCGUCUUCUACCAAUCGGCCGAUGUCCUCUUGAAGAAGGGAUCGGAUGCUUGCGAGUUUGGCACGGACGUCAUCAGGAACGGAGCUCAAAGUGACCUGGCGAGAGGCGACUUCCUCAUCAUCGGAGAGUGCGACCGCAAACGAGAAAAGGCUGUUGUUGGGGGUGUCCUGUUCCUGAAAAAUAGUGAGUCAAGAAGAAGAACAAAUCAGCCGAUGAUGAUAGCAAAUCGGCUGAGUAAGGGUGAGAAAUCUCUUACCUCCUUGAAACGGAUUUCUUCAAACUGCGUUUGGGAGGCUGUUAUCCUCGAUUCAGGGGCUGGUACCAUUGGUUCGUCAGAAGCUGAAGACUCCACCAUGAUUGGUGCUUUGCUCGGGCCAGCUUCCCGAAAGAUGACCAUUGGUUGGUUAGGUGGGGCGCUAAGCGUACCGGUGACCUGUGUCAAAAGAUUGAAUAAGAAUAUUAUCCAAAUACUAGAAAAAUCGGUUGAAGAGUAGUAUACCUCGGCAGACGGAAGCGUGGGCGUGUUGAUGACCGAUUGGGUUGCUGCCGAUUGUUGUGAGUCCACAGAAGUGAUUUGUGUAGUCUAAAAUAAGAUGAGUCAGUAUAGAGAUGGCAAUCGGUAGGAUCAAACAACAAGUUUACCUGCAUGGCCUCCACCAGUAAUGAUGCAGCGGCCGCCCCAGCUUGCGUGACGACUUGAGUAUCUACUUCUCCAGCAGCUGGAAGGGGCAAUGUGGCCGAAGUUUCUGCCGAUGUGAUCGUAGGAGGGUCGGCCGGUUCUGUACGAGCUCGCACUCGGCGACUGGUCUUCUUGGUAACCUUCUUCUGCGCCUGCUUCGAUCGGCCGGCAAUCACAUCCACGGAAGGGGCAUCGUAGCCGAUAAGGGGGAAGAUGGUGUAUAGGUGAUGGUCCUCUAUCGGCCGGCCACUCCGACUGUGUGUUGGGGGAACGCAGUUUUCAGACUGAAGCAACAGCAAGAUGUUAGUGUACAUAUUUAACCGCAUUAAUAAAGGAAUGAAAAUCAGUUAGGGAAAAAAAAUACCUCGGUGUUCGGAUCGAUGUUGGCUGGAUCCAGGAGGUUGCAGUAUGUCGAUGCGGAGGCACAGAAUAGGUACUGUUUUCAUUCGGCCCACCAUAGCUUGAAUGGUUGGACAACAAAGGGGGCUACUAUCCAGUCAUUCAAGUCUAUGGUACUGGAGUCUGGUAUCCGGUCUCGCAGCCGACUAUAGUCAAGACCCUUGGUGAGCUCAUCUCUGAACUUUGCUCGGCCGACGAAGUAUGCCUGAAUCGGCAGUUGACCCAUGCCGAAUUGCCGAGCUGCAACGGAGGGAUUGUAGAAUUCAUAUGUAGGGGCAUCCUUUCCUGAGAAGAAGUUGGCCGGUAAGAUCCCCGGUUUAAUUAGUUCAUCUGUGAGAUCUUCGUCGAAUCAGCCGGUGGUUGAGUCGAAGCAAGAAGGGAGUUCAAAGAUUGGGUCAUCUCUCCAAUAAGGAAACCAGACGGUUGCAUCUUCAUUGAAGCCGUUAUAAAAACACUGGAAGUAUUCGGCCACCUUGGUAGCAGAGUACGAGCAACCAGAGAAGGCCGAUGCCGCUUCGCCGAAAGACAUACACCGGCGUCGGACAGUGAGAUUCUCUGCCGAUUCGACGCUGGGGAAUGUCAUGUGUUCCACUCGCUGCUGAGAGAUCUCGCUCAUGUACAAGUUCAGCCAUAAGUUAAUGAACCACCAGGGUCCACCUGGGUUUCCAAUUGGCUACCCUUGGGAUAGCUUGAUGCCGAUUUGGUGAAGCAUGUGGUAGGCUGCUCCCAGUAAGUGCUUUCCAAGAGGAACAGAAGUCCCUAUUGAUAAUGCUUCGGCCAGAGCUUGGGUAUUGGUAGAUGGACCAGCUGCUCUCCCACAGAAGAAGUGCUUCUCUAGCCACAUCAUCAGGAAGGCCGUGUGCUCUCUGUUGUCGACAGAUCCGGCCCUUUUGUUGCAUCUGAUGAAACCUUUCCACCUGCCGAUUCCCCUUGUGUCCAGCCGAUGUGAUGUUGCGGUUAUAAGGCGGAAAGGGGUGUCCGGGGAAGAAAUAUCCAGGCCGGUCAGGAAGACUACAUCGGCCAAUGUGGGGGUCAUGGGUCCGUGUCCAAACAGGAAUGCGUUGAGAGCAUUGGACCAGAAGUAAGAAGCUGCCACCACUAAUGGCUCAUUCCGUUCCAUUUGGGACAAAGAUAGAUCGAUGCAUUGGCCAAUUUUGAGCUCGUCCCAUUGGACCUUCUUGGAAGCGGUUAUCCGCUGGUACCAUUCCCUCCAACUGGGAGUUUCGUUCGGCCAAGACCUAAAGGUACUCAACCAGUGAUCUAGGUCCAUAGUUGAUUGUUUGAAGGGGAUCCUAUGGGUUUUCCAAAUUGAUUAAGUCGGUUGGAUCUGGAUUUCCCAUGGGUCCAAGACAGAUAAGGCCGAGGUUUUCUGUGAGACGAAUGGUGAUGCGAUGCCUAACCGCCUAAAAAGGAAAAGGGGGUGCGAGGGUAAGAAAUAGAUCUAAAGUACAUGCAUUACUAAUAAGGGAAAGUUUCGGUAAUGACCUCCGGGAUGAAGCUCCUCGUAAUCGGCGGAGUCGCCGGUGCAGCUGCAGACGAUGAAGCUGCCAAUGGGAUCUCGGAUGAAGCUUCAACUUUCGCCAAUGGAGCUCCUUCUUCCGUCGAUGGAGCCGUCGUUAUCGCUACUGGAACCUCCGCCGAAGGCACCAUUUCUGGAGCUUCGCGCAUUGGUGAGGUGCCUGAAGGUGCCGCCAUUGGAAAAGUAGGAGGCAAUGCGAAAGGAAGGAGGCGCUGGAGAAUUGGUGGACUAAGGAAAGUGUUGGAGGAAGAAGAAAGCCUGUGCACUGAAGAAGAUGGACAUGAGCUCGUAAGGAGUACGGGAUGUGCUGAUAUUUAAAGAACGUCUGAGAAGGGGUAAAAGUGGAAUUUUUACCGCGCUGGCGUUUUGAGUUUUUCGGGAGUAGUGGUUGUCGUGGGCACCCGUUUCGAAAAGAUUGCAAUCAUCAGGUUGGAGACCGCGAAAUGGAAGGAUGUUUUCAUUGCGUCUGUUUCGGAUGAGAAGUUGAAAAGAAUUUUGAAGUAAAGACUAUGUUUUACUCCGAAACUGGGAGGCAUGUGUUGACGCCAGAUUUUGACACGAGUAAAAUCGGCGUUAGAAAUGGAAUAAAUUAGGAGAUGCGGCGAGAUACAAGGGCGACGAUUGGAAAUCGGCCGAUUGGUGCUACAGUCAAGGAUCGGUUGGUUGGUGCUGCAGUCAAGGAUCGGCCAAUUGAUGCUACAGAUGAGGAUCGACCGAUUGAUCCUUGGAGUUCCGCCUCGCCCAACCCCUGGUUUGGGAUCGGACGCGCCCGACCCUCCAAGGGAGGAUCUCCGCCUCGCCCGACCCCUGGUUUGGGAUCGGACGCGCCCGACCCUCCAAGGGAGGAUCUCCGCCUCGCCCGACCCCUGAGGUUUGGGAUCGGACGCGCCCGACCCUCCAAAGGAGGAUCUCCGCCUCGUCCGACCUUAGUUCCCAGGGUCGAAAUGAGUCUGAGCCCUCGAUAUGUGGGUCCUGAUCGGUUACCCCCUUGCCAAAGAGGUGAUCGGCCGAUUAGGAGGUUGGAAUAGUUGGGCCGAUGUGGGCUCAAGAAGGAUUAUGAAGAUGAAGAGGGGGUCAGCCCAUGAAGCGCGUGAAAAUAGUACGAAUCGUACUUGUAAAUAUUCGUUUUCUGUUUAAAUUUAGGGAUAGAGUUCUAGUCGGAUAAGAAGUCGUUCGUACGGGGCUAUAAAUAGCCACCGUUGUAGAUCUGUAAUCAUCAUCAACUCAAUACAACAAACUACUAUUUCCUCGUACUUACUUUCAAGCAGGCGACUUUACCAACACUUUUUCUCCUUUUUCACGAGUUCAUACGGGUUGGCGGGGCUGCAUCAACUUGACCUCCGGCCGAUCUUGUAAGUUCCGUUUAUCGACUAAAUUCUAAGCUUUAACUUCGGGCGCAUCGCUGUCGUUUCGUUUAGAUUUAUUCAUCAGUUAUCGAUAUUUACUAGAAUUCUAGGUUUUACCUGUUGUUCUAGUUUUAUCACCAAUUAUCCAGCUAGGAAUCGGUAAAUUCGGCUUUCUUUAUACUUCUCUGUCUAAUCUAUUUAUUUUAGCCGAUUAGAUCUGUUCCUAGUGUUGCUACUGUAGCGUUGUUUAGAUUACUCUAGCAGUUUUCUUUAUAAACGUUACCUGGUAAUCGGUUGCACUAUAGCCGAUUUCCUUAUUACGGCAAAUCGGCCGAUUCGCUGAUAAGCUUUCUUGAGACCGGAACCUUAGCCGAUCGCAACCUCUGGGAACUGACAUGUUUAUUUCCUUGCCAAUCAACAGGUCAGAUUGGCUGGCACGCCGCGCGAACCGCACCAGGGCAAUCACCCGAACAGGAGUUAAGCAGAUUCUCCCGGGUCGUGUGUCCGACGCUGGAAAUUCGGUCAGCUGAUUUCUAGCGCCAACAGGCUCAUUUAUGUCGCCUGACACGCGAAUAUGCACUUUAACCAAGUCAACCUGGUCGACCGUCGGAUUUCAUCCGAUGAACCACUUACACAGGAUCAAGAAGCAUCGCUCAAACGAAGGUGAGUAGCACAGAGGUUACAACAUUCCAUUAUGACAACUUAGUUCCACAAUUUAUUACAUCAGAGUUUCAGAAAUUCAAACAAGUUGCAAGGUUCGAAAAGUCGGAUAAAACAAGCGAAAACUAAACGUCGAUACAGGAUAUCAUGACGAAGUUGAUCAUGACAUCAAAAAUCCCUACCCUCACCGUCCGAGGAGGGAUCCCACUCGAUUGUCCAGCCCGGAGGGAGCUGGGUAGGCCAAGUGGUGCCAGCAACCAAACUAUUGACAUGACCUGAAAAGAUUAAGCCAUAACAAGGCUGAGCAACUAAUACUCAGCAAGACUGACCCGUCGAGUGAAAAGCUUUACCAAGACCUAGACAUGCAAGGCUUUCUGGCUCUGGGAUUACUUUGCCAAAAGCAUCUACAGUCGGUCCUUACUUUCAAUAUUUUAGCUUAAGUUCUACGUUCUUUAACCAGUCUAGAUUAGCAACUUAUACUAAACAAGCAUAAUUUCCAAGUAGUUAAAUAACAAGCAUCAACUUAAUCUCAUAAUCAUGUUUCAUCGUUACUCAGUGCAGAAUAGCGAUCAAGUAGUCCCAAACUGUGAGAGACAGAUGAAUCGAUUCGAAUUUAUUAACCAUGCAUGGCGAACCUAAUCUCACGACAUCCGCGCACCACGAAGGGUCGCUUCAUUUGUCAGCCGUCCCCAUCGAUCCCUUAGGCACGUGUCAGGGCCAAACUGCCUUUGGCGUGCAAUGCUCCACAGUCCCGACCUCUGUCGUACUGUGACCGCCACUGCACCCACAUGAUGCACCAUGGGAACGACGUUCCAAGGACAGCAGGAGUAUAAGCCACGUCCCAGUUCAGUCAGGUACUAGGCUUCCCCAUCCCAGACUAGGUAUGAGAUUAGUACUUUCAAACACUUGAUCACGAACGCUGACACGUUUCAACCUUAGAUCAAUUUCCUUUAGACAGACGGGGAAAACCACCAAGUAUCGAACAUAAGCCCGACCCCGUCCGUCAUCCUUAUAGUUGCAACAUAAAUAAACAUUCAACUCCUAUAACUCGCGAGUGAUAGGAAAUCACUCGACUUUUACUGAAACCUAAUAAGCAUUGCAACUACUCGACUUUAGCAACUAGUAUUCAAACAAGGUACUAAGUUCAUGCAUCUACGGUUUCAAUCAACUCCUACACACGUAAAUGCGCAAACAUAAACAUCAACAUGUUGCAUAAAGUAAAACAGGGAAGUCAUGCACCGGGGCUUGCCGUCAGGAAGAGUUAGCGGGUCCUCGGGGUCUUGAUCCGGCUCAGGCUCGCCUUCCAAGUGGUGAAGCUCCGCAGCGGGGUCUUCCUCCGGUGUCGGGUGGAGCUCGUAGGUUCCAUCGGCGAGAUUUGCUUCUAUACGACAUGCAUAUGCAAAAGUUUAGUUGGACUCACGCGUUUAUUCAACGACACAAGGCUUGGCUUAAGACAAGGAGUUGCAACAGCCACAUUCACUUUGACGAGGUUCAACUUUCAUGCAACUUCAAACGAAUGUGGUCGGUUUAAACUUGAGUUCGAGUUGAAUGGCGAUUGUGUACAUAUAUAGUUUUCUUACACUUAGAGUUGCAUAAAGAGAAUGAAAGGUCGUGUUUGGGUGGUUUGGGUGCAUUAGGAUAGUUACUUACUUCUGAAUGUUUUUAUGUACCUCUUUCAAUUUCCACUUAUUUAUCGUAUUAGAAUUUGUGCUUUCCUUUUAUUCCUUUAGGUUGAUUAAUUAACCAAAAUGACUUCAUAUCCAAACAGCAGCUAAAGGCACUGAUAAAAUUACAACACCUCACUUAAGCCAUAGCUGGGUUACUCUAAAAUUUUGGGGGCCAUUGGAUGACUUAAAAAGGAAUUACAUGCAUUUUAUUAUUAAAGGUAAAAUGAGCUUAACUUUUUCUAUCUUCAAAGUUACUAUGCAACAGAGGGUGAAACUUAACCAGUGUGUUAAGGGUAUGUUACAGGAUCUUUGGCGAAUUUUUCAUAAUUUUUGAAGAAGGUUAACUAUUUACUCUAUUUCCUUUUUAAUUAAACAUGCUUAGCAAGGAAGGUGUUUUUUCUUUCCGAAUUGCACAACAAUUUACAUUUUUCCUGCAAACUUCACAGCAAAACAAAAUUAACCCAACUAGUUUCACAUUUUUUUGAGCUCUGGAUCAAAACGUAUGCAAAAAGGAAGAAUUAAUCUUAGAUUCCCAAAUUAAAGUCAAAACAAUGACUUAAAGUGCUAGACCAGAGCCCUAACCAUUUUUCUGAGCUUCUACACAUAGAAACAAGCAUCACAGAGUUGGUUUUACAUUUUUCCCACUUUUCUUCUAUUUAAUAGGAUUAAAAAGGCCUAAACCAUGAUUAAAAGCAUAUGAUAUUAUUUACAACAGUAACAUGAGCAAACUUAUUUUUCUUAGGAACUAGAUAGAGCAAGGAUUCCAACAAAAGUGGUUUGGUAUUUUUAUGAUUUUUCUACGAUUUACUGGGCAUUUACAAAGUUCAACCAUAUUUCUACCUAUUAUUUAAAAGAAAAGCCGUGGCAAACUUGCAGGUUAGCCCCUGGGUCUAUGGGUUAACUACGCAGAGGUCCCUGAGUUUUGCGCCCAGGCCCCUGGAAAGAAUGGGGAUGAUGCAAUGUAGUCCCCAGGGCGCGCGCGGCGGCGGCGAGGAAAUCCCCGGCGGUUCGUCGGCGGGGAUGGGGCAACAAGUGGUCGGAGGGGUGCGGGGGCUCACCUGAGCUCGGUUUGGUGGGGUUGGGGCGACGGAGAUGGUCGGUAGGGAUCAAAACACGGCGGCGGCGACAGAGCUUGGCUGGUGGCGGUGCAGGCGUCGUUCCGGCGCACUGGCGGCGUCGGGGAGGCCACGGGCUGCUCGGAGACGUGCGCGGAGGGGGGGCGAAGUGGGCGGCGAAGUUGCCGGAGUACGGGGUGGCGCGGAGGGGUGAGCUCCACGGGAGCUUAGCGGCGGCGCUGAGAAGGAAGCAGAGGCGUGGUUGCGAGCGGUGGCAAAGGGUGGCAUUGCCGGUGAGGGGGACCCUUUUAUAGGGCAGCGGUGGAGCGGAGGGUCGAGGUGGGGCUCCGGUGGAGGAAGGAUAAGGCCGGGAGCGGUGCGUGCGCGAGCGAGGCGGCCAUUGGCCAGCGGUGCCAUUGGGCAGGGGAGGCGGAGCUCCGGGUGGUCUCUGGCCGCGAUUGGCCUCGAGCGAUGCGUGUCUGAGGCCUCCGGUCUGUCGGCGGGCGAAGCGGAGGGCCACCGCGGGGGUUGGGCGAGCGGGCGGAGGCGCGGGACGUCGUUGGCGUGGUGGCUUCUCCAGCGGGUGGGCGAAGCGCGGUUGGGCAGAGCAGAGCCGCGGCAGAGGGAAGGGCACGCGCGCGGCCGACGGUUGGCCAGCCCGGCGUUCGCCCCGUCUUGUCGCAGGCGCGGGUUGGGCGCCGUGGCUCUCACCUUAUCGUUGUCUCGCCGGGGAUAGGGCGCCGGUGAGCUGCCGGUGGCCAGCGGCCACGAGGCACGCGGUGCGCGGGCGAACAUGCCCUGGCGCGCGGGCGUUGAGGCCCCUUCGGGCAGUAAGCCCGACCAGCUUUGAGAGAUCCUAUCUCAAGAUUUUGCAACACAACUUCCAAAACUCUUCUAAACAAACUUGUUCAACUCUGGACGUAGUUCAAACUUGGUUUAAGGUGCUGGUUUAGAUUGUGAAAGGAUUUGGAGAUAUCUCAUGCCAAAGUUUGCCAAAAAUAUGGAAAUCCAGACUUAGCCAAUUUUGGCCGGAGAGGUGGAAUUUCAGGAACUUAGCUAUGUUUGAGUCAACUUUAGGGCAGCUUCCAAGUUGAAUUAGACAGAAGUGUUAAUAGAGGAGUUGCUCUCCAAACUGAGGACUUCAACUUCUAUUUAGGGUAUUUCUGGAGUUUAGUUCAGAAAUUUGGAGGAACGCCCUCGCCAAGAGGUGCACUCUGAGCAGUUUUCCAGACUUAGCGUUGUGGUGCUCAGGGGCUGAGUUGACUGCUUUGCUCAACUUUGACCAAGAUUUUGAACAGGUUCUGGUUCGAUUUGGACCUGGGUCAUUGUAACAAACUUGGAAAACACUUGAGGUAUUACAACCUUUAUUAAGAGCCUGACUUGAGUUUAGAUAUGAAAUCGUGAGAUAAAGGCUUGCAAAGUUGGAGGAAAACUUGAAUUCCACGACUUGGAGGUUUAUAGGGUUCUUUAUUAUUCCGGUUUUGAUUCCUGUUUUUGACUUCCUCCCACUCCGAAUUAGCCAAAGUGACUUUAACAAAUAUUGUUUGAAAUUAAAAGUGUUACAACUCUUAUUUGGGCAAAAUUUUAAGUUUGUAUAUAAAAUCUCAAGUUUUAUUUUAAACUCCAUAAAGAGCUUCUUAGGGUUAAAAUGGUCAUUUCACUUCCUUUACUUAGUGAUUAACCACUGGUUUAUAUUUAAAGCACUUAAUUUAGGUAGAGUUGUUACAAGUAUCCACUCACUACUUUACCAAAUGGGUGCAGGCAGUCCCUCUGAAGACCGUGACGUUGGCCGUCAUGAUUGAAUUCAUAAGCGAGCACAUUAUCUAUUGGUUUGGUAUUCCUCAGACUGUUACGACCGAUCAGAGAACAAUGUUUACUUCAGGAGAGUUUGAGGAGUUCACUUCCGAUAUGGAAAUUAAGUUGUUAAAUUCUUCUCCAUAUUACGUUCAAGCUAAUGGUCAGACCGAAUCGUCCAAUAAAGGGAUAAUCAAGUGUAUCAAGAGGAAGGUAGAGGAGCAACCAAAGAGAUGGCACAUGACUUUAAGCGAGUCUUUGUGGGCCUACAGGAUGGCCUGCCACGGCGCUACUAAGGUGUCUCCUUAUCAAUUAGUGUAUGGAUAUGAGGCGGUGCUCCCUUAGGAAUUGAGGAUGGGGUCUAGACGCACGUCGAUUCAAGAUUAGUUGACAGCCGACGAUUAUUCUCUCCUUAUGAAAGGGGAGCUUGAGGAUUUGGUGGGUCAACGAUUGAGGGCCUUGAUCAGUAUUGAAGAGAAUAAGAAAAGACUUGCCAAGUGGUAUGACAAGAAGGUCAAGGUCAAGCAGUUCUCGCAAGGGGAUUUGGUAUGGAAAUUGGUAUUGCCGAUAGGGUCUAACCAUCCCAAAUACGGCUAGUGGUCGCCUACUUGGGAAGGGUCGUAUAAAUCGAUCGAUAUGUGCCAGGAAAUGCAUACGUAUUAGAGACCAUCGAGGGAGAGGAAUUUACAAGAGCCUUAAAUGGGAGAUAUUUGAAAAGAUACUAUCCCAGCAUAUGAGUGGACGCGUAGCCGAUGAUAUAGUGUAUCGAGUCGUUAUGGCCGAUUCCUAUUGACUCGUGUUUAUAUAGCCGAUGCAGGGAGGCAUCGCCUUGAGGACGAAACCUCUAAUCAAAUUGGCCGAUUAUUAUUCGGUACGGUGAUUGGAUACAUGGCCAACAUGGUACAAGUCGCCCUUAGACCAAAAGUACCAAUACAUCUAUCGGGUUACAAUAUGAUUAACUGCAUUUCAACUGGGCUUUGUUUUUAUUGAUCUCUCUUUGGACCCGGCCUAGUUCUAUUAAGAGACGGGUGCUCUUUUCCUCCCUAUCCGCCAUGGCAUCUUUGAGAGCGACCUGGCAGGGUAGCUGAUGACUCCUCUCAAUUGGCGGCUGAGGUGGCUCCCUGGAGCUGUUGGCUUCGAUGUGAUCCACGAUCUUCUUAAUGUGGGUCGGAAGAUGGUCUUUAAGCUCCUCACGGUGGGCUUUGAUCAGGUCUUGGUCCACCUGCAUCAGUGGUUCCUCAGAGUGCAUAAUUUCGAUAACUCGCUCAAGAUCAGGGCUGAGCCGGGUCGGCUGGACAAACAGCGGGCAAUCAGUUGUCGAAAAGAAUUGGUCAAGGAGCGCAAGGCUGAUCUCAUACCUCAUUGACGGGGGAAGAAGAAGACAUCUUGGCGCCCGGUUAGGGAUCUGAAAAUGGUCGAGCAGAGUGUAGAAGGAUGGAUGAGAUACGAGUGCCUCUGGGAGGAAUGUAGGGACCCCAUAUUUAUAGGAGAAAAGGUAAGGGGCAACGGUUGGCAAAGGCAUCUAUUCAAAGCAGAUGAAUGUUGAGCUAAAAGCUGCGAAGAGGAAACGUUCAAGUCCGUAUUCACACAAUGAUGGCAAAAGGGGCAUUAAAUGUUUGUGCAGAGGUGUUCAAAAGAUAAUUCAAUGUUUUGAUACAUUCAUUCAAGAAGAAUAUUAAUGGCCGCGAUUGCCUACUGGCGGAUCUGAUCCGCUGAAUCUAGAACUCGUUGGACAUCUUCGGCUGAUCCAAGAAUUUCUAGCAUGUUGCGAUGAAGCCGGAUGGCCUCAUGCGCAAGGGUUUGCCUCUCCUGCUUCAGAUCAGCGAUGACGGUCGUGAGAUCAUGAAGAUUAUUCUUUUUGGCGGUUAUAGCCUUUGUCACCUACUCCAUCUCCUUGGCAAUCUCUGCCCUAUGCUAUUUGAGACGGUCUAUUGUGCCGACGAUGUCUGGGCGAGAAUUUUCGAGUACGCCGAUUCGGUGAUGUACCUCUUGAGCUCGGUGUUUGUAGGAAUCCUUCUCUUCACAUGGCUUUGCCAGCUUGGCAUGAACGGCCAUGUGCCGCAGGGCUCUGAACACCGGGAUUUGCAUUGACUCGAUGUAUGUAGGAGGUGCAAGAGCUUUUUCUACAUCCUUCAGGACUCGGCCUUUUAUUUCGCUGAAGAUUUGCCAAAUCGGCGAAGCGUCUUCCACCAAUCGGCCGAUGUCAUCUUGAAGAAGUGCUCGGAUUCUCUGGAGCUUUGCACGUACUUCUUCCGAAAUUGAACCUGGAGCCACUUGUCGAGAGGCUACCUCUUCAUCAUCAGAAACAGCGAUCGCAAAUGAAAAGAGGCUGUUAUUGGGCGUAUCUUGUUCCUAUAAAAGUAAGAGAGGAAGGAACGGAUUAGCCGACAGUAGUGGGAAAUCGGUCGGAUUGGAUGUCGAAGGCCCUUACCUGUUUAAAAUGAAUUUUCUUCUGUUUGUGUUUGGGGGAUUGCUACCCUUGUCUCAGGAAUCAGCAUGGUUGGCUCGUCAGAAGAAGAAGACUCGACGGUGAUCGACGUUGUGUUUGGACCGGCUUCCUGAAAGUAACAAAAGGAGAGUCUCUAUAAGUAUGAAGCAAUAGUUAGAUCUAAGGAUGAGUACCAGUUACUUUACCUCUGUGAGUCGUCCGGCCGAUGACUGUUGGAAAGGUAUGAUUGAUGUACCCAGAGUGGCCUACAUUAGAAAUCGGUCAUUUUUGACUAAGGAAUAAGAGACUUGAGUAAGAUGUAUGUUCUUUACCUCAGCUGCAAGGAUUGCUGGUGGUUCGGUCUCUGCUUGGGAUGCGACCGAUUGCUGUGAGGUUUGCUCCGAAAGAAUUUGCGCAGCCUAACAAAAAGUGGAAAUUAAUACUGAUAGUAUACUUGGAGAAAUGUGAAGCAUAUAAAGUUACCUGAACAUCUUUUACCAAUAAGGAUGCAGCUGCUGAUCCGGCUUCCGUAGCGGCUUGGGGGUCGACCUCCUGGGCGAUCGGCAGAGUUGGUGUGGCUGAAGACUCGGCUGGUGGCACCGCCGAUUGAUCGGCCGGUUCUAUACGGGCGCGCACCCGGCGGCUUGUCUUCUUUGAAGAGGAUAUCUUCAUCUUCUGCUUCAAUCGGCCUGUGAUGAUAUCUUCGAUUGACGGGGACUGAAAGCCGAUGAUUGGAAAUGAAGUAUAUGGGUGGCGAUUCUCUAUCGGCCUGCCACUACAGUUGUGCGUUGGAGAGAGUUGGCUUUCAGACGACAAGAAAUGAGGGAAAUCAGUGGUAAUACUGUAAGAGUACGGUGUCAAAUCGGCCAGAAGGAUUGGUACCUCUGCAUUCGGAUCAAUGUUAGCGGGGUCCAGAUCAUUACAAUAUGUUGUAGGAGAUGUGCAGAAGAGGUGUUGUUUCCACUCACCCCACCAUAGCUUGAAUUGUUGGACAGCGAAGGGGGCCACAACCCAGUUGGCCAAUUCGAUGGUACUGGAAUCCGGCGUCAAGCUGCACAGCUGAUUGUAUUCAAGACCUUUAGAGAGCUCCUCCCGACACUUAACGCGGCCGGCAAAAUAAAUCUUAAUCGGCAUUUGUCUGAGGCCGAAUUGCCGCGCUGCCACUGAUGGGUUGUAGAAUUCAUAGGUUGGGGAGUCUUUUCCUGAGAAGAAGUUUGCUGGUAGGAUCCCAGGCUUGAUCAAAGUAUCCAUAAGCUCAUUAUCGAAGUAAUUGAUGGUUGAAUUGAAGCAGUCGGGGUUUUCAAAGAGUGGCUCAAUUCUCUGAUAUGGGUACCAGCUUGUAGUUUCUUCAUUGAAGCCGAUAUAGAAGCAUCUGAAAUACUCAGUUGUAUUUGUGGGGGUAAACUUGCUGCCAGGAGAAGCUGACGCUACCUCGCCAAGGAAGUGCAACGCCGUCUUAAUGUUGGGUUAUCCUCUGAUUCAAUAUUGGGGAAUGUCUUGGUCUCAACUCGUUCCCUGGAGAUCUUGCUCAUGUAUAAGUUGAGCCAGAUGGUGAUAAACCACCAGGGGCCACCAGAGUUCCCAAUCGGCUCUCCGGAUGACAGCUUGACUGCGAUUUGGUGCAUCAUAUGAUGAGCCAAUCCUAGCAGGUGUUUUCCUAAGGGGAUAGUAGAACCUUUUGCUAGGGCCUCGACCAGAGCCUGUGUAUUGGAGGAGGGGCCAACUGCUUUGCCACAGAAGAAGUGCUUCUCUAACCACAUCAUCAGGAAAGCUGUGUAUUCUCUAUCGCCGAUAGGACCGGUCUUCAUAUUUUUAUCAAUAUAGCAUUUCCACCUGCCGAUUCCCUUUGUUUCCAGGCGAUGGGUUGGUUUGAUCAGGAAAUUGAAGGGCAAGUCGGGGGAAGAGAUGUCAAGACCGGUCAGCAUCAGGACGUCGGCCAAAGUAGGGGUCAUGGGCCCAUGUCCAAAAAGGAAAACAUUGAGAGCGUCAGACCAGAAAUAAGAAGCUGCCAUGACCAAAGGUUCAUUCUUCUCCAUUUGAGACAGAUAUAAGUUUAUGCAUUGGCCGAUUUUUAGUUCAUCCCAAAGAACCCUCUAAGAAUUGGACAUCCUUUGAAACCACUCUUUCCAGCCAAGGGUUUCGUUCGGCCAAGAUCUAAAUGCACCUGUCCACUGGCUUAAAUCCAUUGGUGACUGCUUGAAAGGGAUCAUGUGGGUUUCCAGGUUGAUCAAUUCAGUGGGAUCUAGAUUCCCCAUGGGGCUAAGACCGACGAGGCCGGGUGCGUCAGAAACAGGGAUGGUGAUUUGCUGCCUAAGUUCCUAAAAAGGAUACAAAAGGAGAACUAAGAACAGAUCUAAAAGAUGCGUGAAUGGUGAAAAGUAAAAGUAAAAACUUUGGGAUAUUUACCUCUGGAAUGAAAGCCAUAGUCGCCUAUGGAGCCGCUAUUGGAGUAAACAGAAUAGGAUGGACGGAAGAUGAAGGAGGAAUCACCGUAGGAAUGCAGUUGGAAGAUGAAAGGGUGCCGAAAUGCGAUGGAAGAUGAUUCGCCGGGGAAAAAAGAGUUUCCCAGCUUGUGGAGAAGAAGCGGCGGAGAAUGCAAAUAUUUAAAGAUGGUUCGAGAGAAGGGUAAAGGUGGGAUUUUACCGCGCUGUCUGCACAAAUUUCGGGAAGAGCGGUUGCCUGCGAGCGCCUAGCUCGAAAAUUGUGAUCAUCAGAGAGAAGACCGCAGAACAGAAAGGAGCUUUCGCCGUGCCCGCCUCGGAGGAUGAGUUAGAGUUGAAAAAAAUUUGAAGCAAAAAGUUUCACUCUGAAACUUGGGGGCAUGUGUUGACGCCGGAUUUUGACACGUACUUGAAAUCGGCGUCAAAGAAGGAGAAAGGGGGGCCGAUGCGGCGGACUAGAAGCUACAGUUGGGAAUCGGCCGAUUGAAGCUACAGUGUUUCAGCCGAUUGGUGGAAGAAAUCGGUGGAGGCUGGCCGAUUGAGAGCCAAAGCAGUUUGGCCGGUUUGGGCCUAAGGUGGACCAGGAUGAAGAUUUGCUGAAGAGACAGGCCCGUGGGAAAAUAAUAACCAACUCGAAUAUGAGUCGUGUUUGUAACUAUUUGUUGUCGUUUGAAAUUAGAGAUAGAUUCUAGUCGGUUAUGAAAUCAGUUGCAACAGGCAAUAAUAGCUGCCUCGAGAGGCUUGUAAAAAAAUAACACACAAUCAAUAAAACAAAUUUACUCUUUCCUCGUACUUUACUUUCAAGUCGGCGACUUCGCCAAAACCUUUUUCUUUCACGAGUUCGUACGGAUUGGCAGGGCUGCAUCUACAUGAUCUCCGACCGAUUCUGUAAGUUCCGCUUAUCGAGUAAUAUCUAAGCUUUAACUUCGGGCGCAUCGCUGUUGUUUCAUUUAGAUUUAUUCACUAGUUAUCGAUAUCAACUACAGUCAUAGGUUUUACCUGUUAUUUUAGUUUUUAUCACCAAUUAUCCAGCUUGAGGUACGAGCUAUCGGCUUCUAUUAUUUUUAUCCUUUAUCAUCACAUAGCUGAUUAGAUCUACUCCAAGUGUUGCUUUUGUAGUGUUGUUUAGGUUGCUCUAGAAGUUUUCCUUACGAUUGCUACGUGAGUAUCGGCUGUCUUAUAGCCGGUCAUCUCUAUAGUAAAUCGGCCGAUUCGCUAAUACGCUCUUCAAGACAGAUCGGAACUCUAGCCGAUCGAAACCCCUAAAAUUUAAUAUUCUUCUUUCCUUUGUCAAUCAACAGGUCAGAUUGACUGGCACGCCGCGCGAACCGCACCAGGGCAAUAACCUGAACAGGAGCUAAGCAGAUUCUCCCGGGUCGUGUGUCCGACGCUGAGGGUCAUCGGCCAAUUUUCAGGGCCAACAACAGCUUUUGGGCAAAAGCAUAUAGGACUUUUAGGGGGUGUUUGGCAUGGCUCUAGAGCUGAACUCCGGUAACUCCAGCCAAUUUUCCAGCCAAACACCCUAGCUCCAAAACUCCAUGGAGCUGCAGUGCAAAUGGGAUGGAGUUUUGGCGCACCUCUUUUGUAGCUCCAAAACCACCUAAUAUGAACCUCCUCGUGGAGUUGGUGGGUAAUUAACCAUCAAUGCCACUGAUUAAAAUAAAAAUGAUUCACUUCUAUUUUCUCUCGAGACCCCUCCCCGCGCCGCCCGAGGCCUCCUGAUGCCGCUCUCCUGCGCCGCCGCCUAGCGCCGCCGACAGCUGCUGUCGCCGUCCGUGCCCCGCGUCCUGCGGGCUACCGCCUCGCCAUCCCCAUGAGCCCCCUGCACCGCCGUCAGAGCCGCCAGCCGAGCCGCUGCGGCCGGGUUUCCGCCGUCUUGCCGCCUCUUUCCUCAACUGGAGUGAGCCAUCAGCAGCAGCAGAUUCCCCUCGGCGAGCCACGCCCGUUUCGCCGGUUCCGUUGUCACCCUGCUGCCGGAGUGCCGCCGCCACCGUGAAAACCGCCCGCCCCCCGAUCUCCACCACCACGCUGACCACCUCCGUCCAUGCCCUCCGCCGGUGAGCACACCCGUAGAUUCCCCUCGACCCCCUCUUCCUCUUGCGCCACCUGCCCAAAACACCACCUCGCCGGAGCGCCAGCAAGCUAGCUGGCCAGAGCCCCGGUGAGAGGAGGAAGAAGGAACCUGGCUCUUUUGUGAUUGGGUCCUUGAGGAAAGCUAAAAUCUUUUGCUCUGUUCCUUGCUCCCGGCGAGAGGAGGAAGAAUAGUGGGCUUCUGUGGUGGAGGGCGAGAUCGAACCAGGAGUCAGAAUGUCAAUCUACCCUCAAACUCCUCUUUUCUGGAGUUGGGAACACCCUCCCAACCAAACACCUUCAUCAGACAGCAGGUUGAAAAGAGGCACAUGAGGCUCAGCCGCUUAGGCCCACGGGCAAAAAAAAAAAACUCUUACUUUAUGGCGGAGUAGUUGCUGUUCCAGUGUGCAGGUAAAUUGUCGCAAAUGCCCUCUUGUGGUCGCGUUGCAGUAGCCGAUAAGGCGUCCAAACGUGAGGUGCACACACCUGAUCUGAUCCUCUCAGUGGAAACGGGCCAGGUCCAUGCAACCCAGGACAGGAAGGCUCUAUACCUGGGCCGAACGGUAGCCCAAGAGGCCGACAGUAAGUGAGCUCACGGGUGACGAACGGCCCAGAAGCCGCCCCAAUCCGGCCACCGCCACUGAGCCGGCUCGACUAAACCGGAUCGCCACGCAGCCCGACCGCGCAGGCGUACUUCCCGAACUACCCCCGGAGAUUAUCCAAUCGGACGGCCAAGCGCCACGCACUGCCAAAGAAUUCCCCGAAAUGACCCUACUCUUCCCUUUGCCUCCCUCGCGUGCCGCCGGUUCUGCUCGACCGGACCAGCGGUUCAGGCGCCGAAUAUUCGCCCGCGGAUAUUUCUUGCCCGGUGCGUCAACUCCGCCGCUAUAAAUACCCUCAUAGGGCGGCCGCUAGGGUUUUAGUGCUUCUCUCCCGGCGGCGCCUCCACAUAUCGUCUCUCAGAUCGGGAGGCGAAACCAAGGUGACUGACCUCAUCCCCUUUCUCCUCCCUCCGUCUCUGGUUGCUAUAGCUAUUUCAUCCAUGCGCUGUCCUUAUAGCUGAUUAGUAUUUUUACUAGUGGAGUUCGAGUCGUUUUGGUUCCAUUCAGUAGUGCUUGUGUUGAUUGGAUUGAAUCGGAGGACUCGAAGUGGUUUGUGCUGCUCGAAUCGUAAGUUUGUUGGGCUAAUCUCGAUGGAAUUUAUGUCAAUUCGUUGGUUUAGUGGUCCUUGGCAGUUCUCUCUGUGAUAGGCCCGUCCGAUCUGUAGAGAUGCGGUGGAAUCCUGGUUUACUCAAAACGGUUCUAGAUUCCUCUGUUCUUCCCUUAUUUUUUGUUUCGAUUACUUAGUUUGCACGUUAGGGGCCUAUGAAGUUUAUGUGCUCGGAUCCUUUAGUGAAACUGAUCUGUUUACUCAGAUGUGCUCGGAUCCUUCAGUGAAACUGAUCUGUUUACUCAGAUCUGCUGGUAGCUAACAGGUUCAGGGUAGUUAUGUUGAUGGUCUAGUUUUGGUAGUUUCAUUGUCGAUUUCUGUCCAUUUUUGUCAUGUUCUGUCCAUAAAAAUACUAUCUGUGCUUCUUCAUAUCUUGUAAUAUGAAUUCAUUUGACAAACUAUGCAUUUCUUUUAGAGUGUUUGUCUAAAUUAAUCUUCUGGUAUAUCCCUAUGCCAGUCUGUUAAUAUGUCUGUAUUAUAGUGUUUUGUUUGAGGUGGUAAUGUACAUGGUGCACCCUGCAGUUUUUCAUGUCUAAUAUUGAAUCUCCUUGUUUGCUGUAUGUAUUAAGGAUUAGUUUCACUUCAAAUAGCUUACUGCUGAUGCUUUCUUGUUUGUUUAAUAUGCUGUGUAAUCAUGUUGACCCUGAGGUUUGUAAGAAUUCCUCUUAUUUGAUUAUUGCAUGGAUUAGUGUCCUGAAGGAUAUGGCUCCUUUGUACAAUUAAGAUAAUUCACUUUUUUUUCUCAACUUUUAUAUGCUUACUAGCCCAUUAGGUUGUGUAAACAUUAGAGUGCUUUAGCCUGGUAAAGAUGAGUUAAGCAUUUUAAAUAAAUUUUUGGAUUUGGUUGAUAUCAUCCUUAACACCUGCAUUUAAACAAUUUGUCUCUUUUGAUCCUGACUAUUACAGUGGGUGUUACUUUCUUUAGUCAUUCUGUGGUAUCAAAGUUUCUGGUGUAGUUGUGUAAUUAUGGUUUUGGUUGGAUUCUUACUAGUAUUUUCUACCUUUAAACAGCAGGAAAUUAUAUACAUAUUUGUAGUGUGAUCUUCAUAAGAAGUCAAGAUGGUGAAGUUCACAGCGGAAGAGCUCCGUGCCAUCAUGGACAAAAAGAACAACAUUCGUAAUAUGUCCGUUAUUGCUCAUGUGGACCACGGUAUGUUAAGAACAGUGUUUAAUUAAAUGUUAUGCAUACCUGUUCCUCGACAUUUUUCAGGCUUUUCAAUUUUAGCAAUUGUUUUUUUUCAGUAUUAAAUCUCUGAAUUGUUCUUGCCAGUGAAUGCGAUUCAUGCUGCGUUAGCUAUCACAGACCUAUUUUACAUAUGUAGAAAUAUUCAUUUCAUGUUGGAAAUAGGCUUAUUGUUCUUUUGUAAUUAAUGUAUUGGUUUAUCUCUAGAUAUUGCAGUGUAUAGUAUCUGUUUACUAUGUGUUUUAUAUUGGGAUGUAUUGUUGUCUUUGUUAACUUGUGAGAGGUUGUCUAUCCCUAAUGUUGUACUAUUCUUGAUGCAUCUUCGGACUGACUUUUAAGUUCCACACUAUAGUCUUACAUCUCAUUAAUUCUUUGCAGGCAAGUCUACCCUUACAGAUUCCCUUGUGGCAGCUGCUGGGAUUAUUGCCCAGGAAGUUGCUGGUGAUGUCCGCAUGACUGAUACACGUGCAGAUGAAGCAGAGCGUGGUAUUACAAUCAAAUCCACCGGUAUUUCUCUGUACUAUGAGAUGACUGAUGAGUCACUGAAGAGUUACAAGGGUGAGAGAGAUGGUAACCAGUACUUGAUCAACCUUAUCGACUCACCUGGGCACGUUGAUUUUUCUUCGGAAGUCACAGCUGCCCUUCGUAUCACCGAUGGUGCUCUAGUGGUGGUUGACUGUAUUGAAGGUGUCUGUGUGCAAACUGAAACUGUGCUCCGCCAGGCUCUUGGUGAGAGGAUUAGGCCAGUGCUUACUGUGAACAAGAUGGACAGGUGUUUCCUUGAGCUUCAGGUUGAGGGUGAGGAAGCCUACCAGACUUUCUCCCGUGUCAUUGAGAAUGCCAAUGUCAUUAUGGCAACAUAUGAAGAUAAGCUCCUUGGUGAUGUCCAAGUCUACCCGGAGAAGGGAACUGUUGCUUUCUCUGCUGGUCUGCACGGCUGGGCCUUUACCCUCACCAACUUUGCCAAGAUGUAUGCUUCGAAGUUUGGAGUUGAUGAAACUAAGAUGAUGGAGAGGCUCUGGGGUGAGAACUUCUUUGACCCAGCCACAAAGAAGUGGACCACCAAGAACACAGGCUCUGCUACCUGCAAGAGAGGAUUUGUUCAGUUCUGCUAUGAGCCAAUCAAGCAAAUCAUCAACACCUGCAUGAAUGACCAGAAGGAUAAGUUGUGGCCCAUGCUUCAAAAGCUUAAUGUUACCAUGAAGUCUGAUGAGAAGGAAUUGGUUGGCAAGGCUUUGAUGAAGCGUGUUAUGCAAACUUGGCUUCCAGCUAGUACUGCACUGCUUGAGAUGAUGAUAUUCCACCUUCCUUCCCCAUCAAAGGCACAAAAGUAUCGUGUGGAGAACUUGUACGAGGGACCCCUUGAUGAUAUCUAUGCUACUGCUAUCAGGAACUGUGAUCCGGAGGGUCCUCUUAUGCUGUAUGUUUCUAAGAUGAUUCCAGCAUCUGACAAGGGCAGGUUCUUCGCCUUUGGUCGUGUCUUCUCUGGGAAGGUUGCUACUGGUAUGAAGGUUAGGAUCAUGGGUCCCAACUAUGUCCCUGGCCAGAAGAAGGAUCUGUACGUCAAGAGUGUCCAGCGUACUGUUAUCUGGAUGGGAAAGAAACAAGAGUCUGUUGAGGAUGUUCCUUGUGGUAACACUGUUGCUAUGGUUGGUCUGGAUCAGUUCAUCACGAAGAAUGCUACACUCACCAAUGAGAAGGAGGUUGAUGCAUGCCCAAUCAGAGCAAUGAAGUUCUCUGUCUCCCCUGUUGUGCGCGUUGCUGUUCAGUGCAAGGUUGCCUCUGACCUACCCAAGCUCGUUGAAGGUUUGAAGCGUCUGGCAAAGUCUGAUCCUAUGGUCCUCUGUACAAUUGAAGAAUCUGGUGAGCAUAUUAUUGCUGGAGCUGGUGAGCUUCACCUUGAGAUUUGCCUGAAGGAUCUGCAGGAAGACUUCAUGGGUGGUGCUGAAAUUAUUGUUUCUCCUCCUGUUGUCUCUUUCCGUGAAACUGUUCUUGAGAAAUCCUGCCGAACAGUCAUGAGCAAGUCCCCCAACAAGCACAACCGUCUUUACAUGGAAGCCCGUCCCUUGGAAGAGGGUCUCCCUGAGGCUAUUGAUGAGGGCCGCAUUGGUCCACGUGAUGAUCCCAAGGUUCGCUCCAAGAUCCUCUCUGAGGAGUUUGGUUGGGACAAGGAUCUUGCCAAGAAGAUUUGGUGCUUUGGACCUGAGACCACUGGCCCGAACAUGGUUGUUGAUAUGUGUAAGGGAGUGCAGUACCUCAAUGAAAUCAAGGAUUCUGUUGUGGCUGGCUUCCAGUGGGCCUCAAAGGAGGGUGCACUGGCUGAGGAGAACAUGCGUGGCAUCUGCUUUGAGGUCUGUGAUGUUGUUCUUCAUGCUGAUGCAAUUCACAGGGGUGGUGGCCAGGUCAUUCCAACUGCCAGGAGGGUUAUUUAUGCUUCUCAGCUCACUGCCAAGCCAAGGCUGCUCGAGCCAGUUUACCUUGUGGAGAUCCAGGCCCCAGAAAAUGCACUUGGUGGUAUCUAUGGUGUUCUGAACCAGAAGAGAGGGCACGUGUUUGAGGAGAUGCAGAGGCCUGGUACCCCGCUCUACAACAUCAAGGCUUACCUCCCUGUCAUCGAGUCCUUUGGGUUCUCCAGCCAACUGAGGGCUGCAACCUCUGGCCAGGCGUUCCCUCAGUGUGUGUUUGACCACUGGGACAUGAUGGGCUCUGAUCCUCUGGAGGCUGGCUCCCAGGCUGCUCAGCUGGUGUUGGAUAUCCGCAAGAGGAAGGGUCUCAAGGAGCAGAUGACCCCUCUUUCUGAGUUCGAGGACAAGCUCUAAAUUUUGGUGGUUUGUGCUGCUGGU
rnacentral:lncRNA from 1 species